UGUCAUCAAUUACAAUACUACUACACCACCUAUAUAUUAGCAAUAUAUAAAUAUUUAGUCGACUAAAUGGGAUUAUAGGACUUGAUUAUAAUAAUUAUUAAAGUUCGAGCUAGAAAUUAUAAUAAAUUAAAGUUUGAGGACUAAAUUGUCACCUGCCUCACAGUUUGAGAAUCAAAUACGCAAUUAUUUUGGAAUUAUUUUAGAAUAAUGAAUUUAUUUAUCAUUAAAAAAUAACUUAAUUUUUAUUUAUGAUUUAGUUUAUAAAUAUGUUAUAAUGUACUGAAUUUUGAUUAAAUUAAUAAAGUACGAAUUAAUUCAUGUUAAACAUGACUAAAAUAGGUUUCGAAAAGUUUAGACUAAAUUUGGAUGUUAAAAGGAAUUCGGAUUGAGACAGAAUUUAAAACUUUGAAAAUAGAGUUUCAGGUAAAUUUCAGAUGCCCGAAACCGAUAUCAAGCACUAGGAAGAGGUUUCAGAGGGUCCUAUGUGGGAGAAAUUCUAUACUAUCACACUUGCACUACGUCAUCAAUAAUAAACCAAUCACAUUCCUUCUUUUCAACCAAAAGGACAAUAAAAAUAUUUUUUUACAAUCAUGAUGGGACAUAUACUCUUAAAAUGAGACAUUUGAUUAAUUUGUUACGCCACGUCAUCAAUAUAUCCGUUGCAUUUUAGAAUUUUUCCCUAUGUGGAGCCCGAAACCUGGCGCAAACAGCAUGUUUUGUCCUUUUGCAAAUAAUGAAGUGUGAGCGGUUUAGUUGCCAUUAUUGCAACCCGAUGAAUUUUGAUGGAAAGAAAAGUGCAGUAAAACUUUGGUAUAGUUUUGUUCCUGGAUAAGUAAAAAGUUGCUAUUUCAGAGAUAGAUAUAAAUUGAGAUAUAAGCGGGGAUUAGAUCAAUUUUGUGUUUGGAUGAAAAUUGGAUUAUUCCUGAGAAUAAAAAAAUAGCGCUUGGUUAGGUAAGAUAGAAUAAGAAGGAUAAUAGGUUUUAUAAAUAAAAAAUAAUGAUAAUUACCCUUUUAUUAUAUUUUAAUUUGAAUUUUUAAAAUUUUAAAUUUAUAUUUUUAAAUUUAAAAUUUUAACUUUUAAAUUUCAAAAUUUUAAAUUUAAAAUCUUCAAAAUUAAAUUCAAUUUUAAAUUUUAAAUUUUAAUUUCAAACUUUAAAAUUAAAAUCAAAUUUAAAUUUGAAAAAUUAAAAUAUCAAAUUUUAAUUUCAAAUUUUAAAUAUCAAAAUUUAUAAUUAAAAAUUAGAAUUUAGAAUUUAAAAUUAUAAACUUUAAUUGAGAUUACAAAAUAUAAAUUAUAAAUUUUAAAAUUUUAAAAUUUAACUAUAUUAAUUAGAUAAAUAAUAAUAAAUUAUAAAUAAAUUUUUAUUUAAUAUUUUAUUAAUUUAAUUAACUUAAAUAAUCUAAUGUCAAUUAUUAAAAAAAUUAAUUAUAUUAAUUAAUUAUAAUUUAUAAUUAUUUAUAACUUAAUUAGUAGAGGAAUAAAUUAGAUAAUAGCUUGUUCCACCUAAUAGAUGGAACUACUAUUCUCCCUUCUUAACGGGUUAUUUCGAAAUAACCCGUUAACACAAAGAUAAAUUAACAUGUAAACUUUGUUUGGUGUUUGGCAAGAAUAGUGGGAUAAAAAGGGUUAUUACCCUUUUAUUCCACAACCAAACGGGCCUAAAAGAACAAUAAAUAAGAGUAAUGCUACAGGUAUAUCCUAAACUGAAAUGUACAUUUUACACAUACUUCAUUUUGAAGUCAUUUUUAUUACAUUAAUUUUUUUAAAUUUUACUAAAAAUUAAUUCAAUUUUAUCAAUUCUAAGAUUAUAGGUGUAAGAUCUACACUCCAAGAAGAGUGUACAAGAAGUAUUUUUCGUUAUUGAAAUUUAUAUGAGUUGUUAGAAUUUUUAAUGAGAAUAUUAGAAUUAUACGUUAACUAGUUAUUAUAAUUUUUGUGUGAUUAUUAUGAUUGUACAAGAAGAAAAUAAGAAAGAAACGAUAAGCUAUUUAUUACUAAAAAUUGAUUUCAGUGUUUGCUCUAUCUUGGAAUUAGAGAAGUUAUUUGGUAAAAUAUAAGUUCUUUAAGGGGAUUCUGUGAGGAAAAAAAAUCUAAUUGCGUACAGGUCUCUACAAAUAUAGCGAAUUGCAAAUAUAUUUCUAUAAAGUUCAACUUUUAUAUGUUGUCCCUAUAAAAGUUCUAAUAUUUUUAAAUAUGUCCCUACCAUUAGGAUCAGUUAGAAAAAAUUAGUUAAUCAUACAUAAAAUACUUAACCCUAAUUAGUUAAUAAGAUGAAUUGACUUUUUUAUCCUUUUUCAAUUAAUAAUUGGGAUUUUUGGAAGGAUGUAUUUGUUAUCACAAAAAGAUCAUUUUAUUUAUAAAAUAAAUAAUACUUUAACGCUAAAAAAAUAAAAGAACAUAUUUAAAAAUAUUAUAAUUUUUAGAAAAAUUUCAAACAAAAUUCCUGUAGUUUCGCACUUUCUCACUUUAGUACCCUAUGGUUUAAAAUGCAUCAAUUUACCCCAAAUGUGGUUUUGUUUUUAUCUUUUCGGCAGAAUUUUUCUUAAUAUUUAGUUAAAUUAUAUACAAAAAAACUUCAGAUACCCACAUAGAUUUAUCGAAUAUUUACUUUAGUACUCUUUAAUUUUAUUUUGUCACUGAUUUAAAAAAACAAUAAAAUAAAAUUGAUAAUAAAAAAAUUGAUAAUAAAAAGAGAAAAAUAAAAUCACAGGGGCAAAUUGAUACACUUUAAACCACAGGAUACUAAAGUAAGAACGUGCGAAACAACAGGGAUUUUUUUUUUUUUUUUUGAAGUUAUCCGUAAUUUUUAUAAAAGUAAAUAUAAAAAUUAAAUUUUAUAAAAAUAUAUUUAUGAUUUAUUUACUAUGUUUCAGACGUUAAUAGGGACUCGUGGAGUUCAAAGGGUACAGCGGCGUGCUUAUAAACCCUCGUGUCGUGUUGUGCUCGCAAAUCCUAACAUUUUUUUGAUCCAUUCCUUCUUUAUGGGACAAACUCAGAGCUUCACCGCCGCCGACAACCGCCAAAUAUCGCCGCCGCCGCCUCCGCCUCCGCCGCCGCCGCCGCCGCCGUCGCCGACGACGACGACCGUCGAGCCGCCGCCGCCGCCGCCUUCUAUGGAAGCUCUGGUCUCAGGUCCAAAUCCCAUCUUUUGUUUUAAUCCAAACCAUGGAAAAAAAACAUGAUCCGUGCAGCGAAAAUUCUUAAUUUUUUCUCUGUUACUCCUAUUUUGGGAUUGCUGUUCUCAAAGCGAUUUUACGCUAUGAAAGAUCCAAAAAAAAAAAAAAUCAAAAACGCUUUAAAUUGCGGUUGAGGAAGUACAAAAUAUCUUAUUUAUUUUUGUACGUGAUGUCUCGUUUCGUAUAUCAUAAUCAGUGACGUAUUUUUCACGGUCUCAUCCGAAAAAAGCCGAAGCAUAUCCGUUUAUACUUGCACCCCAAUUUUAUUUUAUUCGUAUUAAAUGAGCCUCAAUAUUAAAUGGACCACUACUGUUCUCAAAAAAGCUUAGGCUGUUAGACCGCGGUGCUGUAAUACUGUGUGUUGUCACUCAUUAUGUCUAGGCUCGAGAUGUUUUUAAUACGCGUGUGAUAGUGACAUAAAUUAAAAGGGAGGAAAUUAAGUGAGACUAGGAGUUUGGUAGGAUUCGAGCUUGGAGCGUCUUGCUCUCGCGCCAUAAGAAUGAUGUGAAACAUGAGUGUUUGGUUUGGUUCCUCAGAAAAGCGUGAACAACUAUUUUCUAGGAAAAAAGUUUUCCAUAAAAAAAACACUUAUUUUCCAACGUUUUUAUUUUCCGUAUAAAAAAUUUGAAAAACGAAAAUACUAUUUUGCCAUGAAAUCUGGAAAAAAAAACUUUUUUUAAGAAAACUACUUUUUCUAGAAACCAAAUGGGCGGAAAAUACUUUUCCAGUUGGAGAACUAUUUUUUAGGAUAUCUGCCGGAAAACCAAACACAGAGUAAGUUGCCAGAAAACGGUGUUUUCAUAUUGUAUAUUCAACAUGAACGAUCACUUUUGGGCUGAAUUUAAUACUUAUUAUUCCUGCUCAUUGUUGAACAGAAGGCUUACCUGAACUGUUUGUGGCGGCCACUACAAUCGCGUUAAGAAUCAUAGUCUUGUGAAAUGUUGGGGAGAAAAAGGCGUAGUUUGGUAUUGCCGCUAUUUUGUUGUUCUCGGUAUUGCAAUUUCUAUUCUUGGCAUUGAUGCUUAGCUUGAGAUCCGUCUUAGCCGUAUGCAGAAUGACAUCUUCUUAUUAAAAAAAUAACAAGAAAAUAAGUUACUGAAAAUUUUGUUUUCUGUCGCCAAACAGACUCCAUAGAUAAUGUGGAUUGGAAGCAAAUAGUUACCUGCCGGCGCACUCCAGACUCCAGAUAGAAUUUGUGUAGAAAAUGAAAAGAUUCUGACAACAAUUGCCGAUGAGGCGUAAAUUCACUGUUUUCAUACCGUGUCUCUGUAUGACUGUAAACUAGUUAACCCAGUAGAAGUUUGUCAGUAAUAAGCUUAUCUGAUAAGGAAGGAAAGAAAAUAGAAAAAGGAAUACCUCUGUCGCAUACUGCGAUUCAAAGUUGGUUCUACUAAACAUUCUAGUUGAAUAUUCUGAUUGAUGUUCUCUAUGUUUCCUGUGGACAGAAGCGAUGGCUUUUGGCGAGGAUGGGAGUGAGGAGGUCCGUAUGUUUCUAUCGCUCUAACAAAGCAUGCUUGUUCUUUAAUAUCCGUAUUGUCAAUUGUUUCUUACACUCUUUGCCCGACAUGUAUUUUGAUCCUUAGAGAAUAUCAUUACUUUUGCAGUCGCUGGAUGCGAAGGUUCAGAAAGCAUUGGAAUGCCCGUGUGUCGCCGGCUUGAGAAGUGGUCCUUGUGGGGCUCAGUUCACGGAAGCAUUUGCUUGCUUUCUCAGGAGCACUGCCGAAGAAAAGGUUCAAGUCAUCUAUUAUUAUCAUUUAAGCGACUAGAGUAGUUAGAUUCCGUUGUUUCGUUUCAGUGGAAAAUCCUUGCAUGAAGUUUAGUUUGCUGUUUGAUUAUGUAGGGAUCGGACUGCGUUAGUCCCUUUAUCGCCUUGCAGAAUUGCAUCAAAGCAAACCCAAAUGCAUUUUCGAAGGAUGUUUUGGAGGAGGAAGAAGAAGAUAAUGAAAGUGGUCAAGAGGACAAGAAGAUGUCAAAUUAUAGAAUCAAAGCUCCAGCUUGGUCUAGAGAGACUAGGUCAAAAAUGUGAGAUGUAUUCAUUUUUUCUGUAAUAUUUGCAAUAAAUAAUUAUGGUAGAUCACGACAAAUGGAAAAUUUUGAAAGCUUUACAAAGUCAAAGGCGGCAAAAUUGGCCGAGCUUAUGUGCUAGGUAGCGCCUUAUUCUAUUUUUAUUUUAUUUAUGAACAUCUAUUUGCUCACAACCUUUCUCGACAGUAGCAGAUUUAAAACUCUACCGCGAAUGCAGAAAAGAAUUCUUUAAACUUGUAUAUACAUAAGUUAUUCGUCUGGGUAAGUUACACUGAUGAUUAUUGGACUCUCUGCAAUUUUCAACUCUAAUCCUCUUUCUUCAAGCUAAAGCAGCAGUGCUUGAGUUUAAAGACGAGGGAUUAAAGAAAAACUUAUACUAGUGCUGCUUUCAGUCUGGGACUCUCUCAGUACCAAAUUAUCAGGAUCUGUGAUCAGAGUCCCAGACCAUGGAUGAGAAUCAUGGAGUCCAUUAUUCAGGAAAAGUAAAGGAAAUAUUGGUAUACUGAUAUCGAUUGCUCGACAGACAAAAUGAUCAAUUUGUUAAAUUCAUUACAGUACUUUGAAAGGUGAUGAAGGAUUUCUUUUCUGCGCUCUUUCUUUUUGAGAUGAAUGUGCAAUGACCGCGUUUUAGUUGGCGGAGCUUAAGUUUUUCAAUUUAUCAUCUGUUUUUGUUUCAUUGUUUCAUUGAGAUAUUCAUCUAUUUCUUGUGAAAAUUCUUGGUACCUGUGUUUUGUUUGAGCAGAGUGUUUGAUUCUCUUCUUAUGUACUGGAAUUGAAACAUCUUUUGUUACUGUUUUAUUUGCUUCAAAAUAUUUUCAUAGAAAUUGCUUAUGAUUUUCCCUGUGCGCAUUUUCGGUUUCAUUGAGUAGGUAUUGGGGACUAUACAUAGAGUGGAAAUAAUAUCAAACAUUUACGGAAUAAAUUAGCAAAAUUAUUUCUCUUCAUGGAUGAUAAAUUGAUAAUACAGAGAGAUUGAUCUAUCACAUGAAUUUUUUUUUAAAUUCUUUUUAUUACAUAGCUUUAGCUUUGGUUGAAGUAGCUUGUAGUUUCAGCAUGCUUAUACUCCCAGAUAUUUGUGUAUAACAUUUUUAUGCAUGCCUCAAUUGCUGAUGUGUCUCCACUGCUAGUGUAAAUUGGGCUGGAUUAGAACUUAAAGCUUGCUUGCAGAGUAAAUAGUUUCUUUGGGUCAAGUACGCCCCUUAAACUCUAUUGAUUUUACAAUUAGGCGUUUCAAAUUUUAAUUUUAGCAAUUAGGCCAUCUAAAAUUUUAUUAAAGAAUUUAAUUAGUUUCUCUCCUACAGCGAGGUUAUUGAUUUAAUAGUCAUUUUGAUCACAUAUCUUGUACACGAUGUUCUAUAACUUUACGAUGAAAAGAGAUCUAUGUCUUUCCUUGUGGUUGUGAUACUUACUCACGAGGAUUGAAAAAUCGAGUAAAUUCAUCUCCAAUUUUUUUUUUCUGUUAGAAUAAAAAAAUAUAUUAUUUUUUUGUGUUUUAAAGCAUUAAAAGAUUAUUUACAAACAAGCGAUCAGAAACGUUAUGUAAUUAGUUACUUCAAUUGGGGAGAGAAGCCUAUUAAAUUGUUCGAUUUAGAAGCCUACUUGUAAGUAUGGUGAGUUUAAGAAAUCUUUGUAUAUUUUUUUUGUUAUGUAUUUUAUUUUUUUAAGUGCAGUUUAAUGAAUUUGAAUCAUGUGAUAAUCAGGGGAAAGCAAACAGGCCCACGCGAUUUGAGCCUAAAGGUCUCCGAGUUUAAGUCAUAUUUGAAGUAUGAUGUAAAGAAUAGGUAGCACGCUAUCUGCUUCAUUCAUUGAAUGAAUGAAUUAAGCUACAAGGGUGAGGCAACCAGGUGCCUCAAGAAAAAAACCGCACUAGAAGGGACUAGGCAUAAAAAAAAAAAAAACCAACGAUCAUAGGAGAUAUUUCCAAGAAGAAUCUUUCCAAGAAGAAAGCAGCAGCUUGAGCUUUUGAAUGGCAAAAAACAAGGUCAAGCUAUAAGUUACGAAAGAUAAGGUUGUUCCUGGCCUUCCAAAUGGUCCACUAGUAGGCGACCAAUUUGGAAAGUCCAUUGCUCCUAUUUCAUAAAGACACAUUAAGUGAAUAGAUGGUCCAUUGACUUGUCGUGAGCCCUGCACAACACACAGGCCGUAUCUCCAAACCACCCUCUCUUUUUGAGGUUAUCGGUUGUAAGUGGUCUUUUCUUAAGGACUAGCCAGCAGAAUAUUUUGACCUUGAGCGGUAUUCGGAGCCUCCAGACCAUGUUAGCACGUCCAUCCCUCGUACCCCCAUCACUCAACAUUCUAUAAACCGAUUUGACUGAAAAUAUACCGUUGCUACACCAUCUCCACCUUAUUGUGUCCGGCCUGAGUCCUAUUUUAAAGCUGCUGACCCUAUCUUUGAGCGCCGAAAGGUUGGGACUUAGGCCAGGCGUAAAGAGUGACUCACGCCCAGGAUCCUAGUCCAGUUCCAGUCCUCACUUCCAAAGCAAUCCCUGACCAGAAUUGGAUUGCAAUCCAGCAACGUGUAAACCUCCGGGAAGGGCGUUUGAAGUGUGGUAUCCCCGCACCAUCUGUCCGACCAAAAGUCAAUAGAGCUCCCAUUGCCCAGCUUACAGUUGAUUCCUCAUUUGAAGAUAGCGUUGGUUGUUAGAACUCCUUUCCACCAGUGUAAGAGAGGCCUGAAGCAUUUUCCCUCCCACAGAGGCCUUCUUCUUUGGUAGUAUAAGGCAUGGGUAAUCUUGAUCCACUGCAGGUGAGGUGUUGUGUGAAACCUCCUCCACCAUUUGACCAGGAGCGCCUGAUUCAUGAUAGCAACAUCCAGAAUGCCUAACCCGCCUAUCAUUUUGCUCAAGUAGACGUUCUUCCAUGCAACUAGGCACCCCUUGCCUGAGGAGUUGCUUCUGCCGCUCUAAAAGAAAUCUCUACGUAGGGCUUCGAUGCGCUUGAUCACCCAACUGGGUGCCUUGAAUACCGACAGAAAGUAAAGAGGUAGGUUAGUAAGCAUAGUGUUCACCAGAAUAAGUCUACCCUUUCUUGAGAGGAGUUUGGCUUUCCAUCCAUCGAUUCUGUGUUGCAAUUUCUGAAUUACCUCUCUCCAUGCCUCCUUUGUAGGGGGUUUUGUGGAGAGGCGAAAUCCUAAGUAGGUGGUGGGGAAGGUGCCAACUUUGCAAUCAAGCAAGUUCGCUAGACUUGCCGCUUUGCCCUCAGUCUGUCCAAGGUAGUAGAGCUCAGACUUAUCUCUGUUGAUUUUCAAACUAGAAGCCCACUCGAAAAGGUGCCACAUCAGUCUGAGAUUUCUCAUAUAUCUUUUCCUAGCCACAGAGAAGAAGAAAGUAUCAUCCGCAAACUGUGUGAGGGUCGUUGUACUUUCGUUUGAUGGACCAAUACUCUUGAAGAGGUUGUUAGAAGUAGCCUCGCUGGUUAAUCUGGCGAGACACUCCGUCACCAACAAGAACUGGAAUGGUGAUAACGGGCCCUUUGUCGUAUUCCUCUCUUAGUUUUGAUCCAAUUGGUCGCCUCUCCAUUGACCAAUAUAGCUACUUUGGCGUUGCAUACACAUUGUUCGAUCCAGUCAGACCAUUUUGCAUCGAAUCUCCAGUGGAUCCUAUCGUAAGCUUUUUCGAAGUCCACUUAUAUGCCGACCCCCUCGGUAGCCUUCUUACUACCUCAUCCAAUUAGCUCUGAGACGGUGACAUAUGCGUCGGUGAUGUUCCUCCCUUUCAAGAAUGCUAAUUAAGAGGGUGAAAUUAACUCGUUCAUCACUGCUGCAAUACGAUUUGCUAGGACCUUCGAGAUGAUCUUUUGGAUACCGUUAAUGAGGCUGAUAGGUCGAAAGUCAUUUACUUUCUCCGCCCCUUCUUUCUUGGGGAUUAGACAAAUAAAGGAGUAGUCGAAGAGAGCGGUGGAUAGCCUGUCCUCGUACAACUCCUAGAACAAGUUGAGUAGAUCACCCUUGAUGGUCUCUCAGAAAGUUUGGUAAAACCUUAAUGGGAACCCAUCAGGACCCGGAGCUUUAUCACAACCUAUAUGGAAUACCGCUUUUUUUAUUUCACCGAUGCAGAACUUUUCCGUAAACCGCCUUAGCAUAGGGGCCGAGACCCUUUUUGAGGUAAAAAGCCUACUCCAAUCCCCAAAAGAAGGUAGGGUCGUGACAUAUGAUGAAUUCUUUUUUAAAGAUUAUUAUUUUGGUUUAUCUAAAAUAUGAUUCCAAAUUACUCUAGCCAAUUAGGCUAGAGCACGUUGGUGAAAACACCUGGAUGCAAAUUUCUUAUAGAUCCUGUGCGUAGUAUAUUUUAUGCAUGGAAUUUAUCAAACUGCUAAUUUUUAUUAUUAUAAUUAAUUCGUGCGGUUGGAUAUGACGGUGCGGAUUAAUCCCGUUAUCCUACGGAUGCAAUUGUACCCAAUUCGAAGCUAGCUAGCCUGCACCAACUAAAAAGUGGGAUUAGCUUUUCUUUAUUUUAUUAUUUCCCCCCAAGAUUUUCCAUACAUCUUUUUAUUUUUAUUUAUUAUUUUUUUUUUUUGAGAGAUAGGUAGCAACCACGCUACCUGCUUCGUUUAUUUUAUUUAGAAAUAAACUCAGCUGGAAAUAUGAAUCAACUAGGAUUCGAACUUGGGUCUCGGGUAUCAACCAUGAAGCCUUUUGCUACUUGCUCCAGGGACGGUCGGUGAUUUUCCAUACAUUUUAUCUUUCACUUUUUAAGUUUUAUCUACAAUAACUAUACUUUUCUCUGCAUCAAUUCUGUGACUAAGCUUUUGGUUGAUCUCAGGCUUGUAACAUUACAGGUGGAAUGAACGAUUUACCCUAUUUUUCUAAAUAUAUGGAUAACAUUGCUCUUUCUUUAUAAUUUAUUUUGUGGUAUAAUAUUUUAAUUAUUUGGUUAAAUUAUAGAAAAUUCUUCUAUAAAUAUAUAUAUAUUUUUUUUAACCUUUUCUUCUUUCCUUUCAAAAUCCUAUAUUUUGCCCCCCUAAAAUUUCAAAAAUAUUUUCAGACGGUACAACAUUAAUAGAGAGGACAAAGUGACCAAAUUAUUUUUACUUCUUUUAUAAAAAUAAAUAAUAAUAAUUUUUUAAUAUAUUUCAGAGCAAUUUUGAUAUCAAUUAUAAGAAAUGAACGAAAUAUUAAUGGAAUCCUGAUGGAGGGGGGCUAAAUACAACAACUUGAAAUAUUUUUUUUGAGAAAAAAGUAGCUUCAUUCAUUAGGAUUAUGGACUGAACUACAUUAUAAGGCAACUAGGUCUAGGCAGAAUAAAGGUUCCACAGGUAUCUGAAUUUACGCGAUUCCGCCAAUAAUUGCUUAGAGGUGUGUUUCUUAUUUUCGAAAAUUUGUUUGUUACGCUCCAACCAGAUAGCCCACCACGAGAAGGCAAUGGUCAUUAACUCCGUUUCCCAUGAGGUUCCUCCUUUGAGUUUACUCAACUCCUAACAACCUGAAAUGUUGAGAGGGUAAAAUAUAGGUUUUUGAAAGUUAAGGAGAGAUUUUCUAUAACUCAACCUAAUUAUUUUCUAAUUUUAUAAUAUCAGAGAUUUUUUUUUUCUCUUAAGAUGGAGUAAUGCUAUGCUCGCUGAUUGGGCGAGGUGUGUUGGAGUGUUGAGGGCCUCACCAUGUGCGGUGGAGCGGCCUAACAAAAUAUUCAUGCAUCCAAAUAGAGCCUAAUAGAAAAAUGCAUGGAUUAAAUCACAAUAUUGUGAAAGCAAUUAACUGCAAUUAAGUGGCAAUGUGAUUCUCGAAGUACACUAAUCCAAGUCAAUUUGAUGGUGAUUAGUGUGACUAAUAUUAGAAGUUAAUGAUUUCACGAAAACAAUUGGACUUUAAAAAAAAAAAAAAUUUGUCGGCGCCGAACUGGUUCAUUGUUCAUCAGAUUACUUGUAUUAAUCUAGUACGGCAAAUCAAAUUGAUCAAUGAAGUUACAAGGACAUUGUUAUUAUUAACAUUACAUUCCCAAAUAAAAAUGACCUUAGAUGGUGUGUAGUGAUCUACCUAAAACCUUAACCAAUAAAUUUACUACUAAAUUAAAGUAAAUGACUUUUUUUUCUUUAACCGUAAAAUAGAAAACAAACAUAUAAUAUAACUCACAUUUUCACACAACCACUAAUCAAAAGGUCAGCGGCCAAUAUAAACCAGCUUAACAUAAAAUAAAGAAAGUACAAUUAAAUAUCUAAAUCAAAUUAUAAAAGAGUCAUGACUUAUUUUACAUAACAUAUUAAAAAGAGAGGCAAAAAUAAUUCUAGCACUCGAUCGAAAGGGAAGCUUCAAGUGUCAAACAGUGAGCAGCCUCGCAUCCAAGGGUGUGGCUGCUCACUUUUUUUUUUUUUUUUUUCUUUUACAGUAAAACCAUCGUCAAUUCACUAAAAAUAUAGAUAGAGAAUUUCACAAUAUAAACUCACAUCUCUACGCUAUCACUAAUCAAAAAGUCAGCGGUCAACAAAAAUCAGCUUAACCUAAAAGAAAGAAAGUACAAUCAAAUAUUUAAACUAAAUUAUAAAAAGAGCCACUACAUUUAUAAUGCAUACUAAAAAAAAGACAAACGACCAUUCCGGUACUUGAAGAGCAAACUAUCAAGUAUCGAACGGCAAGCAACUUUUCAUCAAAAGAUAAGAUUGCUCACUUUUUUUUUUUAAAACUGUAAAAUCACCGUCAAUUCGCUAAAAAUAUAGAAAAAAAAGUUCACAAUAUAAACUUAUUUCUCCGCACAACCGCUAAUCAAAAGGUUAGCACUCUAUAUAAAUCAACUUAAUCUAAAAAAUGAGAGUGCAAUGAAAUAUCUAAACCAAAUUAUAAAAGAGUCACUAAUUCUAUAAUACGUACUAAAAAGAGAGACAAACAAUCAUUUCAGUUAUUAUUGACGCAACCUACUCUUAUGCAUCUUUAUUAGGAAUAAACAAUCCUUUUAUUGCUAAUUGAUUCUUCUAUGUUGAACAUAAAAUAUUAAAACACCAUUUUUCAAGAAGCUUUAUUAGGCUUUCAGAAAAAUAUGAUUGUUUCACUAUGCACAAGUCAACUUUUCUUUAUAUUUGAUUAGGACCAGAAAAUAUAACAAUGGAUGUGCAGGGAUGAGGAUGAUGAUCCAAUGGAAUUAUAAUUCGCUUCCUAUAAUUCAAGUGUUGCAUUGAGGUUAAGUUCAUUGUGCCUAUGCAGAGAUAAGGACCAAAAAGUAAAAUAUAUAUACACAUUGCUUUCAUUUCCCAUGGGCAUUUAAGAUCAUCAAGGUGUAACUUAUAUAUCACAGGUAUUUUUAUAAGCCUUGCGUAUCCAUAUUGGACUCGUGUCCGAUGUGAACACUUUUUGAGCGCGUGUUUGAUGCCGUUCCAUGACGCAGACAAUUAUAUAUAUAAUCAAAAGGUUAAAUCUAACAGUGGAAAACUCGAUAGCACCAAAUCUUUGCUGCUAUCGAUAGCAUCCCAGCCGGACUCUAUAUAUAUAUUUAUUUAUUUAUUUAUUUAUUUAUUUUAUACAUGUAAAAUGUAAGAUGAUAAGUAUUUUAGUUUUUAAUUUGAUGAAUGCAUAUAAUUUUUUGGACAAUGUAAAUAAAUUAUGUAUGAUGGAAAAGUUUUUUCUUAAAAUAAAUAAAUUAUCAAUAAAAAUUUUACUAACUGUCCCUAGAGCAAGUGGCAAAGGGCUUGGUGGUUGGUACUUGAGACCCAAGUUCGAAUCCUAGUUGAUUCAUAUUUCCAACGAAGCGGGUAGCGUGCUACCUAUCUCAAAAAAAAUAUAUUUUUAUAAUAAAUAUAUAUAUUAUUAUAUAAAAUUAUUAUAUUUUAUUAAUAGUGUUCAUGUCGUGUCCAUGUCCUAAUUUAUUAAAAUUUGCCGAGUCGUCGUGUUCAAAUCGUGUCGUGUCCAGUAUUCUGUGUCAAAGUCCAUGACGCCUAGGGUGUAACUGUGCAAGCAAAAUCUCAACUACUAUAAAUCUGAAAGUUUGAGCCAAAAAUUAAAACAAAUUAAAAUUUGAGGCCCUUUAAUUUAUUUCCUUAGCAUCAAGGUAGUCCAAAAACCAACAUGUAAAAAGAGUUUUUAUUUAAUAAUCUAUUAUAUAUAUGUACCUAAAAUUUUGAUAUUUAAUUUGAAGGCCUUGUAAAAUCCAACGAAUUAAAUUUCAGUCUUAUGAUAUCCAUAAUUAGACUUCAAAGCUGUAUUGAAAAAUAUUCUGUUUUGCUUAUGUAAAUAAGCUUUAAAUUUUGCAGUAUGAUUAAAAAACUAAAGUAUUACAUUUUCUGCAUUAUUUCAGACUAGAAAAGUAUUUUUUGUUUGUUUGAUUUUCAAAAGAAGUAGUUUUUUUGAAAUGUUUUUCAGAUUUUAUAAUUUUUUAUACUUUCUAAAUUUUUUGUUCAAAAAAUGUAAAUUAUAGAAAGUAUGUUUUUAACCUUUUUUUUUUAUAGAAAAUAAGUUUCCAUGAUUUUUUUUAUGGAAAAUCUUGGGCUCAACAAAUUAUGAUGGCCCUUGUUAAUACCAAACCGGCCCAGCCGAAUACCGGUUUCGGUUUCGAUUUGGGUUCGGAUUCGGAUUUUGGAAUCCGAUUCGGAGUCCAUUAUGCUCUCGCCGUGUCAGAACGUUCGAGAUUUGUAUAUUUAUUUCAUUAUUUCAUUUUAGAAAAAACUUCAAAAACCCUCCAUAUGGUUUCGUAGUUUCUCACUUUAUCCCCCUGUGAUUUAAAAUAUAUCAAAUUGUCCCCAUGUGGUUUCGUUUUUAUCUUUUUAGUAGCUUUUUCGUUAAUAUUUCAUUAAAUUAUAUACAAAAAACUUGAGAUACCCAUCUAGAUUUAUCAAAUAUUCACUUUAGUACCCUUUAAUUUUAACUUUAUCACUGAUUUAAAAAAAAAAUAAUGAAAUUAAUAAAAAAAGAAAAAAAAAGAAACCAUAGGGGGCAAAUUGAUACAUUUUAAACCACAUGGGGCAAAGUGAGAAACUACGAAACCACAUGGGGUUUUUUUGAAGUUUUCCCUUUAUUUUAUUAACAUUAAACGUUACUGCUUUUCUUUCUCUUUUAACUCUACCCGGCCCCCGACUCUUCCUAUUAGGGUUCUUCGAUCGCUCCCUCAAAUCCUAUCCAAACCCUAAUCUCAAUUCGGAGGGGAAGAGGCCGAGAGCGAGGGCGCUAUCAAUCGAGAUCCGUCGUGGUUAGGGUUUCCAUUUUCGAGGUCGGUGUCCAUGGCGGGGCGAGAGGUUCGAGAGUACACCAAUCUCAGCGACCCCAAAGGUGAGACCUUUUCUCUGUCCAAUUUCUAGGGUUUUUGACGAUCUCUGUUGUUGUGCGUCUCUUUUUGGGUUUACGGUGUUGGGAUUACAUGAGAAAGAGAAGGUUUUUGAACAUUUGGUGUUCCUGUUGGAUCUCACAGAUAAGAAAUGGGGGAAGGGGAAGGAUAAGAUCGACGAUGAGGACAUCACUUUCCAACGCAUGGUCGCAAAGGUUAGCGAAUCGGCCCUUCUAUUGUUUUCAUCUUUAUUAAUCUUUAAAAAAAAAGUAUUUUUUUUAGUCUUUUUUGCUGGAAAUUUGUGCUUGUUAACUACUAUUAUGAUGAUUAUGAUACCAUCUACGCCUGGGAUCCUACGGGAAUUUGUUUUUCAAUUGUAAUUUUAUUAAUGUAGUUAUUUCUAUUAUAUGGAGAACUCAUAAGGGGAAAAGGAAUUUAACAUUUAAAUGUAUGAAUAAACUUUAGAAUUGCUUUACUGCUAAUAUGUGUUGUGAAUGCGUGAGGUGAGGUGAUCACUUGUCGGCCAUGUUUUUUAUCACUAAUCGCUACUAAUGAUACAUCCAGUGAUUUUAACAUAUUAAUCUUAUUAUAAGAUUUGGGGAUUUGGGUCUAGGAUUAGGUUGGACGGAAAUACAACCUAUUAUGUCUAAGUGAGAAUUGCACAUUCACGUAAUCCAGAUGGUAUUUUGAGUAUACGCGCAUGGACAAACAUGAUUUACCAAAUGUUUACGUUGUUUAGUUGAUCGUUAUUAACAUUCUAGCUCAUAGCAUUAGCCAGUUUCUUAUACUUUUUGUAUGUGAAUGAAUACAGUGUUCUAAAUUCGAAGUCAUUCCCAUCAUCGAUCGUCCAUCUUUUUUGUAAUUUUCUUCAUUCUGUUUCUUCCAUGGUUCCACCACCAUUGUCAUCAAUUGUAAGAUGAUCUUGGGCUUGUGAUUUUUAUUUUAAUGGAUACUUUUGCCAGAAGUACCUAAUUGAUAAAUGCCAUAGAAACUAUAACCUAGAGGAACUAUUGAGAAAAUUCGGUGACUUGAAAUUGUAUACUUGGUUAACAGAGAUUACUGGUAUUUUGGUUUAUAUUGAAGUAGCGAACUAUUUAUAAGUUCACUCCAUAUAAUAUUAUGGCAUGUGCUUUGGUUUUGUUUUCACUUGGCUCUCUUGCUUGUUGAUGCGUGAAAGAUGAAGACUGUUUUCAACAUCAGUAGUAGCUAUCUUACUUUUAUGUUUAGACUAAAUGGUUCUCAACUGUCAUUCCCUAGGCAGAUAAUUCUAAGUUACCUGGUUUCAUCUCGAAUUCAGCAUCAAAGGUUUCGAUGCGAAGUCAAUAGAUGGUUGCCCUAAAGUAUGUGACAAUCUAAAUCAUUGAAUCUUCUCAGUAUUGAGUUACACAUCACUUAACCCUAUUAUUAUUAGGCAAAGACCUGUUAAUUUAUGGCGUGUUCCUGUUCGUUUAUGUGAACCUGGUUUUUAUGAGGGAUUUAUUAAUUAUUUUUAUGCAAUAAACUGCUAGCAAGGCACCUUGCAGUUUCUUUGUGAUGUGGUGAUCUGAUAACAUGCCCCGACAGGGAUCUUGGCAUCUCCUAUUGGGGUGGUUGAUGCUAACAGAUGCAGGAGGUUGCUGGUGAACGUGGAGGCUAUCUCCAUGGGCGAGGAGGUACUAUUCUUUUUUCCCUGUUUUUUUGUGUUAAUUAGGCUAUUUAUCUACUUCAUCCUGUUAACUUUUUUUUAAAAAAAAUUAAUCUGCAGCUUUGGACAGUGAUGACCUGCUCUACCUGAAGGAACAAAUGGAGGCUGAGGAAGAUGCUGAGCGUCUUCUCCGCCGGACAGAGAAGCGGGCGUUUGCUGCUUUUAAGAUAUCCUUGUGCAAUUGAUUAAUAUAGUGAAAUUUUGUUGGUUUUUCUUUAACCUAUUUAAAGUUUCUUUGGGUUUGUUAACUCGUUUUUUACAAAGCAGCAAUUCUAGCAGAUUCUACACCUGCUUCACUACCCUUGCCUCUCCGUGUUGAACCAAAACCUAAAAGCGGAAUCAGGUAUAUUCAGAAAGGGUUUUUUUUGGCUCAAAUAUUGAAAUUUCCUGAAAGUGUGUGACUUUCACUUUACUGAAAAUAUUGAACUGAUAUAUUAAACACUUAAAAUAUGAUUAUUCUAGACUUUUGCCUCUUGUUGAUGGCUCAUCUUUUCUCUGCUAUAAAUAUAUAUAUAUUAUAUAUAUAAUAAUAUAUAUUUAUAUAUGAGUGAGGCUACUAUGCUUCUGUAAGCACGAAGCUUCCGUGCUUCUAGGUCGUUUUUGAUGUUGCGACUUUCGAAUCGUCGAUCAGCUCCGUUAAACUUGAUCUAGAGAUUGAAUUACUAGAAAAUAAAUUUGCAAUUUUUGAUAUCAUUUGCCUAGUGAAUCAAGGGGCUCAAAAUCAACGGCUGAAAAUUAAAAUCUUACAAAACGUGAUAAAUAUGACAUUAAAAUUUAGAUCAAAGAUAUUGAUCUUGUUUUAUAUAGUAUAAAGAAUUUUCUAAUAAAAUUCAGUGAUUUGGAUAUUUUAUACACCGUUAAACUUGCAAACGGCUCACCACGGCCAUUAAAAUUAUUGAUUUUGAGUCCCUUCGAUCACUAGGCAAAUGAUAUCGAAAAAUCAUAAAAUUUAUUUUCUAAGCACUUCAAAUACUCUAGAUCAAGUUUAACGGAGCCGAUCGACGAUUCGAAAGUCGCAACACGAAACGACCUGGAAGCGAACGGAGGCUCCGUGGCUUCAAAACGCAUAGUAGGCGCUCACUCUAUAUAAAAGUAUUAAUAGAUAUUAUAAUAGAGUAGGGCUACUAUACUCUUAUGAGUAUAGAGCUCUUCGUACUCAUAAGUUGUUUUCUAUGUUGGGCUUUUCGAAUCGACGAUCCACACCGUUAAACAUGAUUUAGAAUAUUUGAAACUUCUAGAAAAUAAAUUUCGUAAUUUUUCAAAAUCAUUAUAAAGUCCAUCAAGCGGGUAUAAAAUGAACGGUUAAAAUCGAAUGACAUCCUAAAAAUAGAUGAUCGGAUCCUUCAAUUUAAGAUCGGAGUUAUUGAUCUUUAUUUAGAUAGUGAAUAGAAUUUUCUAUCAAAAUUCAAUCUAUUCCGAUUUUUUUUUACCAUUAAACUAGCAAAUAUCUCAUACUAGCCGUUAAAAAUUAUCAAUUUUGUGAGCUUUUGAUCGUAAGGUAAAUGAUAUUGAAAAAUUAUAAAAUUUGAUUUCUAAAAGUUUUAAAUGCUCUAGAUAAUAUUUAACGGUAUGGAUCGUCGAUUCGGAAGUUCUAUCAUCGAAAACAACUUAUUAUGAGUAUGAAGGCGAUCAUACUCAUAAUAGUAUAGUAGCCAGACUCUAUAUAUAUAUAUAUAUAUAUAUAUAUAUAUAUAUUAAGAGGGUGAAAUGAGGUUUUAGUAUAUCAGAGAAUUGCGAUAUUUAUUAGGAAUUUGAUGGAUUUAAGUAGACAUUCUGCUGCUCUUGUCAUGACACGUGUGUCUGACUAAUGCGUGCAGGCAGCAAGAUCUCUUGAAGAAUAUUGUUGAAAUCAAACCGAAACGUCCGAGAGUUGAUAGCCCUUCUAACAGAGAACAAAGUGAUAGAUCAAAUGCUAGCAAUGGUGGGAACUCGGGGAAAACCCCAUUGCUGGGAAACAAAUCGAGUGAAUCGGUAGGUGUUCAAGUUUAUGUUAACUCCGAGCAAGAAAAGAGCAUUCCUUUGAAAUCAAGUAGAGAUGUUGUCGCUAACAAAGCGGAGGCUGCUGGUGGGAGCUUGCUGGGCUUAUCUUAUGAGAGUUCUGAUGAGGAUUGACUGGGGAUAUUGGCUCAAGCAAGUCUGUUGUAUAGUUUGAAAAUUUUCUUGCCAAUCUUGUCUGUUUUGUCUAGAGUUGUGCAUUUUGGUCCGAUGAGAUUGUAAGAUUGACAGCUAGAAGAGGGACAUUGUGUUUUUCGCUCACUUAGUGCAAUAUAUCAUCUAUUUUAUUGCGAUAGAAAAUUUUCACCUUCAAGCUAGUAGAACUUCACCUCUGUGGAUUUUUAGCAAUUUGGUUGUAGUAGUUGUCGUUACUAUUUAUUUAUUUAUUUAUUUUCAGAAGUGUGUGUAAUUAGUCUUAAACUUUCAUGUUACUAUUUAUUUAUUUAUUUAUUUAUUAGGGAUUAAGGCUUUUGUAUGGACUUUAUUUGUUCUAUCAGAAUUUGACAGGCAUACUUGAGCAGUGAUGUAAAUUUUAUUAUUUUUCAAUAAUAAACCUUGCGUAGGAUGCAUGAGCAGUUAUUCUGGGGACAGAAUUAAUCUUGAUAAGUUGGGCAUCUGGUUUAGCGGCAAAUGUGUGGUGAAGGGAAGCAACGAGAGAAUUUUAAACUUAUUUUGAACGAAACUGUAGUCAAGCCUAGCAUCAAAACACAUGCAUUUACAGGAAUGCUUCAUCUUAGACAAACAGAGCCAAGCAGUGCAAUAAUUCUGCAGAAGUGAUAAAACAAAACUUGCCUGCUACACUUUAAAGUCAUUUUUAUCAACACUCGCUAGUCUACUGAAAUUUGGUCUCAUAUGAAUUAUGUAAAAAAAAAAGACACAACAGUGUAACAGGGCUUUGAUAUACACCAAAAUAUGAGAAAAAAUAUUUCACAUUUUACAGGGUUAGUCGACAAGCACUCACUAUUAUAGGCGGCUACAGUGGUGAAAUCAAGUGUGACCUAACAAGUUUUGAAUUGCAGAAAAAAGAAAAUACAUCUUACGGACAACAAAGAGAAGAAUCUUAAAUCUGAGCCCACUAGCUUCCAGAAUCUUCCACGGACAUCAGAAGACCCUUUCUCAAGCAAUGGGCUUGCAAGCGUAAGAAAGCAAUGAAGGGAUUGAUCAUCCAGAGAUCUUGUAGAUGAGAGUUCACUUUUUCUUCCAUAAGUUGAUGAUCCCAUUUGCAAAAGACUUCAAGUUUCCCCAGAUAUUUGUCGUUUCUUCAUUGGCAUGCUCAGAUAAUUGUUUGCUGAGAAAAGAAAAGUAAAACCACCGAAGUCACAUUCAGCAUGUAAGAAUAUGCAUGUUAUGCACAGCAGGGCAAAGAGAGCUUCUAGCCAGAAACAGCAUACGCGAAAUAGGAGAAAAAAUUAAGUACUUGUUAGUACAUACGGCGACGAAAAUACUUAAUUUAUACAGUACAGUAUAAAAACAUGCACUUAACUAAGUUUAAGGAAUUUUCUUAUAGACAACUUCCAUGGUAACAUCAACUGUUUUGCAAAUUAAACAAAAUAUUGGGACUACGGAAUGUAGGAGUUUUGCAAGUUGAACUUUAACUUUCUUUUGAAUAAUGUAAACAAGGUUUUUUGAUCUCAAUUGUUAAUCUUACUACAUUAAGGACCAGUUUGAUUCACAAUUUGUAAUAUUCCGGUAAUUCUCCAUAUUUUUUAUUAAAAACAUUCAAAUCAUUACCAUUUAACUCAAGUUAGGUAGUUGUUAAAGGUGUUAGUAAAGUAGUGGAAUUAUUAUAGAUUUCUAGGUGGUAGGAAUACUAAAUUAUCAUGGGUUAGAAGAUAUUCGCAUUUCCAUGUUUGAUAGAAACCAUUAGCAGUCCAUCAAUAAGACUAUAAUAGUUCUUAACAACCUUCAAACCCAAGUGGCUUGAUAAGUUAGAAACAAACUUGUCGUUCCAAGUAUAAAAUAUACAACAUUCCCGGAAUAUUACAAAGUUUGAAUCAGGUCGCCCCUAAAGGUAAAACCAAUCAACUAACUAAAAUGCCAGAUGUAGGGAAGAAAGAGUUAUGUAAUUUUAACCACCCUACCUGUGAAGUUCAUUUGAUUCUGGAACUCCCCUACCGCCACUUAGUUCAUCUCCCUUUGGGCUGUUAGGCGCCUGUGAAGUGCUCACCUUUGUCCUGUUGUGUUCUGCUUCUUCUGAAGAAGAAUGUGAAGUCUCUAUUACUGUUUCCAAUUUGAAGGAAGAUGAAUGUUGGUUCUGCAUAAGUUGCAGAGGAAUCAAAUAAUAAGGCGCACGGAAGAAAAUGAAUGCCACGAAAUUAUGUUAUCAAUAUAAAUAUCAGAUAUCUCCGCAGAACAAAGGGGGGAAAAAAUUAACUAACUUGCUGAGAACUAUCAGUGAAGGUACUUGUCACGUUGGAGUUCAGAGACCCAACGGAAUCCUCAGUUGAUACCAGGUCUAGAGGCUCUUCAGUGGAGAUAUUCCUGGCAUUGCCAGAAAACUGAACUUUUUCCACUAUUUGAUCACUUUUGAGCAAAGAAUCUUGAUCUGUCUCCAUUUUCUCAGCAAUCAUCACCUUAUAUCUUACACUUCCUUGACUACUUGAGUUUAGUGGUUUUUCUCUAUCAGCAAAAGAAGGGUCUCCUUUAGCAACAGUACCUGAAGGUUUUGCUGUCUUAAAUUUGUCUAAAGAUGCCAUUUUAUGAUUGUGUUCCAAUUCCUGUAUGAUCUCUCGUACAAUGUAAUAAGAUCCUCCAACCCCUUCUCGGACAAGGUAAGCAGAAGGGAACUUUCCUCCAUUCAAGGCUCUGUAACUGCAUUAGAAACAAAGCCAGACAGGCACUGUUCAUGAUAAGCUUCAAAACUGGCUAAGCUUAUUGACUAAAAUUUUGCAGAUUUUAGUAAUCAUAUAUUACUAUGCGUGGAAACAAACAGGGUACAGGGGAGUGGCCAAACCACACACAUCUUUAUAUCAUACCCCUCGGAUUAGAAUACAGAUACAAAUAAUAAAUGGAUACUAAUAAUGGGAAACAUAUCCUAUUAAUAUGGAUAAGGACACAAAUUGAAUAUCGGAUUUAUUCAUAUUUCAUUAAAAAUAUAUUUAAAUGUAACUAAUUAUGUGCUAUAGUACAAAAGUGUAUAGAAAAUGUAAGUUAGACACUUGGUGCCUAGAUGAACUUGUCCUCCCAAUUUAGAAUAACCUCUUCAGUAUCUGGUGGCCAUAGAGUCUUGGACUUUAUCCAUAAAGCAUAUAAGAACUUCUAAGGCUCUAUUCAAACAGUAGUCAGAGUCUAGGAAAACCAAGAGACCGAUCUUACUUCUCAACGAAGGCCUCUAUCAGAGCACGUCGCUCUUGCUUUGGAAUUUUCUUCUGGCCCUUUUGCGCUUUGAGCGGGUCUGUCUGUACUGAAGCAGUAUGUGAUUUCCCACGGGAUCGAAAGGCUGCUCUUGUUAUGCUAUUAGAGAUGCCAACCAGGACUGUAAAAUGAAAGUGGUAAAGCAAGGUUUAUGCAUCCAACAAGCAGAAGAAAAGUUCCAAACGGAGUACUUGCUCUUUUAAACAUACGAUUUCCAAAUGGCAAGUGAUAUUUAUACUAUUCCCAAAUGGAAGAAGAAGAAGAAGAAAACUUCAUGAAACAGAAGAUACUAUAGAUUCAAGAGGAAGCACAGUAUUUGCAAUGAUGAAAACUGUCACUUGGGGAUCAAGUCCCAAAAAAAUUUACUCCAUUACUAGGAAAGAGGUGAAAUCACUAGUUUACACACACUUUUGCUAUUUAAUCAGCUUAUCAACUCUUGUUAUGCAAACAUUUACGUUGAAAUAGCAGAUUUAUCUCCACAAAGCUAGAUUGUAUCCAAUUGUUUAGCUUAAAACCCUACUCUUUUGGGUAAACUUAUUCUUUCUACAAUACAGCAGACUAGUUUCGCUCUAAUCCUUUUUGUCACCACAUUUUGACCAGGUUACAACCUCGCUAUCUCAUACUAAACCCUCGAUGACGAAUUUAACGAAUGGAAAGAGGAGGAAUACAACAGAAACGCCAUUAACUACGAUGAUUCAAACGCAGGUUAUAUUAACGCUUGGGAUUAAUAGAUUCGCGUGGAAAACGAACGCGAUCCAGUGUGAAGCGAUUAAAACUUCGCAAGAUUACACAAAACAUCCAACAUGACAGUCCAAGAACCCUAAAACCCUACAAAGCGUACACAAAAAGGACCAAAAGAGAAGAGAGGGGAGAACGAUCGGCGAAGAAGAAACCCUAACCCCUUUUGGAGGUCGACGAGGAGGAGAAUCGCGCGGCGGUUUGCAUCGGAGCACUCGACUGGGGGGAUCACAAGCUCGAUCCCGAUUCCAUGGCGAUUUUAGGACGCUAGGGCACGGGGGGUAGGGGGGAGGGGUAUUAAUGGCGACGCCAUAGAAAGCGAGAGAGGGGUGAAGGGGGACGCCGGGGUUUUAGGUUUUUUGUUUUAAAGAGGAAGAAGAAGACGAAGAGGAAGGGCUUUACCUAAGCCGACGAGCGAGAGUUCUGCGGGAUCAUCGAUCCCGAAACGUGAGACGGUCUCAUCUGCCUUUCAUCGCGCGGAUGGCACGAAUCUCAAAGCUAAAUGAGCGGUAUAUGAUGCCCGUCCUGGCUUUUGAGCGAGUGUGAGACCCAAGCGGACACCGUCGUAGUAGGACACGAAGUUGGACCGUACGGGCCCACACCGUAGCUAGGCCUGGGCCGUAAUAAUGGGUCUACUUGAUGGGCUUGUAAAUGCACCCAUCGAAUGUCCAGAUCAAAUAGCUAAGUUACACUUUUUUGAUUCGCUGAGCCAAAUGAUAUUUUAUUUCUCAAAUUAAUUUAUUAUAAAUUUUGACUGAACGAUGACGUGCCGCUGAUGUAACUACAUUGUGAGAAUGUUGUUGUCGACGACGCGUUAAUCAUUAGAAUGUCGCAUUGCAGUUAUAUCAACAAAAUUUCAGCAUUUGAUUUGCUAAAUUGAAUUGUGAAAUUUAGUUAGAACAAUCGGCAAAGGUUGCAAAAGUAAAUGUUUGAAAGACUUAAGUGUUAUAGGCGUCAUUGUUCGAUCGAGGACCAAAAGUGUAAGAUAUUCAUUCCAAAUUUAAGUCAAACUAUCUGAAAUGUUUUGGGAUCCUUCAGGUUAUAGUUCUUGUAAAAUGUUAGUGCAUUACAGUUAUAGUUUACCCAAAUCUCGAAUCAAAUUAGUAGGACGAUUUUAUUGAGGAAGUUCUCAACAAAGUUUUGUUUCUGUACAGUAGAAUAUUAAAAACUCUGGGUCAAAUAGAUCAUUAAAUGCUUAUUCGACGGCACUUGAGGAAAGCGUCGCCAAACGUUCUUACUAUAGAGUAAACACCGACGCUUCACAAAGCUACAUUAUAUGAAUCGUCUAUUGUAUCAAACUAAUUGUAGGAUAUAUUAUAUUAUUAUCUUAAAUUUUUUAUACUUUAAAGCGUCAAAAUAUAUCUCACUGACAUAUGACAUAAGCGUCGAUAUAUAUAUAUAUACGUGAUGACUUUCAAAUGAGACGAUAAAUUAUUUUAAGACGUUUUUAAGUAUCAUUAAUUAUUAAAAUUAUAUAUAUUUUUAAUGAUAUGUGACUGCAAUGGCUGAUCAUAACAUGUGAAACAAGCCGAGCCAAACAGGCCCUGAACUUUCCAUGUGAAGCGUGAGCCCAAAGAGAAGGCCCUCGACAUUUCAUGUGAAGCUUGAUGAGCCCAUAGAGAUGGUGAGCUCGAGAAACGGCCAAGCUCCAUAAGCGGUUUCUUUUUCUCCCUUAUUACGUGCCACUCACCUCACGCUCCCUCCCCACACGUGUCCCCCUCACACCCUACAUCCCUCCCCCUCCUCUUCACGCCCCUUAUUAAUGCAUGCAUUACCUCCUCUCAGCACUCUUUGCAUCAUCAUCAUCAUCAUCAUCAUCAUCAUCUCCCUCGCUCAAACAAGCAGUAUUUUGAGUUCAAGAAGAUCAAAGAAGCAAAGCGCUUCAAAGAGGAGAUCAAUUAAUACGAGGUACGUAGAAGAAGUAGAAGGUUUGUGAGGUGAGAAGAGAAGCCAUGCCGCUCCGCCGCUUCGCCUUCGGCCGCACCGAGGACGCCGUCCACCCCGACACCAUCCGCGCCGCGCUCUCCGAGUUCGUCGCCACCGCCAUCUUCGUCUUCGCCGCCGAAGGCUCCGUCCUCUCCCUCGGUAAAACGAAUUGCCUCAAUCUACUUGCAUGCACGACUAAAUAUGCACCUUUUUGUUGUCCCGUGUCUUCUGUUUGUAUGUACAAAUAUUUUGCUCGACAUAUCUCUUUAUCUAAAAUAGAAUGUCAUAUUAAGAAUUUAAAUACUAAUUAUUAGACAAUUUGAUGCAGACAAGCUGUAUAAGGACACUUCCAGCGCGACGGGGCUGGUGGUGGUGGCGAUCGCCCAUGCGCUUGCGUUCUUCGUAGCGGUGGCCAUCGCCAUCAACAUCUCCGGCGGGCACGUCAACCCCGCCGUCACCUUCGGCGCGCUUCUCGGUGGCCGGAUCUCGCUCAUUCGUGCCCUCUUCUACUGGGUCGCCCAGCUCCUCGGCGCCGUUGUGGCCUCCCUCCUCCUCAGGAUAACCACCAGAGGAAUGGUAAUCGUUGAAUAUAAAAUAUUAAAAAUAUAAUUCUGACAAAAAAUAGCCGCUUUAUAUAUAUUAUUUAUAUAUUAUUUCACAAGGUAUCAGGUAUAACAUCUUUAUCAGUUUUCUAUUCAGAUUCCAGUUUAAGAUUUUUUCAAUUUCAUCAAGAGAGUUAUGAUUUUAGCAGAAGAAGUCUAAUGACAGUUACUAUAUAUAUUGACACUUUUUUACACUUAGGGAUCAUUUGGUUGCAUGUAGUUGCAACUACAUUGCAGUUGUAACUGUAUGUAAAUGUAAAUUUUGUGUUUGGUUUGAUGUAUUUAAUUCCAACUCCUGCAGUAGGAACUGUAGGAGGAGACCCAACUGCAGCAGUUCGAACUACGCUCAAAUUGGCCGCAGUUCCAACUACAGCAGUUAGAGAGAGUAAUUUUAAAUAAAAUGUAUGCUUACCUCCUCAAUAUUUUUUAAACAAAAAUUAUUUUCUUUUUUACAUUGGAGGUAAUCUCACCAUCAUAUAUAUAAAAUAAUAAAAUUUUAAAAAUUAUUUCUCAACGGCAUACAACCAAACAAAUUAUUUAUACUUGCAGCGCUUUCUAUUACAUCCAACCAAACAAGAUUUUUGUAUUUAUAACUGUCGUAUUUCCAACUGCAUGCAUUUCUAACUACACUGCAUUUAUAAUUACAUCUAACCAAACGGCUAGAAACAACUUCAAUUGUGUAAAGAAUAAAUUUGAGGAACUAAAUUGUAAUGAAUUGAGGGGCUAAGUUUAUUAUAUUUUUAUUAAAACUUGGGAAUUAAUUGACACUUGAUUAUCUAUGGGGACCAAAUUUAAAAAUUAGUGUUUCUUAUUCUUUUUUUGAAAAAAAAAUAGUAUAUUAUCUGCUUAUACAUUUUAAAAAAGAGCUUUAAUUUACAUAUAUUCUCUUUAUUUACUAGUGUUGGAAAUUUUCAAAUUUAUCAGUGACUACUCAAAAUAUCUUUCUAAAAUUCAAUCCCAUUAAUAAAUAAUAAAGAAAAAGAGAAUAAUUUAAUUUUUUUUAUAUUUUGGUUAUUCAAGAUAAAUAAGGUAUGUUUGAAGAUUAGAAAGGGAUAUUAUAUAUUCUCUUAAAAAAUUAGUGCUAAACACUCUUUUAUGUACUCUGUUGAAUGAAUGCACUUUGUGUAAUUAGCUAGUCCUUUCUAAUUUUUAACUUCUGUAGAAUGGAAAAACUAAUGAGUUAGAUGAUUGAAAAUAAAAGGACAUAACUGUACUAAUACUUAUGUGGAGGGCGAUAGUGUUUUGAAUUCGGAGUACCUAUUAUUUUUUGCUCUCGCACUCUUAUCAUGCAGCGUCCGCCGGGCUUCUCGCUCGCAUCGGGAGUGACCGAAUGGCACGCCGUCCUGCUCGAGAUCGUCCUGACGUUCGGGCUCGUGUACACCGUCUACGCCACGGCAAUCGACCCGAAGCGGGGCCACAUGGGCACCAUCGCCCCGCUGGCCAUCGGCUUCAUCGUCGGCGCCAACAUCCUGGCGGGGGGGCCGUUCGACGGUGCAGUGAUGAACCCGGCACGAGCGUUCGGACCAGCGCUCGUGGGGUGGCGGUGGAGGCACCACUGGGUCUACUGGGUCGGGCCGUUCGUCGGAGCCGGGCUCGCCGGGCUCGUCUACGAGUAUCUGGUCAUACCCGAGGAGACUCCUCAUGCUCACCAGCCCCUGGCACCUGAAGAUUACUAAAGAAGUGUGUGUGUGUGUGUGUGUGUGUUUGUGUUUUUUUUUUUUUGGCUAUGUUUCUUAUGCUUGUUUUGUUUGUGGAGUGUUUAGUAGUGUGUGUUCUUUAAUUAGGUAAAGAAAUAAAUGCCUAGUUCAUGUAAGGUGGUGUACAUUGGACAAUAAGUAUGGUUUGAUUUUACUUUGAAUUUAUUUUACUUGAUGGCGAAUUUCAUUUUCUCACAGCAUUAUUUUUUUUAACUUUUGUUGCAGGCAAGGGUCUUUGUCAUGAUUCUCAAUUUUACAGUUAUUUUAAAUAAAGUUUCAUAAUUUGAUUGACACAAGUUCCUAGAAUUGAUUGGAAUCGGAAUUUGUCUUAGGAUUAUGCAAUAAGGAAGAGCUAGUUUCAAACCAAAUAUACCGACCGUAUCUAGAGCAAGUGGAUGGUUGGUACUCGAGGUUUUAAGUUUGAAUUUUAGUUGAUUCACAUUUUUAGCUAAUUGUAUUUUUAAAUAAAAUAAAUAAAGCGGGUAGCAUGCUAUAUAUAUUUUUUUUAAAAAAAUAAAGUUUCAAACCAAAAUUUGUGGAUACAAUUUGUUUGAAGUGUCAACUUGCCUCUCAAUCUUCGUUUGUUUUAUUUUUAUUCUAUGAUACAUUGGUCAUUAAGUUAAACUGGCUCUCCUAACAAGGGUACCGGAAGUCCAGCUCUUCUGACAAAGGCGUGUUUGUUCACCGGAAGUCUAGCGACGUAUUUGUGAGUUCAUGUAGCCUGACUUUCUCCGGUGGCAUACAUGUGCGAUCAGUCUUACGGAGCAGCCUACAUGUACGGUCAGUCUCAUAGAGCAACGAGUUCGCACAGGACACGAACUUGUGAAGUUCCUACAUAUACAAUUAGUCUCACAGAGCAACGAGUUCGCACAGGACACGAACUUGUGAAGUUUCUACAUAUACAAUUAGUCUCACAGAGCAGCGAGUUCGCACAGGACACGAACUUGUGAAGUUCCUACAUAUACAAUUAGUCUCACGGAGCAGCGAGUUCGCACAGAACACGAACUUACGACUUAAACUCGAACUUGCAACUUCACGCUCGAGAAGUGCGAUGUCCAGUUCCGUUUUACGGACGAAACUCACCGACUUCGACCGAGUGCGGUUCCGCGGAACAAGCAUGCCCUAAGGAGCAGUUCAUUUGCAACUAUAAAUGCAAUACAGUAAAAAAUAUGUACAAUAAAAAAUGUAGCAAUAAUAAUCCUAGCAUCUUAUAAUGGUCCCACGCACGUACCGGAAUGUGUUAUAGUUCAAAAGAAUUUGUUUGAUUAUAUAGAGUUGAGGAUUAUUUUUAUCAAUUUUAACAAUUUAUAUUUGUAUUGAUGAAUUAUUUCUAAUAUAGAAAAAAAUAUUUAAGAAAUGAUUAGAUAGGCAAACUAACCAUCUAUUUAAAAUUACUUCCUCCAACUACUAUAAUCAGAAUUGCGGCUAAUUUGGGCAUAACUUCAACUAUUGCAGUUUAGUCUUCUUAUGCAAUUCCAUCCUAGCAAUUUAAUCUAAACCAUCACACCACACUAUAUUUAAAUCAGUAUUAUAUUACAACUAUAGCACAAUUGUAAUUAGGGUAAACUUCAAAUAUCACCCCUGUAGUUUUGCAUUUUCUCACUUUAGUACCCUACGAUUUAAAGUGUAUCAAGUUAGUGUCAUGUGGUUUCAUUUUUAUCAUUUAGUCAGUUUUUCUGUUAAUAUUUCGUUAAAUUAUAUAAAAAAUAUUUUAAAUACCCACCUACAUUUAUCGAAUAUUCACUUUAGUAUCCUUUGGUUUUAACUUUGUCACUCAUUUAAAGAAAAAAAUUAGUGAAAUCGAUAAUAAGAAGAUAAAAAUAAAAUUACAUGACACUAAAUUGAUACACUUUAAAUCACUGGGUACUAAAGUGAGAAAGCAUGAAACCAUAUGGGUGGUAUUUGAGUUUUUUCUUGUAAUUAUAUGGAGCCAAACAAUCUCUAAAUUUAAGUUCGGUUCACUCUUUUAAUAAGAAAAUUUUUUAAAAAUGCUGCCUAUGCAUUUAUUUUGGAGUGUAAAUUUUAUAUUCCAUCCAUUUUAUAUGUAAAAUUUGUCAAUAGUCGUAUCAAGAUAAUUAGUUAAAAAAAAAUCUCGUAUGAAAUGGACAGAAUAUAAAAUUCACACUACAAUAGAAUUAGGUUAUGAUGAUAUAUUUUUAGAAUAUUUUUAUAUAAAUGUUCCAUUUAUGUCAAUUUUUUUUUUAAAAAAUCUAUUAAAGCCUAAAUAUAAAGUUCAAUUCAAUAAAAAAUAAAAAAUUUCUCUAUUCAACCAACUCCACCCAGUCCACUUGGCCCGAUUACAAAUAAAAAAAGAAAAAAAAAUGAUCAUCAUCUCUCAUUCUCCUCCUCCGCCGCCGCAGCCGGCGAGAUAAAAUUCCAACGGUUGGAGUUCGGCCACGAGGAUCUUGCAGGAACUGUAGAGGGCUAUAAUCGCCACGUAUCGCUCCGUCAUAGAUCGCUAAAGGAGUGGGUGCCAAAUAUCCCACAUAUAGCAACACUUUUAAAAAAUAUCAAUAAUUUAGCUAGCAGCAUUUUUUUGACAUGUACUAAUAUUUAAAAGUAUCGUUAUACAUUAUUUUUAUUGUAGUGUCAACUAAUUUUGGAUGUAAUAAUAGUAUUACUCUUUUUAAUAAAUUUUUUUUUUUAAUUUUCAUCGAAAGAAUCUCAAAAAUAUUAAAUUAUAUAUAAAACAAUAAAAGAAUAUAGUAAAAGUUAGGCCGGAUGUUUGUUGGAUGUUAUUCUAAUAUAAAGUGUAUACCAACUAGGGGUGGAAACGAGCCGAGCUCGAGCGAGCUUACCUCGGCUCAAAUUCGGCUUGAAAUUAAUUUCGAGCCUAAAUUUAAGCUCAAGCUUGGAUUGAAAUUAAUUCGAACCGAGCUCGAGCGAGUCUAAUUUCGAGUCGAGCGAGCUCAAGCCCUAAACGAGCCGUUUGAAAUUCUCAAUAUCAUACGAUCAAUAGUUUAAUUUGUAUAGGAUAUCAUCUAUAAUUUGAUACAAAAAUAUGUCUAAUAGUUCAAAGUACAAAAUAAUUAUAUGAAAUAUAGUAUUAUAAUAUAAAAAAUUAAUGAGUUGAAUAUCUAAUCUUUUCAGCCUCACAUAUCUUUUCUCCGCAUUCAUCUCCAUAUUAUUCAUUUUAUUUAUGCAGUCAAAAUAAAUAAAUUAUACAGAUAAUAUUGGAUUAAACUAUCCAAUCAUAUAUAACUAAAAUAAAAAUUUAUAUGAUAAAUAAUUUUUUACUUUAAAAAUAUUUGUAUAUUUUUCUCAAGCAUACAAUUAAGUGCAAGGUAGGCCGAGGGGCAUAUGCUGUUACUUGGUAACUUGGAGGGCUUCCGGUUGGCCACUUAGGUGAGAGACAGAAAAGAGAAGAGAGAAACAUAUGAAAAUUUAGAUCUCUGUCAAGAAAGAAAGAAGGAAAAAUGUAUAAAUUUAGUGAAAUUUGCUCUUUUAUUUGUUUAUGGGUUUGUUUUUAUGGUCAACACAUUGGCCAAUUUAACUAAAUCAGAUUAUUCACUCAGCCUAUAUAUAAUUAAAAUAUAUUAUAUAUAUUUUUUUAAUAUAUAUAUAUAUUAUAAUAUAUAUAUAGAGUUGAGCUAGAAUACUCUCGAUAGUAACGGAACGUUUUAUAUCGAGUUGUUUCGAUGAUAGAGCUUCCAAAUUGACGAUCGGCUCGUUAAAUAUGAUCUAAACCAUUUAAACUAUCUAGAAAUCAAAUUUCACGCACUUUCGAUAUUGUUCUUUAUCCAUCUAGUGAACAAAAAAUAAUGGCUGAAAAUGAAUAUUCUUUAAAAAAUGAAUGAUAGGAGUCUUGUAAUCAAGAUCAAGAGUAUAGACUCCUGUUUUAAAUAGUUUAAAGAAUUUUCUAACAAAAAUUCAAUUGAUUUGGUAUAUCUUUACAACCGUUAAACGAGAAACUGCUCUCUUAUCCACCAUUAAAAAUUACAAAUUUUGGAGAACCCUUUGAUAUCAGGACAAAUGAUGUCGAAAAAAUUGUGAAAUUUGAUUUCUAAACACUUCAAGUGGAUAGAUCAUGUUCAAUGGAGGCGAUCGUCAAUUUGGAAGCUCUAAUCCAUCGAAAACAACUCGAUAGUAAACGCCCCGUUUACUAUCAAGAGUAUUCUAGGCUCAACUCUAUAUUAUAUAUAUAUAUAUAUAAUAUAGUAUAUAUAUAUAUAUAUAUAUAUGUAGGACUACCUAUACCUAUCGAAAAUAUAGAGGAUUUGAUGCUUUUCGAAUUUUUGACCCUUUUGAUUUAAGAUUGUAUGAGUUGGAAAAUGAUUGCGGCCCUCUUUAGGAUUAAUUAAUAUCCCUAUAAAUUGAGUGGUCCCUACAAGGUAAUAAUAGUAUUAGUUCCAAUCGAGCACCAGAUCCCUAUUCUUUCAAUAGCAAUAAGAAGCUCUACUCUCUGCUCUCUCAUCCCUCUCUCAUCGCUUCUCUCUUCUCCCUCUCUCUCUCUCUCUAUAUAUAUAUAUAUAUAGUGGCUCCGAAUACUUGUACAAAGGUAUCAUGGGGUGAUACAUUGUGUGUUUUAGGCGCUUGGAUGAGAGCAUGUGAGGUUGAGAUGAUGGUGGUAGGUGUGGUGGUGGUAUAGUGUUUAAUCCAAGACUAUUACUAAUCAAAAAUGUAGAUCCAAUGGCUUAAACACCUAAUAGCACCAAUCGAGUGGAUGCUUGUAAGUAUCAUACUCAACUCAUAAUAUAUAUAUAAUAUAUAUAUUAUAUAUAUAGUAUAAUUAUAGAGAGAGAGAGAGAGAGAGAGAGAGAGAGAGAGGAGAGAGAGUAGGGCUAGAAUACUUUUACAAGUAUCACACAAAUGAUACUUGUGUGUUUUUAGCCAUUGGAUCUUUUUUUUGAUUACUAAUAGCCUUUAGAUCAAACACUAUUCCACCUACCACCAUCAUUUCAACCUCACAUCUCUCCAUCCAAGGGCUAAAAACACACAAGUAUCACUUGGGUGAUACUUUUACAAGUAUUCUAGCUCUAUACUCUCUCUCUCUCUCUCUCUCUCUAUAUAUAUAUAUAUAUAUUCGAGCUUUUCGAGCCUAAUUCGAACCAGCCGAGUAAUACUCAAGCUCGGCUUGAAAUAAAUUUCGAGCCUUUCUUUUUGUUCAAGCUCGGCUCAUUUAAUUUCAAGCCGAGCUCGAGCGAGCCAAAUAUCGAAUCAAACGCGAGUCGAACGCGAGCCGGCUCGCUCAUUUGCCAGCCCUAAUACCAACUCUAUAACGAGGUGGUUUUUAUGUCACAUUUUCACUACACGCUAACCUAAUCAAAACUCUCCUUUUAUAUAUAGUACAAAUUGUACAAUAAAAUUUUGAUAUUUUGUAUAAAAAAUUUACUGAUUUUAUAUUUUUGAAAAAAUGGGCCAUCAUUUUAGAUUUUAUAGAUUAUGUUCAAAUUUUUAGUAAACUGGUUAUAAUAGUCUUUUUUUUUCUUUAUGUUUUUUUUUUUUUUUCACUUUCGUUCGUCUUCCUCCACAUUUCUUCUUUUCCUUCUCUUCCCCUUUCUUCUCAUUCUCCACUACCCUCAUAUCGACAUCACGUUCUGCUUUCUUAUCUCCUCCGCCGAUGCCGGCUCGGAUAUGGCAUAUAUUGCAGAGGUGAGGCUACUGCGGAAUACAUGAUUGCGGACGGCGACGGCGACGAGUGUACCACAGGAUUUGAGGGCGACGAGAAUGGAGAGCACGUCGGGCAGGGGCAGGGGCAGUGCUGCGGCACGGCAGAGGGCGAGAGAGAGGGCGCAAUAGCGAAAAAGAGAUGUAGAGGGUACAAGAAAAAAAAAAAAAUAAAGAGUAAAAAUAAAAAAAUUCUUCUGAAAAGACUAUUACGUGUUGUGACAAUUAUCAGAAAAUUGAAGAGAGUAGAUGUUGGUAGCCGAAAUUCCCGACUCUUGACCCGGUCGAAAAUCCUCCUUGGGAAGCGCGUCGGGGUGAGGAACGGCUGCAGAUAGUGACCCUCGAAGUUUGCGCCCUUCGACAGAUCAAGUGAUUCGGCUGACGAGGGAUCAAGCCAACCGAGUUCAAAAACCACUACUAUCUGUUCGGUUCGGCUGGAAUGAGCCGAAUGUACAGAACAGGCCAGAAACUAGGCCGGAAGAAGAACCGAAUGACUAAAGCAAUACGAGCUCUGAUCGGCUUGAAGAGCCGAAAUUACUUUCUAUUGAUUAACUGAUGGGAAGUACAAAUAUGGAUAUAUAGUUUACAACGGAGUAAUGCCCGUGGGACAGACAGACUCCAGGAUUCUAUUUUAGCGAACUACUCCUAGAGAAAAGCAGUAAAAUUACAGGUAGACUACUCCUAGAGAAAUGCAGGAAAUUGCAGGAGAAUAAGGGUGGUCUUUUGUUCACAGGGGAAAAGACCUCUUUUUAGAGUAUUGUUGCCCUAUUUAUAGAUCGCCCCUGCUGAUAAGUUAUUCUAUUUUCACGAUUGGCCACUAUCCUUAUUAUUCGGACCACCUUCAGCCGAUCAGAACUGCUUGCAACCGCUUACGGUUACUGUAACUUCUUUCAAUUGACGUGACGGUUUUCUUUAAAACAUUGCUGGUGCUCCUAGUGCACGGCUAGAUUGAUGCCUUUGAAGGGAACACCGGCGUACCACCUAUCCGUGCCUAAUUGACUCAACAGUAGAGAAGAAAGAAGAAAGAAAUUGCACUACUUGAAUUAAAAUUUAUAUUGUUUGAGACAAAAAGUUACACUGUUGGAGAUGAAAGUUACACUUUUUAAAAAGAAAAUUGUAUGAUAUAAAUUAUUUGAGACUAAGUUGGACUAUACAAAAUAGAAGUUGCCUUUUGUCGUUAAAUCUACUAGGGGGCGCAACCCCACUCAAUUUAUUGGCUCAAUUCAACAUAUAAAUUAUUUAUUUCCUAGACCUAUCAUUAUAGAGUAGAAAUUUGGACCUACCAACAAUAAAUAACCAUUAGACCUAUUUUAGCCAACAAUAAAUAACCAACUAGUUAGAUAGAAUAGAAGGAUGGGUCAUGGGUGGGUCUAAGUGCACGAUUAUAAGGUUACACUGGGCUUAGGCUAAAUUUCCUCACUUUACCGGGCCGCGUCGAAUCAGGCAUGUGUUUGCUCCACCGAAAGUGCAGAGUGCAGCAAUUUUCAAUCAGAAUUGCUCACUUUCAUUAUUAUGUUAGUCAAAACUUCACCGCUGGUCGAAACUUAAAUUUUUCAAAAUAUCUUAAUUGACUUCGGUCCACUAAAAACUGAAAUCAAUUAUAGAAAAAAAUAAUAUAUUAAUCUAUUUCUUACACUUUCAUGGCGUGUUUGGUUCGCUUCUUUUUCACCCUGAAAUUGAAAUCGGAAUGGGUGAAUCUGUUUGUGGGUGUUUGGUAUGCGGGAGUUCUAUUUUGAUUCUGAUUUCCGAGUGGAAUGAGAAUUCGAGAAUCACCUCUUUUUUCAAUCCGGCCUAGAAGGUCGGAUUGGAAGUUGAAUCUGAAUGGAAUGAAUAUUUAUUCGGAUUAAAUUUAUUUUUUCAACUUUUUUAAUUAAAAUAUGAGUUUAAAUUUAGAAAUUAAAUUUAUAAUUUUAGAUUUUAAUUUGAAUUUUAAUUAAAAAUUAAAAUUUAAGCAAGUCUUUUGAAUCUAACUUAUAAAUUUGAAUUUAAAUUAAAUUUUAAUUUAUAUAAAGUUUUAUUCAAAUUUUAUUUAAAACUUAAAUUAAAUUUAUGGAUUCAAAUUAAAAUUUAAAUUGUAAUUUUAAGUUUGAAUUUGAAUAAAUCAAAAUUUAGUUUUAUAUUUUGAAUUAUCCACUAAACUUCAAAGUUUAAUUUUUUUUAAAAAAAUUAAACUAAAAUUUUGACAUUAUUUCAAAAUUUUNAAUAGAUUUAAAAUUUUCACAUUAUUUCAAAAUUUUGAUGAAAAUUUUUAAUAUUGAAUUUUUAUUUUGAAUUUAAAUUAAUAUAUUAUAAAGAUAAAGUUAGUAUAUUAAUUUGAUUACAUUUUUUACCUGAACCAAACACCGACAAUGGGAAUGAUUUAUCCCGAUUCCGAUUCAGAUAACGAACAAAACAGAAUUAGAUAAUGAGUCAUUCCGAUUCCGAUUACAGCUUAUUUCAAUUCCGAUUCUGAUUCCAAUUUCAACUUCGAACCAAACGCGCCCUCAGUUUUACGUUAAUCACUUUCUAUCAAAUAGAUUAACAGCAGAACUGAGAAAACUUCAACUCCACAGCUAGUUAUUAACCUGCGCUCUAAUUUACCUGAAAGUCUACUUCAAUCUAAAAUUCACCUUUGGUGAAACAAACAUGUCCGGUACCACACCUUAUAUUUGAUGAUUAUAAUUAUCGAAAUAAUCCAACAAAUUUGAUUCAAAAUAUAUCUGAAAAGUCUAUAUGGAAAAAUAAACAUUUUUUAAAAAUUUUUUAAAAAAUCUCCUUGUAAGAAGCCUGUUUUUAACAAAAAAAAUGGUAUAGAACAUAUCCAAUAAUUUAAAUUUGAAUUUUAAAAAUCCCUAUCUUAAAGUUUAAGAAGUACUGUGUAUAUAUGUAUAUAUACACCUGGUGCAUAGAUGCUGUUGUUGUUAUUAUUAUUAUUGUUAUUAAUUAUUAAUUAUUAUUAUUAUUAUUAUAUUUAGUAGUACGUAACCGAAUUCGGUUAAGCCACAUCGCUCUUAUCCAAAUUCACGCACCUCUUAAUUAUGCGUACGUAGUGGGUAUUGGUGUGUAUAUAUCUAUAUUUAUGUACACAUGAUAUAACACACACAAACGAAGGAAUAGAGGCUUCUAAAGUGGUGAACGAGAACAAGCGUGUUUUGUAUUGAUAAAGGGGAAAAGAAAACAAAAAAAACAAAGGAGAUGGGGAGGUGUACAAUGAUGCAGCUCAUGGUUUUCGCAAUAUUGUUCGUCGGCGCGACGAAGAGGGCCGAGUCGCGGUUAGAUUCGAGCUUCGACAAGCGUCGACGGAGCCUCCUCGCCAACGGGCUCGGCUUAACGCCUCAAAUGGGGUGCGUAGCUGCUCUUCUUGUUCUUCGUCACUAAUCGCGAAUUAAUAAUAAUAAUUGGUUUAUUUUUUUAGCCAAUUUAAUUAUUAAUUGCAUUUAGUAAUUUAUUUUUAUUAUUAUUAAUUUUUGAGUACAGCUGAUGCUUUGGUCUCUACUGGGCUUGCAAAGCUUGGAUACAAGUAUGUCAAUUUAGGUAAUGUUCUCUUCACUCUCCAUUUAUACACAACCUCUAUAUAUAUAUAUAUAGAUAGAUUUAAAUAAGAUGAUUUAUUUUUUUCAUGUGUGAAACAAAUGAAAUUUUAUUAUAUUUUUUCUAAAUAUUACAGAUGAUUGCUGGGGAAACUACAAUCGCACACCAGAGGUUCAAAUUUGAAUUAUUUCUCCCUUUUUUUUUUCUGGGUUUUUAAUUUGUUUGUUUCAUCGACGCGGUAAGUUAUUUUGCUUAUAUAUCUAUAAUACGGUUUACUUAAAAUAUUUCAGGGUAAUUUACUUGGAAAUGAGAUAACAUUUCCGUCGGGAAUCAAAGCUCUCGCCGAUUACGUGCACAGCAAAGGGCUCAAGUUAGGAAUAUAUUCUUCUGCAGGGUAAAGUUACUUUGGUGCUUCUUCAAAUUUAUCAUACAUUAUCUCUACUUUUCAAAAGUUGCUGCAUGAUUUAAAUAAUUGAGUUUUAACUCACGAAAUUCGAACUAAAAGGAUUAUUCGUCGCUUUUAGGUUCCGAACAUGCAGCAAUCGAAUGCCGGGAUCGCUUGGCUACGAAGAAAAAGAUGCUAAAACCUUUGCUUCAUGGGUAAAGAUUCUAAGAUCUUUGAUUUUUUAAUAUGUUUUUCUACUAUUCAUUAUCGAAAUAAUAUUACAAUUUAGUUAGUAAGUUUGUCAGAAAAUUUUCAGUCAUUAACUUGCUUCGAAAUGUAGGGAGUUGAUUACCUGAAAUAUGAUAAUUGUUACACCGACGGAUCGAAUGUGACGAAGAGGUUAUCUUAUUUUUCCCAGAUUAUUAUCGACUAACUCGACUUAAAUUCGCUCGUCAAGCUAAAUUUUACAAACUAUUUGUAGAUUCCCUGCAAUGUCUCGAGCACUAAGGAAGGUCGAUCACCCGAUCUUUUACUCUCUGUGCGAAUGGUAAAGCUAAAAUUGAUCACAUAACUUAAUCUGAUCAUAAAAUUCUGCAACUUUUUUUCUUAUUUGUUCAUUUUAGUGAUUUUUUUUUUUUUGGUUUUUUUGGUUAAUGGGGUGUGUUUAGGGGAUGGGCAGAGCCAGCAUUGUGGGGUAACAUGUUUGGGAAUAGUUGGAGAACAACCACUGAUAUUAAUGAUACAUGGAUUAGGUAUGCUUCAAUUUCGCCGAAGAAGCAUAAAAACAAAGAGGAAUUAGCCUUGUUUAAUCUCUUUACGAACUUGAAUGGAUAAUUUUGUUCUUGUUUCAGCAUCAUGUGGAACAUUGAUGAGAACGAAAAGUACGCAAAGUACGCAAAACCUGGUGGUUGGAAUGGUCAGCAUUGAGUAGAUCAGAUCAACUUUUAGCCUCACAAGUUGUUGCUUCAGAUUAUCAUUUGAAUAUACUAAGAAAAAAUUUGCUUUUCUUUUUAUUUGUUUUUAUUUGUUUUUCCUGCUGCAAUCAGAUCCUGAUAUGCUAGAAAUAGGAAAUGGAGGAAUGACAAAAGAUGAAUACAUUGUUCAUUUCAGCUUAUGGGCCAUUUCUAAGGUACUUUUAGAAAAAAAAAAAGAAAAGAACACCCACAAAUGGAUACAUUCAAUUAGUUUUAGAUUUCAUUUGUUCUUAAUUUCUUAUCAUGUAGGCUCCCCUCAUUAUCGGAUGCGAUGUGCGGAACAUGUCGAAGGAGACUUACGAGAUUCUGACGAAUGCAGAAGUUAUCGCGAUCAACCAAGGUGGUGAACUCGCGAACAAAAAUCUUUUCUUACACUUCAAAUUUUCCGAGGAUACUUAUUUCUUUCGAUUUUGGGAAACAAAAAAACAGAUUCCAUCGGCGUUCAAGUGCGCAAAGUAAAGAAAGAAGGAGAUCUCGAGGUAGAUCACUCUUUGUUGUCUACUACUGCGUUGUACAAAACUCAUUUCGCAACUCGGAAAGCGGUUUCGAAAAUUAUUUUCCGUAACAGGUAUGGGCCGGGCCGCUUUGCGAAGAGCGAAGAGUAGUCCUUUUGUUAAACCGAGCCGACAAGGGAUCGAGCCCGAUGACGGCCCAUUGGAAGGACAUAGGAAUUCCCUCUGGCACAGUUGUUGAAGCAAGAGAUGUUUGGAAGGUAUAAAUUAACUUCAAAUAUUUGUUAUUUUUCAUUUAUUUGAACAUUUGUACUUCUCUUUUGUGCGCAUGAACUAUGUUAAUUGUGAGAAAUGUAGCUAAGAAUGUGUAUCUUCUUAUUUCUGCAGCAUAAGACACUGAAAGAGAAGCUCACAGGGAAGAUAACGGCGACGGUGGCGGCCCAUUCAUGCAAACUUUUUGUGCUAAAACCGAUCCAUUAACUGAUAUCAGAUUUUAUUUAUUUUAUUUUUUUGUUUUGUUUUGCUUUUGUUUUAAUAUAAAGUUAGGUCCCAAGAUCAGAAAUUCUAUGUCUUUAGUGUUUUUUGUUUUGCUUUUGUUUUUUUAGUAUAAAGUAAGGUCCCAGGAUCAGUAAUUCUAUGUCUUUAGUGUUUUAGUUUGAUUUAUUGGAUGUGGGGUGAAUAAACUGAGAUUAUUCUUUGUUUAAUUCGCUCUGUGUAAGAUGGUGUUGAACUGUUAAAUUUUCUAUAAAACCAUAAGUAAAUGAUGGUUUAUCAAUUUCCUCCUUUAUCUACGGGAUUUAUAUCUGUGUAGAGCUUAAGAUCACAAAAAUCAACAAACUUUUCCUAAUGGAAAAUUCAACAUUACAUAUUAGAUAAUUAGGUGCACAAAAAAAAAAGAAGAUAAAACACUUAAUAUUUCCCAAAUUUUUGCUUAUAAAUUUGUCCCAUACAUUGGAUUGAGUUAAACUUAUGAGUGGAAUUAAACAUAGGAAAAUAUUGUUGAUUUUAUAUGAUUUUAACCCUUUUGAUUCAAAAUGUUUAUGUAUAUGAAACGUAGUGAAAGGGCCAUGAAUUUCGACCCAAAUUCCCCACAAUGUGGCCCCAUGCGAAGCAAAAGGCGCGUGGGGACGCAUCACCUCAUCAGUGGACUGUUACGAUUUAAUUUUUGGUCAUCGUACGGUGAUCCUGCGAGUCCGCAUGCGCCAAUAAACGGACGAAAGAGCGGUUGGAAUAAGUAAUGUGUAGGCCCUCUCAGCUGAUCUGAGUCGUCCAAUGUGAAUCCGACGGACAACGGUUCCCAUUCGGGGUAACUUUAGUCCCACAUCGCUUGUUUUCAUAACGUUAUAUGUCUUCUUAUAACCGAUGCGCGCUCCCUGUGCUGUCUCUUCGGAGACAUCCGAUAAAAUUGGAACGAUACAGAGAAGAUUAGCAUGGCCCCUGCGCAAGGAUGACACGCACAAAUCGAGAAAUGGUCAAAAUUUUUUUAAACUAAUUAUCCUUUUUGCAAGGAGAUUUUGAUUCCUCGAAGUGCUCUGUUCUAUUUAUUUAUUUAUUUAUUUAUUUGUUCGUCCAAAUUUUCUCCAAAUUUUGAUCUUUGGAUUGGAGUUUUGAUCUUGGUUUGUUCUCUUUGAUCUCUGAAUUAUUUUUUUUUUUUUCAAAUUUUCUCAUAAGUUUUCUCUGUAAAUUAGGGUUCGGUAUCUCGGUUUAUUCUCUUUGAUCUCUGGAUCCUCGAAAUGCUCUCUUUUAUUUGGUUUUUUUUUUUGGUUCUUCCAAAUUUUCUCAAAAAAUCUCUCUUUGGAUUAGGGUUCCGAUCUCGGUUUGUUCUCUUUGAUCUCUGAAUUUUCUUUUGCCUCACCGGAAAUUCCUCUACUAGUUAGGGUUUUGACUUAUUAAUUUGUUAUUUUAGGUGUUUGAUUUUCUUUUUUUCCUUUUCCGUUGGUAAUUUGUGUUCUUACGGAAUUAGGGCUUUGAUUACCAAGUUUAGUAAUUGAAAUGUUGAGUUGUUAGUCUCGUUCUGUAUGAUAUAGUAAUGUUUUGUCACAAAUACUUGAUUUUUUGCAGCUACAUAUGGCUACGGAUUGUGUGAUCAUAACUACGAAUUUGCACCUGAUUUUGUGGAAAUUUUGUUUCCCUUCAAAUAGGACAUUUUUAAUUCAGUUUCCCUCUUUAUUCUUGAUAAUUUUUUCUAGACCUUUUGCAUAUAUCUUGAUUCUUAACAAUGUGUAUAUAUCUACUCUUUUUUUUAAAAAAAAUCCCCUUGUGCUUCUGCAUAAUAUUGUUCGGUGCUUCCAAGUGUUGAAAUCUUUAGAAAAUAAGGAAAAAAAAACUUGAUUUUGAGAGUGAUAUUGUGCCUCAUAUCACCUCAGGCGUAAAUAACCACCACUCAAUGUGCAAAAGAAGCAGCUACAUUAGAUUUUAUACGAGUUGGUUGAUUCCUUUCAUUCACAUUACCAGAGAACAUCUCUUCCAUAUUAUUUUGAAACUUCAAUCACCACCUUGUUUAUGUAGCAUGCUUUAUCACUUUAAAACAGUUAAUCAAUGAGGUAUGGUCACAUUAACAGCAAAAUAUGUCAAGAUACCAUAUAUGCAUAGCAUGUAAUCUCUGUAUAUAUUUCCUUUAUUUGUUCUGUGUUCGAUGUGGUCGUGAUCUCCUCUUUCUUUUUCUUGCAUAUUCAGAUGCGAGUGAGGCAGUCCCGCUGCUUUUUAACACAUAAAUGGUAAUCUUCUUUUAUAUGCCCUUUUCGUCUGUGACAUUGUUAUAUAUGUUAGUGUUUUGUGCAUCUGCUUUUGUGCGGCUGUUCUCUAAUCACUUUAGUUGGAAAUCCGUGAAACAAUCUACAAUUUUUACUAGACCCGCAUGCUCGGAAAUUUGCGUUGGAUCGAACUUAAGGCCUCGUACAAUCUAGCUAUUUUCUUCUAUUUCUGAUUCUGGCGGUCGAUGCAACUUGAUUGCAGUUUUGCUUCAGGCACAAUACUUGAUUUGGUAAUAUUAUAUCCUGCUCAUGGAAGUUUGGUCAGCGUAUGAUUAUGAACUGAAGAACUUGAAAUUUCAUGCACUUUUUAAGUUUCAAGUUAAAUUUUGCAACCCUAUAUGCUUAGAUAUCACUAUUUUAAAUAAUCCAUAAAUAGUUGUUGCCCUGCAUUCUUGGGUUGUUAUCUUUCUGCAGGUAGUAGGGCUGCAAGAGCAGUAUAGCAAUAAGAUCAGUAGCAGCAUGAAGGCAUUAAUUUUGCGCAUCACAUGUGAGUUGCAAAGGAAAUUUAAUUUUGAAGAACAGGUUUGAGUAUAAUAUGCACUCUUUUUUGUGUUUUUUUUUUUUCCUUUAUUUUUGUCCUGGGAGAGCCAGUGUUUUUUCAGAAUAGUUAUCCGGUAUAACUAGAUGAAUGUUAUUAUGUUUAGUAGCAUUGUUCACUGAAUAAACCUUAGUCAACAGCAGUUGUAUUAAUUUGUUCUUACUUCUUUUUUUUUGUUGUUCUUCUAUAAGAAGGCUAUUUAUUUCCUUUAGUCACAAUGUUAAGAAUUUUGCUUUAUUCAUUUGAGGGCAUGAUUUUCAUCUCAAUCUAUUUAAGGCACUUGUUUUUUUGCCUAAUUCUUGUCAGAUAGAUAUCAUAGAAAAUGUGGUGCACCGGUGUCGCAGAUAAACAAGGAAGACUAUCUGUGGAAUGGUUUUUUUUGGGUUACUUUCAUUCAGCUCCCAGUAAACAUAUCGAAUAGUAAAUAUAUUCUUAUGAAGUUCAAUUUUUCAUAUUUAUUUAUGCAAAAAUUCAGUGAUAUUCAUAUUUGUAUUUUUCGUUUGUUAUUGUUAAAGCACAGUUUAUUUUUUAAACAAAAGAUAUGUGAAAUAACUUUUUUACCAUCAUAAAUAUGUUACUUCAAAAAUUUCAACCGUUAGAAUUAUACAGAAAGGUCCUUUCAAAAAUUCUCAAUAGUCAUCUUUUUUCUUUCUGCCAUCACAAAUAAUAUAAGGGGAAUAAAAAAAGUCAAUUUACCUCAUUCACUAAUUAAGAUUAAGUAGUUUACUUUUAGUUAAUUAUAUUUUUCUAAUGGAUCCUAACAAAAGGGGGUAUAUUUGAAAAAGUUAAGAUUUUUGCAAGAACAAAUAUAAAAAAUUGAACUUUGUAGGUCCAUAUUUGCUAUUCGACAUAUUUACAGGGAGCCGCAUGCAAUUUACCUUUUUUUUUUUUGUAAUAAUGCUUAUUUGCCAUUUUCAUGUUGUUCUCUUGUAUUUUUUGUAAACUCCAUGUUGUCAAUGAUUUAAAAAUUGGGUCCGACGGACUAGUUCGACUAGUCCGACCGUGACUUAAUCUAUAAAGUAGUUCAGUUCAAUUCUUUGAACCAGAAAAUUUAAAAUUCACUUUGAAUUGUUCGAACCAGCUAAUUGGUGGUUCAACCAUCAAACCGAUAAACUAGUCCGAUUUUAAUCAAUCUGGCCUAGUUUUUUUAUCAAGUUGAUUUAAAAUCCAAUAGCUUAAAAUCAACUUAACUGAUUUAAUUUUCUAGUGCUACAUAUUAGUCUUAUAAAACGUAAAACGUGAAAAUUUAUGUAUAAUUAAUUUGGUCUAGAAAUUAAUAUUUUGUAAUUAAGUAUGAUACUAAAAUAAUAAUAAUAUAUAUAUUAUAUAAUAAAAUUAAAAAUAAAAUUUAAAUAUUUAUGGUAUUAUGCUGAUAUUAUUGGUUCACCCAUAAUUCUUUACCCAAUAACAAUUAUGGCCUGCUAUUUGACCUGAUUUUUAAAACAUUGCACAACAAAAAAGAAAAAGGCAAAAAUAUAAUUGUAAAUUUUUUUAUUUACUUAUAAAUUUUAUGGUGAAGUAGAUCAGUAUGGAGACAAGCUAACAGCACGAAAAGAAGUUGAUUGCACAUUCAUUUCAUCAAUGAUAAGAACUACAAAGAAAUGGAAAAAAAGGUUCAUUUUAGGGGCGGUUGGUUCCUCAUAAAACGAAUCGAAAAAUUAUUUUUGGUAUAAAAAAUAAUUUUUUGCUUGUUUGGUUCAAUGUAAAAAUACUUUUUCGUAAAAGUAUUUUUACAGAUUUGAAAAAAAAUUGAAGUUUUUGUUUUCUGCUAUUUUUUGCCGGAAAAUGAAAAUAGAUUGCGUAAAACUUUUUUUUAUUUAUCAAACCAAAUAAAUGUGAAAAUUUUUCCUUUCAAUCGAACAAAUGUUGAUGACAAAUUAUUAUUCUUUUUUUUACAAACCAAACACUACAAAACAUAAAACAUUUUUCCAGCAAAAAGUGUUUUCCACAAAGAUUUUUUUUUACGAUUUUAUGUUGAACUAAAAUGCAUGUAACAAAGCCUACUCAGGAACAGAGAAAAGAGACAAUUUCAUGAAAAAUUUGCACAAUAGGACCAUGUUUUUUUUUUUUUUUUUGGCUUUCUUGAAGAUAACAGGGAAUUAUUUUUUUAAUAUGAUAGCAUUAUUUUGAGCUCUAGCACUGCAUUUGCAUGGAUGAAGGAAAAUUAGGAGAGAACUAUUUUCUCUUUGUUUGAUGGAAAUUUGAGUAAGAGAAAUGCAGAGAAAAGGAGAGAAAUAGAUAGAAGUUGACCUUCUAAAAUGGCCAUUUUUUUUUUCUCUUCUCUUUUUUAAAUCCAAACAAUGGGAGAAUAAAUGAAUAACAACAGACAAAGGAAAUUUGAUCUGCUAUGCCCAUUUUUCUUCCUUUAAAUAUAAUUUCUCAUCUCUUUGCUGAAUGGGUCGAACAGUUGCCAAACUUGUUGAGCUAAUUAUAUUGGGCCUAUUUCUUAUUUGGGCCUUGCUAUUUGGGCUAUGUAAUUUGGUGAAGUCAAAAUCUCCUCUUUUUAUAUUUUCUUAUCAUGUAUGUGGGCCUCUAUUUGUAAGCUUUUGGAUCAUGAUUCUUUUGAUCCAAAGGCCCAUAUUGUUAGCCUCUUCUCUUAGGGAGCUAAAGUGGGAUAUUAGAAUAGAGAGAAAAAAAAAGAGAGAAAAGUAGAGAGUGAAAAAAAGAAGUGGGAGAAAAGAGAGAAAACCCUAGACUUGGUUUUGAUCUUUGUUCUAUCAAGAAGGAGGUGAGAUCUUCCUUAUGAUGUGUGGUUUACACUAUUUGGAUAGAGCUAGAGAUUGUUGGAGCUCUCUUUUAUACCUUGGAGAUAAGGUGAUAUUUCUCCCAUUUGAAUCUCUCUUGUAAUCUUCAAGUUUAUAGUGAAAGCUUCUUUUGUAUUGUUCUCCCGUAGAUGUAGGUAUAGCCGAACCACGUAAAUCCUUGUGUUCCUGUGGUUUUUGAUUUUUGUUAUUGCUCUUGUGCUUGGCUCUCCAUUUGAUGCUUAAAGAGAGUGGGUUGUGUAAUUGCCCACUAAGUGUUUGUGAAAUUGCCAUCAAUAUUUUUCACCCUCAUUUAACAACAAUUGGUAUCAGAGCUUGAUUGGUGGUUAUCUAAGCAUUCAUUUGUGUUUAUUCACUCAUCUUUCAAAUGAAAAAAGCUAUGGAAUUUGAGAAGUUGAAUGAGAGCAAUUGGCCUAUAUGGAAAAUCAUGAUAGAAGAUUAUUUGGUUGCAAAAGAGCUUGAUUUACCAAUAUUAGGAAAAGGUGCAAAACCCACUAGUAUGGAUAAUCAUGAAUGGGAUAUACUUGACCGAAAAUGUUUGGCGGCGAUUAGACCAUGCAUUUCAUCAUCGAUUUUAUUUGAUGUCUAUCAAUGCAAGACCGCAUCCGAAUUGUGGGAGACUUUGGAGCAAUCAUUUGAGCAACCUUCCGGUGUGAACAAGAUGCAUGCAAUGAAGAGACUCUUUCUCUUGAAGAUGCAAGAAGGUUCUACUAUUCGUAAGCAUGUGAGUGAGUUUAACUCUAUUGCGGCACAAUUGAAGUCUCUCAAAAUUAACCUUGAUGAAGAAGUCCUUUGUUUACUACUUUUGAGUUCUUUACCUUCAAGUUGGGAUACUCUUGUUACUAUGGUGGCGAACACAAUGGGGAACAAAUUCAAGUUGAAUGAUAUUGUUGCUUCAUUGUUGAAUGAGGAAACUCGCAAAGCCACAAAUCAAUUGUCUAGUGAUUUGAGUCAAGCACUACCUAUUGAUGAAAGAGGAAGGUCAUCGAAGCGAGGCCAAUAUUCCAACACAAAGGAAAGAUCUCAAAGUAAAGGAAGAUCAAAAUCACAAGGUAGAAAGCUUACUUGUUGGUAUUGCAAGAAGAUGGGUCAUGUGAGAAAGGAUUGUUAUGUUUUGAAAAAUAAGCAAAAAGGUAAAGGCAAGGAUGUCAAGAAUGAAGUUAACAACGCUUCGGAUGGUGAAAGUGGAGUCACAUUAAGUGUUGCUUGCACAGUCUCUUCUUGUGUAAACACUUGGGUUUUGGAUUCCGGUGCUUCUUUUCAUAUAUGUCCGGAUCGAUCAUAUUUUUCUACAUACAAAGGAGUAGAUGGUGAAUUUGUUUAUCUUGGUAAUGAUCGGGCAUGUAAAAUUAUUGGCAUGGGUGACAUUGUCAUAAAGCAAACAAAUGGUCAAAAGCAUACAUUGACAAAUGUGCGUCAUGUUUCGGAGAUCACAAAGAACUUAAUGUUGGCGGGACAAUUGGAUGAUUCCGGUUUUGUUAUCACUUUCGGAAAGGGCUCUUGGAAGAUAUCAAGGGGUAGUAUGACUAUUUUGAAAGGGCAAAAGAAUGAAAGUCUCUAUACACUUCAUGGAACCACUCAAAAGGGUGAUGAUUCAAAUUUGAUGGUUACUACCGCAAGCAAAGGCGAAAAUAUGCAAGUUUGGCAUAAUCGGCUUGGUCAUCUAAGUGAGCAUGGUAUGCAAGUAUUACAAGAACAUAAACUUAUUCCUUUCUUUGAGCAUUCAUUUCUUGAUUUUUGUGAACAUUGCAUUAUGGGAAAACUACAUAGAGUUAAGUUUAAAAGAAAUGAGAUGCAUAGAAAGGACAAGCAAUUGGAAUUGGUUUAUUCCGAUGUUUGCGGUCCUUUCAAUAUUAAGUCUCUUGGAGGUGCAUACUACUUUGUUACUUUCUUAGAUGAUUAUUCUAGAAAGUGUUCGAUUUAUCCUUUGGCUUCGAAAGAUCAAGUUUUUGAAACUUUUAAGAAAUUCAAAGCAUGUGUUGAAAAGAAAAGUGACCAUUUUAUUAAGUGUUUGCAAACCGACAAUGGUCGUGAAUUUUGCUCUAGUGCCUUUGAUGAUUUUUGUUUUGAGAAUGGCAUCAAAAGAGUGAAGACGGUUCCCUACACACCACAACAAAAUAGGAUCAUUGAAAGAAUGAACCAAACAAUUGUGGAACAGAUUCGAAGUAUGUUGUCGCACUCCGGCCUAUCAAAGUCUUUUUGGGCCAAAGCGGCAAAUACGGCCAUUUACUUGAUUAAUAGAUCACCUAGUGUUGCAUUAGAUGGAGACAUUUCGAAAAUUAUAUGGAGUGGCAAGGACAUUUCCUAUGGGCACUUAAGAAUAUUUGGGUGUGAAGCUUAUGUUCAUAUUCCGAAAGAAAGUAGAACAAAGCUUGAUGUGAAAUCAAGAAAAUGUGUAUUUCUUGGUUAUGGAGGUGAUGAGUUGGGUUAUAGACUUUGGGAUCCCGUUGUUAGAAAAACUAUUCGGAGCCGGGAUGUUGUGUUUAGAGAGGAUGUAAUGUUUAAAGAAGGCACGGAAGAAGAGCAAAAGAAAGAUAAACUUGUUGUUGAUGUACAAGUUGAUGGUUCUUCUCAAGAUAUACAUGAAGUUCAUCCUCCACUUUAUGAUAGUGAUGUUGGUCAUGAUGAUAAUGUUGAUCAUGAAGAAAGUACACAAUCUAGUGAAAGUCGGCAUGAUUCUCAUGAGAGUGAGAACGAUAUGUCUACCCCGCCGGCACAUGAUUUGAGAAGAUCAAUUAGGCUAUAUAAACCUAUCUAAAGGUAUUUUCCUUCUUUAUAUUAUGCUUUAUUUACUGAUUCGGGUGAGCCCGAGUGUUUUCAGGAAGCAAAAGAUUGCCCCGAAAAAGCAAAGUGACAAAGGGCAAUGGAGGAUGAGAUGGAUUCCGUACAUCAAAACCAUACUUGGGAAUUGGUGGAGCUUCCGGUCGGAAAGAAAGCAUUGAAAAAUCGAUGGGUUUAUGUGAUAAAAAAUGAAGUCGAUGGAUUCAAGAGAUAUAAGGUAAGGCUUGUUGUUAAAGACUAUGGAUAAAAGCAAGGUAUUGACUUCAAUGAAAUAUUUGCUCCCGUUGUUAAGCAUUGCUCAAUUAGAGUUGUUUUAUCCUUGGUUGCUAAUUUGGAUCUUGAGCUUGAGCAACUUGAUAUUAAAACCGCUUUCUUGCAUGGUGAUUUGGAUGAAGAAAUUUAUAUGUUUCAACCCGAAAGCUUUGUAGAAGCUAAUCCUAAUUUAGUAUGUAAACUAAAGAAAAGAUUUUAUGAUUUAAAGCAAGCAUCUAAACAAUGGUACAAGAAGUUUGAUUCUUUCAUGCAAGAUGAAGGCUCCAAAAGAUGUGAUUUUGAUCAUUGUGUUUAUUUUAGAUGCUCAGCAUAUGAUUCUUUUACUAUUUUGUUACUAUAUAUGGAUGACAAGUUGAUUGCUAGUAAUGAUCAAAAUGAUAUUACAAAGUUGAAGCUUGAUAUGUCAAAGAAGUUUGCUACUAAGGAUCUUGGUGAAGCAAAGAAAAUUUUGGGCAUGCAAAUUAAAAGGGAUAGUGAGCAUUGCAAGUUGUGGCAUGGUCAAUCGAGCUAUAUUUCUAAAGUUCUUGAAAGGUUUGAGAUGAAUGAUUGUAAGCCGGUUUCUACUCCAUUAGCCGGACAUUUCAAGUUAUCCAAGAAGAACUCUCCAAAGAAUGAGGUCGAAAGAGAUAAAAUGAAGAAUGUUCCUUAUAAUUCGGCCGUUGGAAGUUUGAUGUAUGCUAUGGUUUGUACAAGACCGGAUAUAGCUUAUGCGGUUGGAGUUGUUUCAAGAUAUAUGUCUAAUCCGGGAUGGGAGCAUUGGCAAGCUAUUAAAUGGAUUCUUCGAUAUUUGAAGGGCACACAAAAUGUUUGUUUGUGUUUUAGUGGAACUUCUUUGGAGGUGAAUGAAUAUGUUAAUUCCGAUCAUGCCGGUUGUAGAGAGACAAGAAAGUCCACUACGGGAUAUGUUUUUACAUUUGGAGGUAGUACGGUUAGUUGGAUGUCUAGGUUGCAAGACAUCGUUGCUUUGUCCUCUACGGAAGCCGAAUAUGUUGCCUUGACCGAGGCGGCGAAGGAAAUGAUUUGGUUAAAGCGAUUGCUUGCACAAUUUGGAGUGAGGCAAAAUAAAUAUGUUGUGCAUUGUGAUAAUCAAAGUGCAAUUCAUCUUGCAAAGAAUGCGGCGUAUCACUCCCGAACUAAGCAUAUCGAUGUUCGCUUUCAUUUUAUUCGGAUGGUAUUAGAUCGUCAACACUUGGAUGUGGAGAAGAUCGAUACAAAGAAAAACCUUGCGGAUAUGUUGACAAAGGUUGUUCCUACGGUAAAACUCAUAUUUUGUAGGAAGCACUUCGGAUUGAUCGAGACAUUGAUGGAGUGGUUGGAGAACAAUGCAUUGUGAUGAAGCUCAUUUGAUGGAUGGAGAUUACUUAUUUGAAGGAUAGAGAUUUGCCUUCAAGUGGGAGAUUGUUGAGCUAAUUAUAUUGGGCCUAUUUCUUAUUUGGGCCUUGCUAUUUGGGCUAUGUAAUUUGAUGAAGUCAAAAUCUCCUCUUUCUAUAUUUUCUUAUCAUGUAUGUGGGCCCCUAUUUGUAAGCUUUUGAAUCAUGGUUCUUUUGAUCCAAAGGCCCAUAUUGUUAGCCUCUUCUCUUAGGGAGCUAAAGUGGGAUAUUAGAAUAGAGAGAAAAAAGAAGAGCGAAAAGUAGAGAGUGAAAAAAAGAAGUGGGAGAAAAGAGAGAAAACCCUAGGCUUGGUUUUGAUCUUGGUUCUAUCAAGAAGGAGGUGAGAUCUUCCUUGUGAGGUGUGGUUUACACCAUUUGGAUAGAACUAGAGAUUGUUGGAACUCUCUUUUAUACCUUGGAGAUAAGGUGAUAUUUCUCUCAUUUGAAUCUCUCUUGUAAUCUUCAAGUUUAUAGUGGAAGCUUCUUUUGCAUUGUUCUCCUGUGGAUGUAGAUAUAGCCGAACCACGUAAAUCCUUAUGUUCUUGUGGUUUUUUAUUUUUGUUAUUGCUCUUGUGCUUGGCUUUCCAUUUGAUACUUAAAGAAAGUGGGUUGUGAAAUUGUCCACCAAGUGUUUGUGAAAUUGCCAUCAAUAUUUUUCACCCUCAUUUAACAACAAAACUUUUAGAAACAAAUGCAUAAAUAUUUUAUUUAGUAUAUAUUUUUUUUAUUCACUCAAAAAACUUAUAUAUUUGAUAGAUAAGAAGUGUAGUCAAAUAUUUAGAAUUAAAUUUGCAACGUAUUAGAUAAAAUAUACUAUCUUAUCAAAUCAUAAAUGUAUGAUCAUUCAAUGAGCAAACUCAAACUCGUUUUCUAUAAUCGCGCCAGAAAAUUAUCAUAUCGAACAAGUUAUCCUUCGAUAACCAAUUUCGAUAUCCGGUGUAAAGAGAACAUGGAGCCCCAAAUUCACCUGGGUUUCAACAUCACCCUGUACAACAACUCAAAAACUUAUGCUCAAAUAGCUAAGAGAAGCAAUGCAAUUAGGAGGGUUGCUGAAACAGAGAAAAGAACAUCUCAAACCCAACAACAUUCACCAAAUUAACAUGAUGUCCAAAUGUUAGCAAUUUUCAGACCAUCCUGCAAGCCCAGAAACCUCAAUCAAACCGCCGAAAGUCGACUGUUAUGAAAGCACUAAAUUACCCACCUAUUCAUUGCCACCGGCUUCAGAAAGUUCAAGCUAAGCAGAAAAACGAAAUUAUAUCACAAGUUCGAAGCUUAAACGACGACGCUGCUGCUGGUGCAGCAAAGCAGUUUGUUCCGGUGUCAGACUGUCAUGCAUUGUUUUCAGAUGGAGUGAGUGCUGAAAUAGUUGAAGUCAUGAUGGUGGACUCCGAGCUGUUUGAGCCAGGAGUCGGCAGCGCUAAACAGAGAUGCGAUCUUUUCGCUGUCGCCAGUCUCAGGAUUAAUCCAGAGGCUCCCUUCAAGUUUGUAGGUAGCAAGCCCGAAAGGAGUGAGCGAUACAUUGUUCCAGUUCUCCUCGGAUUUUGUUUCGCUCUCUUUCUCAUCUGAAUAACACAAAGUGUCUUUGGUAAAUUUCUGGAAAUAUAUAUCUACAUAGUAUCAUAAUUCACCGUAGACUAAUACAAAAGGAAAGUAAUAAUGAAAGCGCAGAUACUGAAAAUAAGUAGUCAAAAAUUCCAUGAAUUAAGAUCAUCGAAACUCAUGCAGAACCAGAAAAAAUGUGAUAACAAAUAAGCAUGCAGUGUCUUCUUCAUAAGUGCUCCUCAUAGAAUUGAGUAAUUAUGGAGACUAAUGUGAGAACAAGUAUCACAUUACAGUCGCAGUUCGAUACUCUACUUCUCAGCUAUAUACUGCAUAAACGUCCGAUUAAGAGAAAAUAGGAAAAAGUGACAAGAAGAUUUGUUGAUUUCGAGAACCAAAUAUAGGAAGAAUCUGUAUUAAGUAGAAAAUAUAGUUACGAGCAAAGCGUUCGCGAACCUUGAAAUGAAGCAGAGAUAGUAUGGUAAGUCAGGAAGCAUGUAGACAAGUCCUUCACAUUGCGCUUGGCGGGGAUUUGAUAGAUCGGAUACCUAAUUGACAAGAGAAAAAUAGUAAGAAAAGAUCCAAAGAAAAGUAAAAAAGUCAUACAAAGAUCUAGAUUUCGCGAUCUUCAUCAAAUAAAAGAUCCUUCUAAAUGUUCACAAACACGUGCCGAAAGCUGUUACGAAUCAUCGAAAACGUCCAAAAUAACUUGACAAAAAAAACUCAAUUGUCAUUUUCGUUUGUCGUUUCUGCUUGUCGUUUCCGUUUGUCGUUUCCUCGAUUCGACGAUUUCUUAAAUCAUGAAGAACCGGACAAGACAGCAUGGAUAUCAGAGCAACCAAUAGAUCACGAGAUUCGCCGAUCCUUAUAAUAAUAUCCUUUCCAAACAUGGAUACGCUUACGCAGCUAACCAAGUUAAAGCAGAAGCAAAAGGUAGGCCAAGCAUAGAUACCAAGCAACCGACAUCCAACUCGCUGGCGAAAGCUCGGCGCUCGUAAGAGAUGUCAACCCCGAGAAGUAAUGAGCUAGCUCAUACACCUACUUGAAACAAAAGGGGCAAAAUAUGUAAACAAGUACAACGUAAGCGACACACGCAAAGAGUUUCACCAUCGAAAUAAGAUCCAUGCAAAAUACCUUGUCCACAAAAGGUACCCUUCCGUACGGCGAACAAACCUCAAAGAACUCAAAGCACAAGUGCCCGAAGCUUUUCCUAGCAUCCCAUGCACCCCCAUUCCAUGAGGUCGAUAGCUUCGCGUACUCAUUGCGAUGAUCCCCGUUAAGGCUCCUAUUGUCGAAAUGAACAGAGACAGUUCAAAUUAGCCUUUUCGCUUCUCUUGAUUUACUUUAAGCUUAUGUUAUCUCUUCGAAAGGCGGUAUGAACAAACCUAGAUGGAGUAAAAGGUUUGUUGGUGUACAAUUGGAUCGCGGAAAGGUAUGGCACAUAGUAUUGGACUAGUGUUUCCCCAUCGGGAAGGCGAACUCGCGUCCCCGCGCCAUAGGCACUCCACUCAUAGUACUGGUCCCAGAGCUCGCCAAGGUUGAAAUACUUGACGGUUUCCGCCCCCGGAGUUUGCCAUGCAGAGAAGGAAUGCUGCACAAACAAAAAGAACUUUGAUUUUUUUUUUUUUUUUGUUCGAAUUCGAAUCCAUUUAAAGGCAAUACAAACAACUUCUGUCUAAGAGUAUUAUCCUCUAAUGUUUGGACACAGCAUUUGCUGAAAAAGGUUAAGAUCACUGGCCAGAUCACAAGGGAAAGUGGCUUCAGAAAGGAUAAUGGUGAUCCAGAAAUAUAUUUUUUUUAAAAAAAAAAGGAAAGAAAAGGGGGAUUAAAGUAGAGAUAGACCAUUUGUGAAAACCAACUAUAGUUUCCAUCAAAGGUUCUAGAAUAAUCUUAAAGAAUUGAACAUUGUAGACAACAACAACAACAACAACAACAACAACACAAAUGGAUAUGGAAAAGGAUCAUCAACCACAAUGCUUAUCACAUUAUCCAAAAAGAUCAUCAAUCACAAAAGAAAUAUAUAUAUAGUAGUUUGAUUUAGUCUGAGGAGUGAAUCUGUCAAAGUAAAAAUGACCAAAAAAAAAAAGAAGUUAGAUCCAAAUGUGGAUACAAAUAGUUACAACUGCAGCACAGUCGAAUGCUGGACGCUGAUGCAACGCCAGCGAUCCGAGCAAUAAAUUUGGAUUUGCAUGCAGUCACACUUGCACGUGUAGUAGUGCAACAACAACUGCGUGCAACCAAACGCUGAAAGAAUCGUAAACGAAAAGAAACAACUUGACUAUAAAAAUAAAAGAGAAAAAGAAAAUCAAAGAAGAGAGAGAGAGAGAGAUCACCUUGGAGAGGAAUUGGAUCUCCACAGUGGGAGUGGUGCAAUCUAAGAAGCACUGGAGAUUGGAGUAUCCUCCCAAUUUUCCACUAUCCAUCCUCUUAUCCCACUUGUAUUCUCGCAGUCGCUUUCAACACCCCGUCCAACGCACGAAUAUACCAAUCAACUAUUCCACCAUUUCCUGCACACUAUCCCACAACUGUAAAAAAAAUCCAAUCUUUUUCUGGUCAAACCCAGCAAAAAUAAACAGAACAAGAAGAGUAAGGAUAAGAAGAAGAAGAAGAAGAAGAAGAGUACUCUGUUUUUUUCUGGGGGAAAGAUGGGAUUUUUAGUAAAGAUUAUAGUAAGUACUAAGUGAGAACACACUCACCAACCUACCUAGGAGUUAAUGGAGCCCAAAAAUAGUAAGGAGAGAAGAGAGAGAGAGAGAGUAGGGAGAAGAAGAGGACCCAAUCAUAUAUAUAUAUACAUGGUAAAAAUGCAUGGGUAGUCCUUGUACUAUUCUGAUAUUGCUACUAAAUCACUGUGGUUUGCAUUUAGUCCUAAACUUUUGUAUAUAUUACACUUCAGUCUCUCAGGACCAUUAAAAAUUUGUUUUUUAUUACAAAAUAGACUUUUAAUUCUACUUGAAAUAAAGUAGAACGAAUUAGUCAUUUUGUUAAAGGUAAUAUAUUAGCCGGUUUGUAGAUAAAAAUAUCAAAUAAUUAUUUUCCAAAAAAUAAAAUGUUUUGGAUGGUUAGAAACUAAUGUGUAUAAAUUUAUAAGAGCUUAACUAUUUAUGUGAAAAAUAUUGAUAAAAAUAUAUAUAGAGAAAUGCUAAGUCUACAUCCUUUGUUGGAUUGUGGGGAUUACAAUUCUCAUCUAAGGAUUGUAAUCCUCUCCCUUAGGGUUAAAAAAGAUUAAAAUAAAUUUUAGUAAUUAAACAGAUGAGCAAAAUUUUUAACUAAAAUUAGUUAAUUUUGAAAAAAUAAAUGAAGGAUUUCAUUGAAUUUAUUAGUGAAUUAAUCAGAUAUAAUAACUCUAAAUACUUUUUGACCAAUAAAACUAGAUUAACUAAUAGUCCGUAACCAACAGAGUUGCCGAAUUUAGCAAAAUUUUAACUUAAUUACCCAAGUGCCAAAACUCAAAUAAAAAAGAAAAAAAGAUGUUAAAAAUAGUUAAGAGGUCUAUUUCAAAAAGACCAAUUUUCAUUACAGAAAAGGAGAAAAAUUCUACUUGUAUAGCCAAAAAAAUAAAUAGGUCUUACACUCUUAUUUUAGAGUUCAUAAAAAUUUUAAAAAAAAUUUAGUAAAAUUUAAAAAAAAUAAUGUGAUAAGUAAAAAUUAAUAUCUUGAAUGAAAUGGGUGUCAAAUAUUUACUCUAGUUUGGAGCUUAGCUAGGGACGGAGCCAUUAAGGAGCCCACAGUGUCCAUGGUCUUUCUGAACUUUUAAAAAUUAUAUAAAAGUCCUUUAUAUUAAAAAUUAAUUUAAAAUAUUAUAAAUUUUAAUUUUAGGGGGCCAAAUUAAUUGUUUUUAAUAAAACUUAUGCUUCAGUUUUUUUUCGAACUCCUUAGCUCUUUUUUUAGCUCUUACAGUGUUGCUCUUCUUUGAGCAGAUUAUUAUUAUUGUUGCUAGCAAUAGAUGAUCAAUGAAUCCGAUAAAUUUUUUUUUUUACUAUCCGAGGUCGAAUUUUUUUUUUUUAUAUCAAAUCUAAAUCUUAGCCCUUCCGAAUCUUAAUUCCUAGCUUCGUUCCUGAGCGUAACGAUAGCAUUGCGUGAAAGAAGAAUAGAGGGACCGAAGUCACAAUAUUUGCAUAGUACAGGGACCCAUCCUGCGAAAUUACCCCCCACACCACACAGCGUAAGCGCGCGAGCGUGGACGACACUUGGAGGGGCUUCACGUGUAAGUGUAAAGUGUUUAGUGUGGAGUGUGCUUCUACGAAACGAGCGUUUUGUUUCUCUCUCUCUCUUCUCACUCUCUCUAUAAACUUUAUUACAGAGCUUUAUUAUUGAGCUUCUUUAUUCGCAACGAGAAUCGAAUAAGGAGAGUAGAUAACGAGAAUAAGGUGGAGAAUAGCGAUGAAUAAGAAAGAGAUAUAAAGGAAGUGGGAUAAUUACUACCACGACGUUGGAGGAGGAGAGAGAGGGGCUUACGCUUAGUUUGGUAUUGAGAUUUAUUUUAUCUAAUAAAUAAAAUAAAAUUUGGAUAAAAAUACAUAAAAAUAUACUUCAACGUUUUUCCGUGAAACUAUAAAAAAUAUAUGGUAAUUGGAAUGCAAUAUUAUUACGUACGAAAAUAAAUAUGACAAUUUUUCAUCAUAUUUUCUCACCGCACGUAACGUAAUCUUUCCGCAAUCCAAAAUAAAAUCUUUAAAAAAAUAAUUGCUUUUUUAGCUCCCACAAAAUGUUGCUAUUCUUGUAUAGCAUACUAAUUAAAAUACGUGCACCAGUGAAUAAAUUAUUUCAAUCAUAUCAUAUAAAUUAUCAAUAUUAUAUAUAUAUAUAUAUAAAAGAAAUUUUUAAUUAUUAUUUAAAAUUUUUAAAUUUAUUCUAAAAUUAUCAAAUUAGUAAUUCUAUAGAUAUGAAGAUAUUUGAAAAAAAAAAUUAAUAAAGGCAUUUUGAUCAACCAAAAAUAUAUUAUAUAUUUUUAAAAAUUUUGAUCAAUACAUUAGAUAUCAUCUUUAUGAAAAAUUAAGCGCACCAACUAACUUCGAUUUUGAUUUUGAAGGAUGUAUUGUGGAGUUUGGGGAGCGUGGUGUUUGAGAUGUAUGCAUACACCAAGUGCAGGGAAUAAUUUAUGGUGUGUAAAUAAAUGCUGGGUCCCGGUUCACUAAAAGAGAGUAUCUACUAGAUGUGAUAUGGUAUUAUUCAAUGAAGUAGUUAACGUCCUGGACUGGGUCAUUAUGGAUAGCAAUGUAAACGGGUCGGAUGCAGUUGGAUUUUUAAAAAAUUCGAAUCCGAAUCUAACUAUGGAAUUCAAAAUUUGAACACAAAAUUGAAAUUGUCGGAUUUUGGAAAUCGAAAGCCAAAAUUGAACCCACCAAAAAAAGUAAAAUACGAAACCGAACUCGAAAAUCAGAAUCCGAAACUAAUCAUUUUCCUGUUGUCAAAUUUCAAGACAUAUUAUAUUUAAAUCUAAAUUUUCAAAGUGAAAAACAACUAUAAACUAAAAAGUAACUAUAAAUUAUUAGAUUUUUUUGUCUUAUUAGAUUUUUAUCUUUUAUGUUCAUAAUCGAAAUCAAAGAUAUUUAGUAUCAGAUAAACUUGUUCUCUUCAGAUGCGGGCAUCUGAAACCAUCGACAUAUGUAAUCACACGCCAAGUUAUUUAAAUUUAGUAUUAGUUAAACUGGUUCUCUUCAAAUUCGGGCGUCCGAAACUAUUGGCAUAUGUAAUCACACGAUAAGAGGUUUUUUUUUUAAAAAAAGAAGGAUUGCUAUUUAAAGAGUUGGAAUAAGGCGGAAUUAAAUUCUGUGAAUGUGAUUGAUGGGAUCAAAUUUGGGCCAAUUUCUUUGAAAUCACAUGAAAAUAAUCUAUUUAUGUCAAGAUUUAUUUAUUAAUUUAUUUAUUUUUUGAUGAUGGCAAUGUCAGUUUUUUUUUUUUUUUUUUUUUUUUUUUUUUUUUUUUUUUUUUUUUUUUUUUUUUUUUUUUUUUUUUUUUUUUUUUUUUUUUUUUUUUUUUUUUUUUUUUUUUUUUUUUUUUUUUUUUUUUUUUUUUUUUUUUUUUUUUUUUUUUUUUUUUUUUUUUUUUUUUUUUUUUUUUUUUUUUUUUUUUUUUUUUUUUUUUUUUUUUUUUUUUUUUUUUUUUUUUUUUUUUUUUUUUUUUUUUUUUUUUUUUUUUUUUUUUUUUUUUUUUUUUUUUUUUUUUUUUUUUUUUUUUUUUUUUUUUUUUUUUUUUUUUUUUUUUUUUUUUUUUUUUUUUUUUUUUUUUUUUUUUUUUUUUUUUUUUUUUUUUUUUUUUUUUUUUUUUUUUUUUUUUUUUUUUUUUUUUUUUUUUUUUUUUUUUUUUUUUUUUUUUUUUUUUUUUUUUUUUUUUUUUUUUUUUUUUUUUUUUUUUUUUUUUUCCUGAACUUCUAUAUCAGCGUUUUCGUUUAGGAACUUCCAUCUCCGAAAGAGUGAAAAGUACUAACCAAAAUAAGUGUUAUUAGUUUGUAUAAAAGCUUAGUUAUAAGUAUAGUGUAGCACCACCGUACAGAAAUUAGUAUAUGUUUUUUUUCGAAUUAAUUGCAUACACAUCCCUGCAAAUAUGGUGAAUUACAAAUAUAUUCCUGCAAAGCUCCACUUUCAUAAUUUGUUUCUGUAAAAGUUCUAAUGUAUUCAAAUAUGUCCCUCUGGUUAGGAUCCGUUAGAGAACUGUUAAUUUUUUAACAGUAUGUUCGUGAAAUGACACUUUUACCUUCACAAAUAUGUCCCUUUAAAAAUACUCCAUCUUCCUCUUCGGGCCGCAGGAGUGAACGACGGCGGCGAGGGAUCAUCGACGACGAUGACAAAGAAGAAAAAGGAGGAAAAGAGGAGGAUACGAAGAAGAAAAAGGAGGCGGCAGCGGAGGCUGGAGGAGCUCGGAGGUGAGGGGUUUCGCAGCGAGGUUGGAGAGGUCGCCGACGGCGGAGGAGAGGCGGGAGGCGGCUGCGGCGGCGCAACACCAAGCGCGGAAGAAUUGCGCGGUGGCGGCAGCGGAAGAUACGGCGGAGAGGAGACGGUGGAGGUCGGCGUCGGUGGCGCUUCGAUGAGGUCGGGGUCGGGUUCGCCGGCAACGAAGAAGAGAAAAGAGGAAGAGGAAGAGGAAGAGAGAGAGGAAGAAGAAGUGGGAAGAGGAAGAGAGAGAGAGUUCGCCGCCACAUCUCCUCCCUCGCCGGCGACAAAGAAGAAGGAAGAGGAAAAGGAAGAGGGAGAGGAAGAAGUAGUAAAAUUAUCAUUUCACUUAUUAAUUAACCAUUGUUAAGUAUUUUAAUUAUGGUUAACAAAAUUUUUCUAACGAAAACUAACAGCAGAGUCAUAUCUGAAUACAUUAGGACUUUUGCAAGAAUAAAUUAUGAAAGUUUAGCUUUGCAGGAAUAUAUCUGUAAUUCACCAUAUUUGCAGGAACGCGUAUGUGAUUAACCUUUUGUUUUUUUCUAUUUUAUGUUAGUCCCUUAUGUUAAAAGACUCUAACCAAUUCUAAAACAUAAGUUAAUAGAUGGAAAUAAUUUUGACAUUAAAUACAAGGUUUAAUUUUGCAUCUCAUGUGGAUAACACAUGCUGGUAGCUUUGUUUAAGGUCUCAAAUCGAUUAAAAAACUUAAACAAAUAGAUAAAAAUGUGCUCCCUCGACAUUAUUUACAUGUUAGGAUUUUAUCUUGUAUUUAAUAAAGGUGACAAGCUUUAGAUGAUACUAUCACAUGACAUGAACUCAAUUCAAUUGCACAAAACUCACACAUUAAUUCGCAUCUAAUGUAUAAUACAAAUCCAAUUUACACCAGGUGUGACUAAUAUAUAAUACAAACGCGCAUAUAUUAAAGACGAUGAGUAAACGAUCACUGAACCAACUAAAAAUUAUGGUAAGUGAACAAAAAAUUGAGAGCAAAUAGAAGAUUAGAACUAUCCCAAUACUUAAGUUAAUAGAUAAAAAUGUCCGAUUUAUUAUAUGUAGACCAAAUUAAGUUUUAUUUUGUUUUAUAUAUAGGAGUAUAUUGGCAAAACGUAAAAUUAGAAUUGUUCGAUUCCUCAUAACUAUGAGAGAGAGAGAGAGAGAGAGGCGCCAUUAGGAUACAGUAUGAAUUCAACACAACCAUCUAUACAAUAUAAAAAAGGAGUGGGCACCGAUCGUCUCUAGAGCAAGUGGCAAAGGGCUUAGUAAUUGGUACCUGAGACCCAAGUUUAAAUCCUAGUUAAUUCACAUUUCCAGCUAAGUUUGUUUCUAAAUAAAAUAAACAAAGCAGGUAGCGUGCUACCUAUCUCUCUCUCUCAAAAAAAAAAAAGAAAAAGAGUGGGGGGUGGUGAGCCCCACUUUUUUUUUUUUCACUCUCUCACACACUCUCUCUCUCGCUCUUAUUUUUUUAUUUUUUUUCUUAACAUUUUUUUUAUUUUUGUCUAUAUCAAGUAUAAAAUUUUAUCGCAUAAAUUAAUUUUAAUUUUUAAUAGUUAAUAUAAUAAAUAAAUAUAAAAUUUUAUCACAUUGAUCAAUACUAUUUUUUAAUAGCCAAGAUAACAAAUUCGUAUGAUUUUUGUUCUUAUUUUUUUAGUCUUCUUAUAAUUUAUUCUUAUAUUUUUAUUACAGAAAUAAUUACUUAUUCUUCAGUUGCUUUUUUUUAUAUAACUUCUUGAUUCUUUUUUUACUUUAUUUAGUUAUUUAUUUAUUUUUAUGAAAUCAUUCCGUCGGAAUGCGCGAAUCCUUCACUAGUACUAAAUAAUUCAUGUAUUAAAUCAUGAUUAAUAAGCAGUACAAAUUCAAUCCAUAUAUCAAGGUGAAAUUAAUAUACCGCACAAACAACUUCGUGUUGGAUAGGGAUGCAAACGAGGCGGAUCCGGGGGCGGGAGAGUUCCCCCACCUCCCGCUCCAUUUCUUAUCUGGGCGGGGCGGAUUCGGGGCGGGUUACUUUUCAUUUUAUUUUUGGCUCCCACUUACCGCUCCAUUCGGGGCGGGAGCGGGACGGGAGCGGAUUUUUAACGGAUCGGAGUAGAUUGAAGGAAGAAAAGAGUCUCCCGCCUCCCGCUCCAUUUACUUGGCGGAUCGGGGCGGAUUCGGGGCGGGUUAUAUUUUUCUAUAUUUUUUGUUCCCACUUACCACCCCAUUCAGAGCGGAUUGGGGCGGAGCUCCACCAACCCGGAUCCAUUUGCAUUCCUAGUGUUGGAUGGUUUGCAGUAAUCAUAAUUUUAAGAGUUCAAAUUGUUAGGAAUGAAACAACUAAUCUACUUAAAAUGUAUAGAUAUAGUGAUUUGAUUCACUCGUCAAACAUGACUACCACAUGAUGAUUGAGAGUGUAGACAAAUAUCUGAUAUGAGAUCAAAGGACUCAUCAAUCUGAAAACUUUAAACAAACCGAUAAGGCCAAAUUAUAUAUUUGGUCCUCAAACUCAAACUUUAGUUUAUUAUAAAUGUUAUUCAAAUGUUAUAAAUUAUUACAAUCAAGUUUUCAAAGUCAAUUUUUUUAAUUAAAUAUUAAUACACCGUUAAUGUGAAAGUAAUGCCACAUCUUAAUUAUUAUCGCAUUAUUAAUAUAUAUUUGUAAUAAAAUAAUAUUUAGCUAUGUGUUAGGGACACUUCCGGAAGCCUCAACUGUCCGUAUGGAACACACGUGUCCUUAUUAGAUUCGUGUCCGACGUGGACACGCUAUGGACAUGCGUUCGACAUAGAUCCAUUACGCAUCCCAUUUAAAUUUUUUUUUUUCUUUUAUGUAUAUGUUGUUUGCUUAAACGGACCAGCACUCUGCCUUGUGGCGGGGGCCAAAGUUGAAUCAAGUCACGUUCGAAAUGGCAGGAGGUUAGGUUGGGCCAAGUCAUCUUCGAAGUGGCGCGAGAUUGUUAGGAUCAAGUCACAAUCGAGAUCCGCAGGCGCUGUGUCUGUACGUUUUAAGUGAAUUAGUUGCAUAUUUUUAAUAGCUCGAGUUUUUGAAAUUAAUGGUUAGUGCUAACGAUCCGAUAAGUGGUAUCAGAGUCAGAAGCCACAAGUUCGAUUAAGUAGUAUUAGAGCCAGAAGUCACAAGUUUGAUUCCUGAGAGAGGAUUGUUAGUUAUCAUAUCAGAGCUAGAGGUGAUGAGUUCGAUUCCCACUGAGAAGGGAUUAUUGGCUUAAUCGUAUGAAAAAUACAACAAUAUUUGAGCAAAACUAAUAUUUUAUAAAUAAUAAAUAUGUAUUAUUAUUGGCUUAAUAUAACAAUAUUUUAGCAAAAUUAAAAUUUUAUAAAUAAUAAAUAUAUAUUAUUAUAUUAAUAAUAUUAUAUAUUUAUUAAUGGUAUUCAUGUCGUGUCUGUAUCGUAAUUUUUUUGGAACUCAUCGAAUCACCAAGAUAUUUAUAACGCCUAGAUAUUUAAUCAACUAAACUAAAUUAGAUUGUGAGACUACAAAUUCAGAGAAAUUGAGCCAAAAUUGGAGGACCAGAGCGUCACGUAAAUUAGAUUGUGAGACUACAAAUUCAGAGAAAUUGAGCCAAAAUUGGAGGACCAGAGCGUCACGUGCCACAUAGUUGGAGGACGGCAUGUGCAAUUUAGCCAACAGAAGUUAUCGAAAAUUUUAUUUUAUUUUAUAUUAAAACCAGAGGUAUUGUUCUAAACACCUUACUCCGUUAGAGGAGAUAAAUAGUUCAAAAUUUCUAAAAACUAUUUGCUCUUUGACACAACAAAAAAAACAAAAAACUAUUCCAUUUGAGGAAUUACCAGAGAGAGAGAGAGAGAGAGAGAGAGAGAAUGCUCCAAAUUCGACUAAACCCUAAACCCUCGGCCGACCCGGGCGGCGGCGCGGCGAAGGCUCCGGCGGAGGCGGCGGCGGCGACGGAGGAGGAGGCGGCGGUGAUGGUGGCGUGCCCGGAGCACCUCGUCCUGGCCGGCCUCCCCGUCGCGAAGAGCCUCGGGACCCGUCGGCCGCCGGUCCCGCCGCCUCCUCGGCGAGCGCGUCCACAUCUGCGUCCGCUGCGACUUCCCCAUCGCCAUCUACGGCCGCCUCGUAAUGCCAGAACACCACCACCCACCCUUGCGAUUCUUUGAAUUCUCCUCAAUCUGAUAAACCUUUGCGCGAGAUCGACCAUCACUUGUAUGCAUCGUAUACGAUCGCAAAGAUCGACGCUGCUAACGAAUCUACAAUUUGGCAUACUAAAAAAGGAUUGUUAAGAUUAUGGUUUUAAAGUUAUAUGUAUCUAUACAUGCAUAUCUGUUUAGGUUCUAGAAUUGAGUUUUGAAGACUGGUAUAUAUAUAUAUAUAUAUAUAUACAUAUAUGUAUAUAUAUAUACAUAUACAUAUAUGUAUAUAUAUAUACAUAUACAUAUAUGUAUAUAUAUCCUAUACUAAGUUUAUAUAUUACAUUCAUAUAUGUAAUAUAUAUAUAUAGAGUUGGACUGGGGACUAUUAGUAGCAAAUAGCCUCAUGUUGCUGCAGUUUUUUAGCAUUGGACAACUACUUUUCAUCAUUUCUAACCAUUGGAUUAAAUACAUAUAACCCUGUUGGGACCCACUCAACCUAGGGGACCACUUAACUCUAACUGACUAAUAUCAUCCUAAUCCUACAACUUUUUAUCCAAUGGUUAAAAAUCUGAUAGUAAAAGAGCGUUUUACUAUUAAUAGGUAUUCCAGCCUAAUUUAUAUAUAUUUAUAUAUAUAUAUAUAUGAGUCGCUACUAUGCUAUCGGAAGCAUAGGGAUCUGGGCUCUUUCGGUUUUUUAGCCCUUAGAUCAUCCCCUUCAAUCAUUUCUAAACAUUUAGAUUAAUACUAUUAAUCUGUGGGGACCACUCAACCCUAGGGGUGAUCUCAAUCCUAGGAGACCGCAAUCAUCCCAACCGAUAUUAAUUUUUUAUCUUAUCAAUAAGUCAAAAAGUUGCGAAGCAUCUGGACCUCUAUGCUUCGAUAGCAUAGUAGCUCUACACUAUUAUAUAUAUAUAUAUAUUAUAUUAUAUAUUAUAUUAUUAUUAUAUAUAUAUAUAUCUAUAAGCCGUUUCGUCGAUGAGAGUUCUGAAUCGACAAUCGCUCCAUUAACUUGAUCUACGGCGUAUUGAAGUAUAUAGAAAUAAAUUUGUAAUUUUUCGAUAUCAUUUAGACUUAAUCGCCAUCGAAAGGGUUCAUAUAUCAACAAUUUCUAAUGAGUUAAUAUAUACCGUUUGCAGAACAGACUUUAGAAGCAUCCAAAUUAGAUAAGAAUUUGGAUAGAAAGAUUCAUUUAUUUCAUAUCUAUAACAAAUCUAUCUUGGAUCUGAAAUUUGGUAUAUCACACUUUUAUAUGAGAUUUUUAUUUUUCAGCCGUUGAUUUUGAACCUUUCGUUCACUAGAUGUAAAUAAUAUCGAAAAUCCAAAUUUAUUUAUCUACUAUACUUCAAUAUGCUAGAUCUAAGUCUAACGAGCCGAUUGUCGCUUCCGAAGCCUCCAUCAUCAAAAACAGGCUUAGUGAGUACGGAGGGCUCCGCUGCUCCUAUAGCAUUAUCAAGCACUCUCUCUCUCUCUUCUCUCUCUCUUCUCUCUACUCUCUCUCUCUCUGCUACUAUUAUAUAUAUAAUAGAGCUGGAGCUACAUAUGCUAUCGGAAGCACGAAGCCUUCCGUGCUCUCAGCUCGUAUUCGAUAUUGUGGACUUCGAGUCGUCGCAUCGCUCCGUUAAACUUGAAUCUAGAGUAUUCGAAUACCUAGAAAUAAUAAUUUUUAUGAUUUUUACGAUAUCAUUGUCGCUAUCGUGAACCCGAAGGGCUCAAAAUCAACGGUGAAAAUGAAAAAUUUUACAAAAGUUAAUAAUAUGAUUAAAAUUUAUUAAUCAAAGAUAAUUGAUUUGUUUUAUAGUAUAAAGAUUUUCUAUCAAAAUUUUCGACACGUAUUGGAUAUUUAUAACCGUUAACUUGCAAACGGAACUCACUACGGCAUUAAAUUGUUGUUUGAGGCUCAUUCGAUCACUAGGUAAAUAAUAUCGAAAAAUCACAAAAUUUAUUUUCUAGGUACUCCAAAUACUCUAGAUCAAGUUUAACGGAGCCGAUCGACGAUUCAAAAGUCGCAACAUCGAAAACGAGCUGGAAGCACGGAAGGCUCCAUGCUUCCGAUAGCAUAGUAGUCUCACUCUAUAUAUAUAUAUAUAUAUUACGUCUCCCGUACUUUUGAAAGUACGGUAUAUAUAUAUAGAGUCCAACAACUAUACUCUUACGACUCAUAGGCUUCUUUGUACUUAUAAGUUUUCGGCCGUUAGAUUUAUCUCUUUAAUCAUUUCCACCUAUUAAAUUAUACUAUUUAACUAAUGGUCAAAAACUUAUAAGUAUAAAGAGGUCUAUACGCAUACGAGUAUAACAGCCCUAGACAAUAUAUAUAUACAAAUCAAGUUGCAUGCAAUAAUUUCUCCUUUCUUUGAGCUCCCCUUUUUGUGUUAUUGUUUGUUUGUUUGUUUAAAUUCAGAUGCAUGGUAGAGUAAAAAUGUUGAAGAGAAAUUGUUGAUUUUUCGCCCCCCUCUGUAAGCAUGUAGGGCGAUGCAAAAUCUGCAACAUUUUUAUUUCGUGAAAUCAAAGUUGUUGAAUAGAAUUUUGGACACGCCGAACUAAAUCAAACUAGUUGCCUUCGUUUUCCUUAUAAAAUAUGAUUUAUUUCAUGAUCAACCAAGUAUACAGCUUCUGUACCGUCACUUUGGAUCUUGUGUGGCUUCUAAUUCGUUGGAUCUUGUGUGGCUUCUAUACCAUUCAGUAUAUUGAAACUAUGCUGUAUUUUUCGUUUGUAUUUAACCUGUUUGAUCUAGUAAUUCAUGUAAGUUAUCAUGUAUCUUAUUAUUGUUUUUGUCCGUCGCAGAUUCCUUGCGAGCAUGCUUUCUGUUUGACCUGCGCAAGGAGUGGCUGUAGCUGCUUUCUGUAAGCUAUUUUUCGAACUUUUUUAUACUCUAAAUAAAUUUAUGCUGAGAAAUCUGUCCAUGCAUCCGACGUCCCUCAGAGCAUUUAACAUGCUAAUAAUUGGGCUCGUAUAAAUUACAUAGGUAAUGAGAAAGCAUAGUAAGCAAUUUAACACUGGAGUGUAGGAGAUUGCCUAUAACAUGUCUUCAUCAGAUACUUUAUUACAUGAUACAUCCUUGUAGCAUUUUAUUGGGAUUAUAUGACAUUACUACUUGGUAUAAUUGUUUCUUGCUUGAUGUGAUAACUGGCAUGCUUGUCUCUUUUAUUUCAAUAUAUUUGCCUUUUAUUAAACUCUAUCUCGCUUAUGUUCUAUAUAUUACCUUCGCUGCACGCCAUAGUUGAACCUGUAAAAAUGUGAUCGACUAAAUGGGUCAUACCUAAACACUUAACCAUAGAAUAUUAUAUUUCAUCUUUGUAGCUUCUAUUGUAUGUUUUGUUGUUGUUGUUAUAGUUGGUAUAUUGUUACUUCUUUGCUUUGAAACUUGCACAGUAAUCUUUUUUAAGAUAUAUGAGUUUCUCACUAUUGAUUGUAAGAAGAUUCUCAAUGAGUUCUGUAUCUCUUUUUGGCCAUCCUUGUUUAAAGGUGUUUAUUUAUUUUGAAACACUUUGGGUUAAUAGCCUGCUUAUCAUAUUUUAUUCUAUAUAUAAUGUUAAUUGAGCAUGAAAACUUGCUACAGUUACUGAGGUUGCAGUAGUAGGUUAACUCAAAAGCAGAUUGAGUUUGAUAGUAAGAUGGGCAUUUAAGUCUUGAGAGUAAAAAAUAUCUGUAAUAGAGAACUUGAUAGCAUACCUCAACACUGCAUUGCUUAAGAAGUCAAGCUGAGUCAACCGUAUGAAAAUGCUAAUUGAAGUGUUGCUAAAAGUUUUUAAUAUACAUCAGCAAUAGUUCCUUGCCUUUUUUUUCUUCUUUUCUUUUUUUUAUAAGUAAUGUCUUUAAAGUCUUCUAAAUUCUUGGUUUCUUGCCCUAGCUAUUUGACUCUUCUUACUUCUCUUCAGUUGCGAUGAGCGUAUUCAGAAGGUCCAAAGCAUUAAGAUGAUGCAGGGGAUGUUCAUUUGUGCCGCUCCUCAUUGUCUCAAAUCCUUCCUCGACAGAACAGAAUUUGAGACCCAUGUCCACAAAACACACUCCGAUCUUGGCCAAACCAACAUAAAUAAAGAACGGAGCAAUGAGCCGGAUGCUUUCAACAUUCCUCAACCCUCAUCAACUGAUAUUCAAAAGCAAAACCUACUUUCAGAAUCUUCCACCGCACGUGCUCCUUUAAGGUCCGGCUUUUCUCUCAGCUCAAAUUCCCCUGUCACAGAUUGCGGAGACAGUAUUCGCUGCCACCAAUCUGGUGAUCAACCACGACAAAACCCUAAUUUACUGUGGAACCCACCUGCAUUUCAAGCUAAUCUGCCUCAAGGGCAUUCACAACCUCCAAAAAAUGACAAUCAGAGUGGGCUGCCACAGCCGCCGCCGCCACUACAGGCACCAUUUAGCGGCUAUCUACCUUUGCCUCCUCAUCAGCCACCAAACUUUGCAGUAACUGUGAAGACCAACCAACCCUUAGAAUCAGGGUUUGCCCGGCCGAGGGGCAUGCCUUUGCGGAGCGGAUUGCCAUUUUCUGCAUCUGAUUACUGCAGUUCGGUUCCAGAAAGUUCCUCACUGAACCAGAGGUUUCCAUGUAAGGAGAUCCAGGGAGGUUUUACUGAGCAGAGCGAAGGCAAGGGAGUUCCAGCACCAAUGCCGCCGCUACAGUUGCAUUUUCCUUCUCAGUCGCUUUCACCGCCUCUGCCACCUCAUCUUUCGGUGCAGCCGCACUUUCACUGAACAAACUUAUCCCAUGACAGGUGUUAAGGAAGGUCAAGGCUUCAGAUCGAUGCGAGACAAUAUUGGGUCUAGGUGCAGAGCCAAGAGUAGCUUGUGCUCCUGUUCUAAAUGUAUCAUUUAGGGAAGUUUGAUGUUACAACAAGUGCAAGAAUUUUGCCUUGGCUUUUAAUAUUCUUAAUUUUUGUUCUGUUAAUAGAUGAGAGUGAAGCAUUUUUUAGAUCAUCUUGAUAACUGCUCUUCAAGUGACAUAAAGUUUAGGGCCUCGAUUCCUCUUUAAGAAUGUGCUGAUUUGUUUUAUAAUUUUCAGUUUGGUUUGAGAAAAUUGUGAAAUCUCUAACCAUGAACUUGAAAGUCCAGGGAAUCAUGAACAAAGUCUUAGCCACAACUAUAUUAACUGAAAUCUUCACAACUCAACUUAAACUAUGCACAGAGAGACCUAAAAAACUGUGAUUUAAGGAAAACACUAUUUGUAGGAGCUGAGUAACUGAUAUUAUCUAGCUGGAGCCCGGGUCGAGGACGGGGAGUCUACAGUAGAAGCUGAUGGAUUUAUCAGUGAGGCGCGUCCCAGGAAUGAAGAACUGGAAUAUCACUGUUAAGCAAGCACCAUGUGGAGCAAUACCUAUACAACACCAACAAUUACAAAAUAUUUUCAGCAUAGGAAUAGUUAACUAUACUUAUAAUCAAACAUGGCAAUUGAGAAUUGAGAUGAAAGAGGGGGGAGCAUCAGGAGAACACACCAUAGAAGGCACAAUCUGGCUUGGCCAAAUGACACUGCAAACUCUUCGCUAAGUGCUUCAUGCUCACUUGCUGCUUUAAGCAAAGGAAGAUGUAAAAAAAAAAACCAUGAUUAGAUUUGUAGCAUUUGCUGUAAUACUACCAAAUUUAAAAGGAAGUUACAAGAAGUUCAUGAAUUUUAGCCAGCUAAAGAUUUCACCUAUAUAAUGUGUGCAGGGUGAAAAAACACACAAAAGAGCUACUAAAUAAUCGCGAUAGUUCGGAGUGCUUUGCAAGUUAGUACAGAUGAAGAACUUCAUUGCUUCUCAAUUUUUGUUUUCUUAGUGCAUGUUAUUGUUUUACAUUAGUCGUACAAUUCUUAUUAUUAGCUUCUCAAACCUUCCACCAUGCAAAUUAGGCCCCCCGAAUUAUUCUUGUUAUCGAUCACUGAACUUUCUACGAAAUCUUGAUGUAUCUAUGUUUCUUUUACCAUUGCAACAUUGGCUUUCAGCCUUUAACUCAUACAGGAUUCCAUGACUAAUCAGAUGAACAUCAGCAGCUAGCAAUGACAAGAAAAGAAAUAAUAAAGCUUUGAGAGAGAGAUUCACGAACCACAGAGAGCGCCUCACCCCUCUGAAUCGCCAUCUCCGUACGUGUCCGGGCACUCAAGUUUUGGUCUCCGACCGGUGGUUCAGCUGAGAGAAACAAAUUUAUCAAAAAGAUGGCUGCUUUGCAGUGAAGAAAGGGAUCAGCGUCGAACAGUUGGUGAGUUAUAUACCAUGCGCACCGAGGACUCUGAGCUUCCGGAACUCCGACCCGACGGUGAUGAGGGUGGUGGAGACCUGUAAAUGGAGAUCACCGUACUGCGUGAUGGAGACCGUGAGGAGGUCGCCCACGUUCUUGAGCCGGUCCACCAGGCUCUGUAGCUGGGACAGAUCAGGCACUUGUACCAGAGUCUGCAAAUAGAAACAUAAAAGUAAGAACAAGCCAAAAUUACAACUAAAUGAAAUGCGAUUGUAGAUCGUCAGCUAAAGUAGAGAUUAACCAAGUAUGUUGAAAUUGCAAGUGAACCAAUUGUAGAUCAGUAGCUAGUGUACCAUUAGGACAAAAUUAUACUAAGGAAAAAAACCAUUUUUUAAACAAGAUUGCGCAAAACUUUGUAGAAAUGAGAGGAUUGGGGGUCGAGAUGACCACCUGAGGGAGAUCCUGCGCGGCGUCGAGCGAGGCCUGGAGCUCGGCGACGUCGGCGCGGGAGAGCGGCUUCGAGAUGGGCACGUCCUGCACGACGGCGGAGCGGGCGCCCUUGGUCUCGAACGUGAGGAACGGCGCCGAGGACCGCGACCCCGCGGGGAGCUUCUUGACGAGCUUGAUCUGUAUGUCGACGGCGGCGGCGGCGGAAGGUCCGGCGAGGGAUUGGGCGUGGAUGGUGAGGGCGCUGCGGAGGGCGCGGUGGAGGAGCGGGACGUCGACGGCGAAGGCGAUCCGAUCGGCGUUGGCGCUCGCGAUGCGGUAGUCGCGGAAGAGUAGGUCCUUGUCGAACUGGGCCACGCACUCGACCCCGCCGCCCCCGGCGGCGCCGCCGAGGAAGUUGUGGAGGAACAUGGCGUGGUCGGGGGUGAGAUAGACGUGGCAGAUCCGGCCCACCUUGUCCAGAGCAGGGAGAAACCCUAGAGAGGAUAUUUAGGGACACGGAGAUGAGGUGUUUGGUGAAAUGCGUGUGAGGGGAAAGAGAGAGAUAGAGAGAGCGAGGGAGAGAUUGUUAUUGCGCACGCUUGUCGAGGAGGUGGACACCGUCUUGUGUGAGGAACGCUUUGAACUUCAUCUUCUUCAACUUGGCUUGUGGGUGGAGAGGAGGCUCAGCUCAGCGGGGAACGGAAGGAACAAAUAGCUGAACAAUGAGCGAAUGGAAUAGGCUCCAGCGGCUAUUCAAAUUUCUAGAAGAAGGUUUGGCGCGAGAGGGUAUUUGUAGCCCAUAAUGUUUGGGCGCAGCCCAUGUGAAGAGAGUCACCCCGCAUAAAGACAGUCUAAUCGGUUGUUCAUCACGCAACAUACAAUCCAAAGACUUCCUCGGUCCGGUCCUAUCGUAGGGCUUAGUGCUUGUGUAAUUUUUUUAAAAAAAAUUUCUACUUUUCGCAGCAGCAAAAAUUAACUUUUUUUGUAAACUAAAUAUUGUACUAAAAACCAAAGCAAAAAGAGUACUACUAUGAGUGUAGGUAAAGAUAGAGCUCAAUCAAGAAGAUGUUAAGCUGUAAUAUCAGAACGAACUGCGGUUAACUAACCCUCGCCCCUGCUGCAAGGAAAGGUUGUCAAUUGUCAUACAAUGCAUCAUUAUACAUUAGUUAUUGACAAUGUGCAAAUUUUUGAUUCCGACAGAUUAUGGAUUCACGGGCAGGUGAGUGAACCGUGCAUUCGUAACUAUACCUGACAAAUAAUCAAACCAUCCUGGCAUCAUCUUUUGGCAUCCUUCUGACAGCUCAAAGAUCUUCAUUUCUCUAGAAUUCAAGUUUAAAAUUACAGAUCAGAUCGUUGAAUCAAAUUGGCUCUCUACCCCUCUCACUUGAGCAAUAAUCAGGUAAGAUUUGUACAUACUGAAGAGUUUGAAGAGUUUUGUUUCUGCUGCUUUAGACUCUCUUCUCUUUUAUUUUGGGCGAAGUGUAAUCAGAACAAUUACAUUAUUCCACAACAUCAAUCUUCACUUCUGGGCUUUUUUUUGUUAAAAAACCUAUAUAGCUUAUCUGAACUAUAGACUAUUUUGAAUCGGCUAUCCAAAUUUUCAAAAUAUUGAUUUUAUUAUUCAACCUUCUAAUCUUUUGAUUUGAGUCGAUCAGCAACACUUUAACUUUAAUAUUUAAGUCAAUUAUUUUAGUAAAUUUAUAAUUGUGAGAAUUAUAUGAAAUAUAUUAUUUAAAUCUGUAAAAAUAUACAAAACAUUCAAAUUUUGAUAUUAAAGUGCUAUUUACUGACUCAAAUCAAACAAAUUGAACGAUUGAAUAGUAAAAUUAAAAUUUUGAAGGUUAGGUAGCCAAAUCAAAAUUAUUCAAAGUUCAUAUAUGUUCUGUAUAGUUUUACUUUUUUGUUUUGAUUUUGUUGUGUGGCCACUAAAAAUGUGUUUUUUGAGUUACAGACAAGCAUAAUAGCUUUACACUAUAAAACAAAUGGUUGCUUCCAAUUAAAAUUUGAAAAAUACUAGCUGUAUAUUAGAAACUGGUAUAUAUAUCUUACGUCUCAUCUAUUUAAGGGUUGAAAUAAUUCAUUUAAAAUUUUAGUCCCUUUUUAAAAAAGAGCUCGACAGUGAUAAAAUUGACUGUUGCAUAGAUAGAGUGUAAGAUUUAUACUCUUUUUUGGAUGUACAUCUGCUUAAAAAGUGUUUUUUUUUAAAAAAAAAACUAUUUCAGUUUUUAGAUACAGUAAACUCUCCCCAAAAAAAGAAAACCUGUCCAAAAGGAUGCUGUUUUGCUAGUAAUGAAUAUCAAACACAAGAUAAAGAAAAUUGGAAGGUGUAUACAUUGCCACUGUCAUUACCAUGACUACAUCUGAACAAUGUAUAGAGGAGGGUAAAAAAUAACAAAACGAAACAAAACAAAAAAAGAAAAAAGAAAAGCAGAGAGAGUCUUUUGUAAACAACAAACUUUGUUGCUGUGGAACCAAAACAAACAUGCAUGCAUGCCAAAUCCUAGAAAAAUCUAAGAUCAUAUUCUGCUGCUAUGAGCUUUGAGCAGCAGCAGUACCAGGAACCGAAAGAGCUCUCGUCCCGGACCUCGCACUCGCCGACGCACUAACACUGCUACCCCCGCGAUAAACCCGCCGCUGCUGCUGCUGCUGAUCACCACCAAUCUCUCUUUUCUUUCCGCCCGUGUUAACCGCGACGAUGUUACUGCCAUUCGACCCUCCCCUCGAUCUCCUACCACCGCCAUUUACUCUGUUCUCUUGCUCCACCUCCUCCUCUCCGUUUAUCGAUUGCGAAGCCGAGUACUGAUCGGUCGAAUCUACCGAGUUUGGCUCCCACGACGAAGCCGCCCACGGCUGCCCCAACAAGAAGCUGUUGCUCCCCGCGGAUUCUUGCGGCUCCAUCUCCCCUCCUCCUCCUCCUCCUCCCCCCAAGUCCCUCACCGACACAUACUUGUGAAGGCUCGGCUCCAUCAAAUCAUCCUUCACUACGAUCUCCGACUCGAAAAUCGGCUCCCUCGGCACCGAACCCCUCUUUCCGAACCUGCCGUUGAAAGAGCCCUUAUCGUUCUCGGAGGAUGACGAGUUGAGGUCGGCCACGGCUUCGAGGAUCGAGCAGGCCUUCGACACGCAAGCAGGGAGGGAGAAGGCGGUGUUGUUGUGAUGGUGGUGGUAAUUCUGUAUGUCUUCGAGCAGCAAAGAAGUGUAGCCGAGGUUCUGAUCAAAGUCCCGCGAGGAUCGUCUCGACGAUCUGUUCUGCGUCACCGCUCUUGGGUUGAGGGUCUCGAAAGUUACGUUCGUCGUCGAGUGGGCCUCGGCAUUGCUCUUGGAUGAUCCUUUCACCUCUAAUGCUUCUUCGACUAUCUCCGAUUUGCGCAGCGGAACCGUGUUGUUUUCGCUCGAUUUCUACAAUGAACCAGAUCAGAAUUUUUUCUUCAUUUUUUUUUUAAAGCAUGAAUUGGAAAGCAAUUGAAGAGUGAUAUGUGUUUGUUACCUGGGACUCUGUUUGAUUGAGCUUCCUCACUCCAUCAUCCCCCUUUCGGGGGGAUUUCGACACCUUGCAGUUGUUUGCUCUCAGGGAGUUCUCGUCAAUCUCGGCCAUCGGAUUCCUCCGAUACGGCGAUUGCUCCGCCUUGCGCGACGAGCUCCGGCUCAGCGACUGAGGCUGCGCCGGCAGCUGCGGCGCGCGAUUGAGCCCCACAUUCUCGUUUCCUAUUCUGGCGGAAUUCGCCGGAGACUGCGACCGCGGGGACGCGCAUCUCUUUGGCUUCACAGGGGAGGCUCUUUUCACGCCGGCUUCCUUUUCCCUCGCGGGGACCGACACCAACUUCGCCGGCUGCUGCUGAGGCUGCUUCGGCCUCUCCCCGGCCGACGCAGACGAAGCCGGGCAGUCUGAUCUGCGGGACGGAGAUCGGCUCACCCGUCUGCUGCCGCUGCCGCCGCCGCCCCCCGUAGCUCUCUCCCGGCUGCCCGACCGAUCCCUUCCGGGGGUUCGGCGUCGCGGGGAGGGCCGCGAGAGGCGCUUGUCCGGCUCCCCCGCGUCAUCCAAUUCCUCCGGCCCUAAUUUCUUCUCGUGGUCGAAGUCGAAGCUCCGCUUCGACCCCGAAUACCGCCUGUGUCCGGCGGUGUCGGCCGACGGCAAUUUCCCGGAGGAGCUGCGGCUGAGGCGGCCGCACUGGAUCAAGAUCGCGUCGACUUCCUCUUUCGAGCAGCUCGAAGUCCGGACCGCGACCGGCGGCGCUUCGUCGGCCGCGGCGGUCGCCGAAAUAGUGCUGCAGUUGCGCUCAGCUUCCGGCUGGUUCGUCUUCUUCUUCUUCUCUUUCUCUUCAGCAGCUGCCGCCGUCGCCGCCGAUGGCGAGUUUUUGAUGCUCUGCGUGAUCACGAACACCGGCGGCUUCUUCUCCGCCGCCGCGGCAACUGUGGCUGCGGCUUUUCCUGAAAGUGAUUUGGAUGAUGGGAUUGUGGUGGGUUUCAUCUCCUGCUGCUGCUGCUGCUGCUGCUGCUUCUUCUUCUUAUCGUCUAUCUUCUUCUCAACAGCAAUGGGUUUAGAAGAAGAAGGUGAAUUAGGAGGAGGAGGGCUCUUCUUCUUCUUGCUAAAACAAAGGCCCAUUUUUUCUUUUCUUUUUUUUUUUUUUCUGGGGUUUUCAAAUCCACAAGGAAAAGGGAGAGAGAUUCGGGGAGAGGGGGAAGGUAUAGAGGACCAAAAGGUGUGGAUUAGGUGAUAUAUAGUAUUUAUAUAUAGAAACCAAAAACACAAAAAAUAAAAAAAGAAAAAGAAAAAAGAGAGAGAGAGAGAGAGAGGAAAAACAACAAUGCUUCUUUGAAGGGUGCGAGAGCCGAGGAAGAGAGAGAGACGGAGUGUGUUUUUGGACCACACCAACUACUGUUUGAAAAAUAAUCGGAGAGAAGGAUUAGUGGAACGAGCUGAGGAUUUCAAAUUGAUUGGGUAAAAUUUAUGAGUGGUCCCUGGACUAUCAUCAUGUUGUACCUUAGCCAUUAUAAUUUUCACCUGACAUUUUAGGUCCUAAAAAAUUUCUUUUUUUUUUUUUUUUUUUUUUUUUGGGUAAAACGGCAAUUUCAGGCCCCAACUAAAUUUUGAAGACGUUUAUCUGAUAAUAAAAACAUUUUGAAGCAACUCUUUUUUGCUUUUAAAAUUUUUUAAAAAUAAAUUUUUAUCUAUUACUUGUCAGAAUAUAUUAUAAACUAACAAAUUACGACAAUAAAAUUUUUUUUUUCUGGUAGUGGAAUCAGUAUUUAAAAAAUAAAAGAAACUAGCAUCAAUGUCAAAUGAGGCUCAUACCUUUUAGCUUAUUUAAGUGUAACAUAUGUUAAAGUUUAGAAACCAAAGUGAUUAAAUUAAAAAAACUAUGCAUAUAAAAAUAUGCAUAGGGACCAAGUAGUCAUAUUCAGGAUAGUAGAGGGAUUGCACACACAUUUUACCCAUUCAAAUUAGGUGAGGUGAAGUGGGCGGGAUCUCGACUCCCGUGUGUUGCGAGUGCUGUGCACGGAAUCGAGCCGUUGGGGACGCGUCCGUUAUAAAAGAACGCUUGCCCUUUUACUCUGCCAUUUCCUAUUCGUAAAAUUUUAAAUUUGGGCGUUUGAAUCUCCUCCAACGGCUAUCUCCGGAGGAUUCUAUCACUUAUCACCAUCUUCGGCCUUUUUUUGCAUUUAGAUCCUGACAAAUUUUUAUUUUAAAAAUAGUCCUGUCAAAAUUUAAUUUGCAAAAAUAGUUCUGGACCUGCCACGCAGGCGCCACGUCAGCGCCACGCGGGCAGGGCUGGGCCCGUGUGUUAAAUUGAACACGGUGAACCAUUCACCGUGUUCAAACAUGGUGAAUGGUUCACCGUGUUUAGUACGUAUUUUUUGCGUAUUUUUUGUAUAUUGAAAAGUGGAAUAAGGACUCCUUAUUUCACUUUUCAAUAUACAAAAAAUACGAAAGAAACACGGUGAACUAUUCACCGUGUUUAGACACGGUGAAUGAUUCACGGUGUUCAACUUAAUACCCUGGCCCAAGUCUUACCCGCGUGGCGCUGACGUGACACAUACGUGGCAGGGACAGGACCAUUUUUGCAAUUUUAAUUUUGAUAGGACUAUUUUUAAAAUAAAAAUUGCUCAGAGGACUAUUUGCAAAAAAAGCCCCCAUCUUCUGAUCUUAAAAAAAAAAANCUUUGGCUUUUUCUCUGUUUUUUUUUUUUUUUUUUUUUUUUUUUUUCCCUUCCACAGUUCCACGUCGUCAAUCACGUGAAGGGAAUGAAUUGGAAAAAUUUUAGUUCGAUUUCAUAUCGGGGGUGCUAAUUGUUCACGGAGAUCCUCCUAUUAAUUGGAUAUUGUAAAUGGAUUUUGAGCAUUUAUUUUGUUGGAGGUACAGAAUAAAUUGUCACAGUGGCUAUAUGUGGUACACAGGAGGAGAAUUUAUGAUUUUUUGGUGGCCGUUGGAUUUCCAUUCGAUGGUUCUCUGAUGAAACGCCUGAAAUAGUGGCGAUCACGAUUCUUGCGUGAGCUAAAUAUUCCAGGAUCUAGAAUGUAUACAAAGUAUGGAGUCUAUAUCUAGAAUAGGAAAACUCCUAAUAAAAGAAAGAAAAGGGCUAAGGGCUAGAUAGGAGGAUAAUAAUAAAUGUCUUUUCUCUUAUUACGCUUACGACAUUCAAACCACUGGUUGUUGCUUUUCAAAGCACGAAAGUUUUAAAAACCAAACUAAAAAAUUAUUUUGAUCCUAUUUAAAAGUCACAAUAAGUUAUCCAAGACAUUCCGUAUAAAAAUUUUCUAGUGUGAUUGUAAAAAAAAAAUUAAUUAAUUUUUAUUUCUUGAAAGGUUUAAUAUUUAUUAUUUGAUAAAAUAAUAUAUUUUAUUCGCAAGAUGAUUAUAUUAUAGGAAAAAAAUAAUUUGAAGACCGAAUAUAGUAUCCAAUUCUUAACAUUUGAUUUAACUCCUCAUCUAUUAAAUGUACAAGCUUCUCAAGUAAAUUAUAAAAAUAUACCGAAUGAGAUACUUUAUGCAUCCAAACAUAGCAUUGAACACAUUUCUAUAAUUUACUUUGAGAAAAAUAUAAUGUUCGAUAGAUGAGAAGCGUGGUCAAAGAGUUUAAAAUAAUAUCGUAUUCAACAUUCAAUUUUUUUUUUCGGAAUAAAAUAAAUCACCUCGGAGCUGGAAUACACUACUCUACUAAACCUGAAUGGCAUCCGGAAAGGAUCUUCUUACAAUUAAUCUUCUAUUUUCGCAAAAUUAAAAUUGAAAAACGAAAAUUAGGAAAAGGAGGCCACCUUCCUGCUUUAAUUGCUCAUUAUAAAUAUGACAUAAGAGAUUUAGCCUUCCCCUUCUGCCGUCAGCUAAAGUCAAUUUUCAUAAAAAUAUAUGGGAAAACUUUAAAAACCCCCCCUGUAGUUUCGUAGUUUCUCACUUUACCCCCCGUGGUUUGAAAUGUAUCAAUUUACCCCCCUGUGAUUUCUUUUUUCUCUUUUUUUUAUCAAUUUUAUUAUUUUUUUUUUCUUAAAUCAGUGAUAAAGUUAAAAUUAAAAAGUACUAAAGUGAAUAUUUGAUAAAUCUAGAUGGGUAUCUGAAAUUUUUUGUAUAUAAUUUAAUGAAAUAUUAACGAAAAAGCUACCGAAAAGAUAAAAACGAAACCACAUGGGGGCAAUUUGAUACAUUUUAAACCACAGGGGGGCAAAGUGAGAAACUACGAAACCACGGGGAGGUUUUUGAAGUUUUCCCAAAAUAUAUUACAAGAACAGAGAAACUUAAAAACAAAAAGCUUCAAGUGUAACUGAUAGAAGGAAAAGUCACUAUCUGAGGCAAAUUCAAAUAUCCUCUAAUUUUUAUUCCAUUCAAGAUGCAGGAAAAUAAGUGAUCUAUGACAUGAAAUUGAAGAGAAAACAAAAGACCACCUGCUUUGUGAAAGCAUAACAACCCAUUAAUCAUCAAUAGUAGCAGCUAAAUCACAACUGCAAUUGAAGAGUCAUCUUGUGCUAAUAAAUUAAAUCCGGUUAUUAGAUUAGGUUAAGAAGAGGUUUAUCCAUGGGACUGUAACACAACGUGUAAUUGAUCGAGAGUACUAAGUACAAUUUAUCAAGGAUGUAAAGGAUGCACUUUUUCCAAGUCAAUAUUAUCUGAUUUUUGUAACAUAGUGCAUGACUACAUUGCAGAGACAAACUUUAACUUUUCCCCUAAUCAAAAGGACAUAAAACACGUCAUGGUGCUUAAGUUCAAACUAUGUUGAAUAGAUCCGCCAACAAUGAUCUGCAAUUGACUAAACGCUGCUUUCCUAACGGGUCAAUGUACAAAUUGAUUUCAAGCAUGAUUGAGGAAAGCUUGAUUUCGACAAAAAAUCAAAUAUUGACCUGAGAUAAAUCAAAACCUACGGUAAUUGAGCCCUAGAAAUAGUUUCAAAAGGUGCAAGACACAAAACACACAAAUAAGAAAGAUAAGGUGACUACACGUUGGAAGACCUAUAUCACCACUAUAAUAAUUGCAAGUGACAUACCGAAAACAUACUGUUACAGCAGAGUUAUGACAACAAACAAAUCACUCCAGCGAUGCAAAUUGGUACAUCAAUAAUGCCGAAAACUACAAAUUAUGCAACCCCCCAUAAUAACUGGUGUAAACAUCUAAUAUCCCCAUAGAUAGCAUUUCUAAACUUUAUUAACCGAAACUCACUUCUGCAACUCAAAAUCUGCAUCUUUUACAGGCACUUCUAAUCAGGCGCAUAUCUAGAAUCGAAGGGUCAGUCUUUUCAGCCCUAACUACCGGAAAAAGGGAAAAAGGAAAGGAGGGAAAAAAAAAUCAAGCCAAAGUAAUAAAAUCCUGGCAAGUUAUAAAGAUUAAUCAUCUUUGUAAGAACACAUGUUUGCUCAUUUCUUCCAGCAACAUGUAGGUUGUGCAUUCCACUCAAUGACAAAGACCUAUAAAUGGAAAGGAAAACCUACUGCCUAACCGAAAAGAAACAUAGCUAUCUGAAAUAUCGAACUCAAAUCUUCAAAUCUCAACUACAUUGUCUAACCCUCAUGAUCUUCAAGUAGUUAAGAAUUGGCUGUUUUAAUUACAAUCAUCAACUUGGUACAAGCAUCAAUUUCUCAACCUUACCAAAUUUAAGGAUUGAAUGAUCUCCAAUAACAUCAGAAUGCCAAAAAAAAGCUAGAAAUGGCUGCAUACUGAAUGAUUAAAUAGGUUUCAAGGAAUGGAAAUUUUACCCCUCUUGGGAUUAUUGGCCCAGGUCAACAGCAACUAAACAUAUGUCAUAAGGAAUAAGCAAUCCGGUGAUUCAGAAGUAACACAUCAUUCAAGAAGAAAACAAUUGUAACCUGUAUUUAUUUUUAAGUCAGUACAACAAGAAUAAACAACUAGCAAAGCGCUGGCAUCUUUAUGUUUAGAAUUAUGAAUUAUUGCUCUUACUCAAUUUCAGUGCAGUCAAUUGGGACAGCCUUAAUCUUGCUAUUUCAGAUUGUGCGCGAGAUCUACGUUUGUGGUUUUGUAUGACAACACAAAAUAGAUGCAUUUGCUUCUUUCUUCAUUUUUACAGGGAAAAAAAAUUAGUUUGCACACAAACCAACAACUACAAAAAUAGAGAAGCCAUCCCUAUGAGUUUUGUAUGACAAAAUAAAAAAGAUGUAUUUGCUUCUUCAUUUACCCAAAAAAGAAAUUAGUUUGUACACAAACCAACAAUUACAAAAAUAGAGAAGUCAUCCCUAGGCACUUUCAAUUGCAUAAAACUUUACAGAAAACGAAGAAAAACAUAAACAAUGCCAGACACACUUGAAAUCUUAAGAUGCAACAGACUGAACAGAAAAAGAACAAGCAUAAGCAAUAAACCGUAAAGUACAUAAAAAUUCAAUCACGAGCAAAUUUAUCUUCUAAGUUUAAACAGAACAAAGAAUUUUGCAGAAAACACAUCCUAUAAUUUCCAAGCAAGUUUGAGUUUGCACAUAAUUUUGUCAUUUGGACUUGAAUCUGAAAACACAUUGACAAUUUUUCUGUCAUGAGUACGAGGCUAGAGCUGGAAUUUGGCUAUGUCAACUAUGAGUUGGAGAUGGAAUAAACAUUUUCCUAUAAGAAAUAUGGGCUUUAGCCUAAUCCACCUGAUGAGGGGUGUAAGGGCUUUCUUAAAAGCUUAAAAAAAUCUAUUCCAUGUAUAAGAAUUUACUUUAAUACAAAUAAAUUGUUGAGAACUUCUAACAAGGUGGUGGAAUAGAGAUCAUCAGAGGAAAAACAGUAGCCAAUUAUGAAAAAAUUAUAUGCCUAUGAAAAACAAAAAAAAAAAAGCAACUCAUAAAUCUAGUCUACAGGAUUAUAGUUAUAAGAUAAUAAGAAGCCAUGAAAUUUUAAGCUGCCCGAAGAUCACGAAUAAGAUGAAUAAAAGAUGAGACCAUUUCUUUUUCUUUUCUUUUUUUUUUUUAAGAGAGUACUGAGAAGGAAUGUGUGUGUACAGAUCACUCUUGCAGCAUGAAAUUGUGGAUUUACUGGCCAAUAAUGACCAGAAAAACUAUUAACAGAUUUUUCAUUCACACAAUAGUACCUAAAUUACAUUAGUAGGAUGUGCAUGACUACCAUAUUAAAGUAAAAAAGCGAUGGUAAUAAAAAGAACUAUACUAGAUGCUUUGCUGAAUAAUUAGCAGGUCGAAUGAUAGGCUAAGAGGCCCUUGACUACACAAAACAGAGACCCUUUGUUAUCACUAUAAGCAAGCAUAAUACUGUAGUGAGAUAUCAUAUAAUUGUACAAUCUAGACUAUAACAGCAAACAUGGCCCAAAGAAUAAUAAUGUAGUGAUAACACUAAACAAGGAGAAACAAGGUAUCAAGCACAUUAGCAUUGAAAAAAAAAAGAACUCCCCCUGUUAUUCUCAUGAAGAAAUUCGUUAUCUGCAGAUCUGUUGAAACGUAUGCUAUUUCAAUAAAUGAUCAAAGAAAUAGAUAAAUAUAAGUAGAUCUAUAGUCUGAAUGGGACUCAAACUUAAAUUCUUUCCUUAAACUAUUUCCAUUUAACAACUCACUGAAUCCAUUUGCCAAAAAGAAAAUUCUGAAAUAGCAGAAAAAGUGAAAAUUUAUGACUCACACAGUUAGGAAUUAGAACUAAAGCAUAUGGCAUGAACUAAGCUGAUCGAUUCAAAAGUCCAUAGAAAGCAACUUGGCUGGCUCGGAAAUACUAACAUAAACUAGUAGAAGCUUCUUUAUAUUUCCUCAGCUUUUAAAUGCUUGAAUAACAAUAAGCUGCUAUGACAUCACCUCCGUGUAACUAUUGCUUGCAUAUUGAGAAGUCCUUAAUGAAAUUUUGGGAUCAGUUAUACUAACCUAUUAAUCAUGUCAGUUUUAAAUUAGGGAAAAAUUGUUUUUAAACAAAAUGGCAUCAUGUAUUUUUUUUAGUGCUCCUGCAUCAAUAUGAUCUUUCCCUCUCUUUCAGAGUACCAUCUACUUGCUGCAUCGUGUAUUUUUUAGUGCUCCUGCAUCAAUAUGAUCUUUCUCUCCCUUUCAGAGUACCAUCUACUUGUUGUUAGAAACGUGGUCUCUGUUGGAGAUGCCCAAACCAUCUAAAUCGAUUUGAAUGCAACUUAUCUACUACAGAUGCUAUCCUAACUUGUGUCAGAUAAGACAAUCAAACUCUUUAUCCAUCUCACUAUUAUCGUCAUGGCAACUCCCAACUUCAUAAAUUUUUGGUUUCCUAGUUGUAUAACUGACAUAUUAGCAUAUGGCAAAUAUCAUUCUAUAAAUGAUUUUAGCAGCCAAGUAAUAUAACCACAUGGUAGAAGCAUAUACUAUGUAAUCUCUAGUAAUGCUUCUGCCAAUAAUUCAGAUCUAAUAUAUCAAAGCCUUUCAAUCUACUGGCAGAUUAAUUUCUUAAAGUACUAGAGAGCACAAAGGAAAAGUCUAGUUGAUCACUAAUUAGCCUGAGAAUGUGAAAUUCAGAGGGAGUUGUUUUGACGAGUCAAGAACAACACAUCAAAUUUCCAGACGAUUAUGAACUUCCUUUUUAAAUAGAAUCUUGUUUUUGUAUUUUAAGCAGAUAGUGAAUUUAUUAAGCUCAAAAAUAACAUAUGCAAAAUCAUAUCAAAAAGACCACCGUAAGUACUUAUAUAGUUAAGCAAGUACUCAGACCAUUUGUGUUUUAUACAUCUUGAAGUAUAUUUGCAAACUCAUGAUUUCAGAUACUCCAAAGAAGUCAAUAAACCUUAAAGUGCUUAGAUACCAGGCCAAAUACCUAAACAGUUUGUGCUACAUAUAGCUUGAAGCAUCAUUUGCAAAAUCAAGAUUCCGAUGCUCCAAAGAGUCAACAAACUCUAAAUUACUCAUAUACUCACCAAACACCUAUACAAUUUGCGUUUUAUACAGCUCAAAAUAUCAUUUGUCAAGUGAUGAUUCCAAAUACUCCAAGAAGCCAAGGAACCAUUGAACUACUAUAGUGCUAAUAUACUUGACUUCAUACUUCAAUUCCAAGCAAAAAAAACUCUCCAAGUUUAGAAUAAGGGAAUUCCAAUGAGGUUAUGGACUAUAUCAUCUAUCCCAACAAUUUCUUUAUGAUUGUACUGCAUAUUCUAGUUGUUGCAAUUAACCAAACAGAGCCUAAAAUUCACAAAAAUAGCAUCAAAAGAAACACACAGGAGAGCCAAUAAGAGAACUAGCAGGCUUUUUCUUAAAUUUCGCAGCCUAUCAAAUAAUAUACAAGUACAGCGACCAUUUAUUAUGUAAAUAAAAACAGGAUAUGAAUAUGCAGAGGAAGAGGAGGAGGAGGAGCUAGGGUUUGUUCCCCGAUCUCACCGAUACAAACCCCAAAAAGGGCGAUCUCAAUUAGGGCCAUCGGAGGAGGGCACGUACUCGAACUCGUCCUCCCGGAGGUGGGCGAAGAACUUGACGGGCCUAUCCUGGCCGUCGAUUCGGAUCAGGAACUCGACCUUGAAGGGGAGAUUGGCGCUGAUGCGCUUCCCCUUCCACACGCCGACGUACUGCUUGAUCGUCCCCUCCAUCCCGCCCAGAUCCAGAUCCGGCGCCUUCGCCACGUGGUACACCCUGAGCGGCGCCUUCACGCGGAUCCUCCGCCCGAUCUUCGCCGCCGCCGCCGCCUCCUCCUCCGCCACCGCCGCCGCCUCCGACGACGAGACGUCGCUGGUGACGGCGACCUGGCACGCUACGCGCCUUCGAGAAGCGGCGACGCGGGGGAAGGGAGGGAUCGGAGGGCGCCGAAGAGGAGGGUAGCGGCAGAGGAGGACGGAGGAGGAAGCAAGCGCCGCCGCCGCGGCGGCAGCGGCGGCGGCGGCGGUGGUCGCCGGCGUAGGCAUUCUUAUUCCGAUGAAUUUAAUAUGGUUUUUUUGGGAAUUUUUUCUAUUAUUCUCGAUCCGUUUUCGCUAUUUUUUUUAUCAGCGUUGUUGGGGUUUGACGAUGGAUCGGUCGUUGGGAUAGGGCGAAGAAGGGAGGGAAAUAAAAUAAGAAAAGCGCGUUUCUUCUAUUUCGACUUUUUCAUAUAUAUAUCUAUCAGUUUGAUAAUAAAUAUUCCUAAGAAUUUUUCCUUUUUCUUUUUAGAGUUGUUAAUGAGAUUAAAUAGGGCGAAAUAAUAAAUGGGAGUGAGUGGUGAGAGAAGUGGAUAAGGUGGGGAAGGGAAGAGAAAAGAACGAGAGGCGCAUGUAAUUCUGGCACGAGGGGUGAGCACAGACAGAGAGAGAGGAAAAGGAUAAGGAGGGUCUCCAGGCUCACACUGCGUUUGCAAGAAUCAGCCGAGAUAUUGCGUUUUGGAAGAAGCAGCGGUGGAAGAUACUUUGAUGGGGGAUAUGUUUACCGUGCUGGGCACUCCAACUGUCCAACAGCGACUGAGAGGUAUGUUGUGGGUUGGUAUGAUUAUAGGAAAAUUUCAAAAAAUCCUCGUGUGAUUUCGUAGUUUCUCACUUCCCUUGUGGUUUAAAAUGUAUCAAUUUGUCUUCCUGUGAUUUCUUUUUUCUCUUUUUUUAUCAAUUUUAUUAUUUUUUUUUUCUUAAAUCAGUGAUAAAGUUAAAAUUAAAAGGGUACUAAAGUGAAUAUUUGAUAAAUUUAGAUGGGUAUCUGAAGUUUUUUAUAUAUAAUUUAAUAAAAUAUUAACGAAAAAGCUAUCCAAAAGAUAAAAAUAAAACCACAGGAGGGCAAUUUGAUACAUUUUAAACUACAGGGGGGCAAAGUGAGAAACUACGAAACCACAUAGGGGCUUUUGAAGUUUUUCCAUGAUUUAUAUGUGGCCUCGUGGUCUAAAAUACAUAUCCAUAUAAUUAAAAUAUAUAUUAUAUAUAAUUAUACAUAUAUACAUAUAUUUGAGUUUUUCGAGUUUAAUUCGAACGAGUCCAUUAAUAUUCAAGCUUUUAAGAUUUGAAAUUAAUUUUGAUUUUUUUUUUUAUUUUCAAGCUCAUUUAAUUACGAGCCGAGGUUGGGCGAGCCGAAUACUGAACCAAAAGCGGGCCGAACAUGAGCCGGCUCACGCGUUUGCGAGCCCUAACAGCAACUGCCUGGGGAUAUUAGCUUGCCACUUUCUAUUUUGCCUCGAGAGCUCGCAUUGUUCAAAUUAUAACUUGAGCUAUGGGUUGGAUUUAAAAAUUUAGACUCAAGAAGUUCCAGCUUAUUUGGACACGCCCAACUGCCCAAGACUCCAAGCCCAGUCCGAGCCCAACAUCAUUACCCAACUAAUCAUUUAGUUAUAUAUAUUUAUCUGCAUAAAGAAUUAAGGCCAAUUGCAUAAAAAAUCAGCUAGUUUUGGGUUUUUGCAAAAGUGGGUAAUAUUUUUCGUUUUUACAUAUUCGGUCCGAUUUUUCAACAAACUGAUCGAAAUACCCUUGUAACAUUUUCUCUCUCCUUUUUCUUUUCUCUUGUUCUUUUUUUUUUUUUAUUCUCAGAGAGCGGUGGAGGUAGAGACGGAAGCGAAGGUGGCCCGCUUUGGUUUAGUUCAGCACAUCCUUACCCUCAUUCACGCACUCCGUACCUUCCUCGCCUCGUUCCGGACGUCAAAGGCGAGUAUCUGGCAGGGCGCAGGGUCAUUGCGGAUGACCUAGUGGAAGUUUCCGUUCACCAAGGCCCGUCCCGAAGGGCACUUGUUGAUCUCCAAAGGCAGAGAUAAAAAAAAUAAAUAAAAAAUUUUUAAAAUUUUGAAGAACAUAUUAAAUAUUAUCUUAAUAAAAAAAAUAUUUGAAUCUUAUUGGAUACGCAUGGUGUAAUAAUUCCAGAAAGUGCAAAAUUGUCUGAAAUAUCCAAAAAAAAAAAAAAAAAAAUGAAAUACCAAUCUAGAUAUUCAAAACUUAAUCUAUAUUAAAUUAUUUUAAUAAACAUAUAUACAUAUAUUUGAGUUUUUCGAGUCUAAUUCGAGCGAGUCCGAUAAUGUUCAAGAUUGAUUUGAAAUUUAUUUUAUCUUAUUUUAUUUUCUGUUUAAGCUCAUUUAAUUACGAGCCGAGUUCGCAGCGAGCCGAAUACUAAACCAAAAGCGGCCGAAACUCAUCUUCUAGCACUAACAGCGAAAUAAUAUUCAAAAUAAAAUAGUUUACACAUACGGAUGGAAUUGGGACUGGGCCUAACAAAGAUCCAGUCCGAUAGGCCUUGUAUGGGCCGGACUUUGGGUAUUCGAAUUUUUUACUUUAGCUAUGGGUUGGAUUUACAAUUGAGACUCAAAAAGUUCCAUGCCCAAGACUUCAAGCUCAGUCCGAGUCCAACAUCAUUACCAACUAAUCAGGCAUUUAGUUAUAUAUAUUCAUCCACAUAAAGAAUUAAGGAUAUAACAUAUAGUGUAAAUUAUUAUUCUGUAUGCCUUACUAAUUAAAAAUUUUUAAGGUAUCGUUUGGUUCGGGGGUAAGCAAAAAAUAGCUAUUACAGGAAUAGGUAUAAAAUGAGGUAUAAACGGGGAUUAGAUCAAUUUUGCGUUUUGGAUGAAAAUUGAGUUAUUUCUGGAAAUAAAAAAAAUAGCGUUUGGUUAGGUAAGAUGGAAUAAGAAUUAAAGUCGGUAGUUAUAAAUAAAAAAAAAUGAUAUUAUCCCUUUCUUUAUAUUAGAAUUUAAAUUUUUAUAUUUUAUAUUUGUAUUUUGGAAUUUAAAAUAUAAACUUUAAAUUUCAAAAUAUGAAAUUAAAAUUUGAAAUUUAAAAUCUUAAAUUUUAAAUUCAAAAUUUUAAAUUUUAAAUUUAAGAUCAAAUUUAAAUUUGAAAAAUAUAAAAUCAAAUUUUAAAUUAAAAAUUAAAAUAUCAAAUUUAAAUUUAAAUUUAAAAUUUGAAAUUAAAAAUUAUAAACUUUAAUUUUGAGAUUACAAAUUAUAAAUUAAAAAUUAAAUUGUAAAAUUUUAAAAUAAGAACAGGGGUAGGAACAAUUAACAAAAAAAAUUUAUUAUAAAAUUUGUUAUAAUAUUUAAAUAUAAAUAAUAUGUAUUAAUAUAGUACAAUUAAUAAUUUUAUAAUAAAAAUAAUGUAUUAUAAUAUAUAACAUAUUAUAUGUAGUGUCCUUGGAGUACAGUAUUUGAGACUUGUCGACACGUCGGGAGAGUGUCGGGACAAAUCCCAGUUGCGUUAGCGCGAAAUAGACGCAAAACGGACUCAGUGGGACGCAAGAGCAGGAAGUAGCAUUGGAAUCUGUAAAUGGCAGAUUUUUCAGCACUUAGUACCGGUACAAAGGGGUGUACCGGUACCCUAUAUGUUUUCCUGCGCAGACUGCUCUCGGGUUGCCUAUUAUGCUGCGUGGUAUCGGUACAACAUUGAUGUUGUAUCGGUACACCAGGGUAGGUGAGGGGUGUUUUGGUCUUUUGGCUCCUCGUUGUUGUCACCCUCACCUACUCCCUCUAUAUACGUGUAGGGAAGUUGAGAAGCAGAAUUUUGCUGGUUUUCUUCUCCUACUUCACAGUGAAGCUGGGUUUUUCACCUUGGUCCAUUCAACUCUCCAAUUUACACUACUUCAACCUUGAGAUACAGAUUUCCAGCAGCGACCUUCGGCAUUUCGGCUCGUGUGCGACGUAGGAAGGUUGGAUUGCGGUGAAACUUGGUUUGUUGGAUUUUAGACUUCAAGAGAAAUCCAUACAGCUCAAUUUUACUAAUUUUGGUUGAGCUUAGCUUGAUCAAUUCCUCAUUUUACUUUGCUGCUGGCAGCAUUGAGCUGAACAUGAGAUUUUUUGGAUUUUCUUUAUGCUAGCUUUGGAGGAAUUGGAAUUUUGAACCAGAGAUGCAUACUCCAGCUUAGGUUACUAGUUUUGGGACCUACCUUCAUCGGAUUUGAGUACUAGAAGGUAAUUUUGACAUUGAGGUUGGGAUUAAAUUAGCUUAAGAGCUGAAAUUGUUGAUGUAUUGAUAGUUUUUGGUGAAUUUGUAUGUGUAGACCAUUGUGUAGUGUGGUUGCUGGUUUGGAGUGACUUCGGCUGGUCUUGGCAAGGAUUCCGGCGACUUCUCACUCCCGUGGAUUUAGCGCUUAAGGUGGGUUAAUCAUUGGUUUACCUUCUAAGUGUAUAUAUAGUCGACAUGUAUUCAUUGCAUUGUUUUGCAUAUUGUAAUUGCUCGAUUCAUUGAUUUGGUACGAUUAAAAAUUUGAAUUGGAGCCUAGUAUUUAACUAUAUAUUUGUACAUGUUGGACUUGGAUAUGAUUUAGGAAAAAACCCGCGAUUCUACCCUAUCACAUGCUUUAACUAUCUGAUUUAGCUCUAGGAGCCGUGGUUCGUUUAUAUCACCGCAGUAUCAGAGCGGUGGAUACCUAGGGUAGUUUAGAAUGCAUUUACGCUCGUGCUGAGAUGCUGAGCUUAUUUUUACAGCAGUGUCUAGGCUGUUUCGGAUUGUCGUGCCGUUGGAGUUGACGGUGGACCCAGAUUGCCACUUUUGCAUCAGAUUGUGCCGAGGGCACAUGAGUUGAAUUGUUAAACCCUGUUCACAUGACUUUUGCCUGUAAGAGCCUGAUUGAGUUCGAUAGAGAUACGCUUGCAUACUCAGUUGGGUAGCGCCCACGAGUGCCACUCCGGAGUCGGGCUUUGUGCGUUUGCGUUGGUGUCGUUUUGUCCUGAUUGGACUUGCUCUCCACUGAUGACCUGGUUUGGUGUCAAACUGUGUAGCUUCGACAGGCGGGACGGGUGUGUUCACAGUCCCUAGUGAGAUUGGGUCAGGCCUUACUAUUUUCUACAGAUUGUUGGUGUUAGACCGAGAUAGUAUAGGUGCAUAUAGCUGUAGACGUAUUUCAGCUUUCUUUCUAUACUUGUUUACAUCUGUAGACUUAGUGGGUGAGCCGUUGAGGUCGAUAGCGGUACCCACUGAGAACUACUUCUUUUUGCAGUAGUUCUCACGUCCAGUUGUUGGAAUAUUUUGCAGAGCCUUCUUCUUCGGCUGUUGCUGCUGCUGAUUCAAACCAUGGAAAGGGAGUCGCGAGUUAGAUCCCCUCCUAGUUGCUGCUAAGCUAGAAUAUACCAGCUACAGGUAGUGGUAGUUUUUGAGUUCAUAUACAUACUGUCUUGUAUCUCGCUGGAGCGAGCUUUUUGUACACCUGGAUUCGAUGUAUGUAUAGUGAACUUUUAUUUUUUUUAUAUUUUUUUAUUUAUUCUAGCAGCUCUUUACUACUGGCUGUAGUAUUGAAUGAUUAUAGGUACAGCUAUCGCUUCGUAUACAGAGAAAAUUCCUUUGUAUACGGCGGAUUUGUCUGCGUGUCCAGAAAAACGAGUAAUCCGGGGCGUGACAUUAUAUUUAUAUAAUUUAUUUUUAAUUCAAUUUAUAAUUUUAAUUAGGUUUGAAAAUAAGCAUUAGAAUAGCACUAUUCCACUAAAAUGGUGAAAUAGUAAAUCUCAAGCUAUUCUGGGAUAACCGGAAAUAGCAAUAUUUGACCGGGAUAAAAUAUUUCGGUAAAAAAUCAUCUCGUUUGGCGGACUAUCAGGAGUAACUUUCAUUAUCCCUACUUAUCUCUCGAACCAAACGGGGCCUAAAGAAUGAGGAGGGUAUCCGGGCUCACACUGCGUUUGCAAGACUCAGCCCAGAUAUUGCGUUUGGAAAAAGCCGCGGUGGGAGAUACUUUGAUGGGGGAUAUGUUUACUGUGCUAGGCACUCCAACAGCGACUGACGGGUGGAAACGAGCUGAGCUCUAGUGAGCUAAAUUUUGGCCGAAGGUUGGCUUAAAAUUAAUUUCAAAUCUAAAGUUAAAUUAAAAUUUGACUUGAAAUUAAUUCGAGCUUACCUAGAUGGAGCCUAAUUUCGAAUUGAACGAGCUCUAGUCCUAAACAGAACGCUAGAAAUUCCUUCACAUCAUGCAAUCUACAAAAUUUAUUUUUUACACGAUAUUGUUCAGAACUUGACAUAAAAAUAUGUAUACUGUUAAGAAAAAAAAUUAUCUCUAAUCUUAUAACUAAUGUUCAUUUUUAUUUGUGGGUUGAUGUGAUUAUGUAAGAUAUAUAACGGCCUGGUUGUCUAAAAUAUAAAUCAAUACAAUUAAAUUAUUAAUAUAUAUAAUUAAAAUAUAAGGUUAAAUGCAUAUAGAUCUUUACAAAGAUAGUAAAUUGCAAAUAUAUCUGUAGUACACUGAACUUUAGCAAAUUGCGAGGCUCUAGUGUUAGAAUAGUAAUUUGAACUAUUCUAGAUCUUGUAAGGGAUUGUCGAGGGUUUAUCGGCAUGUAACUUGAGUGUUGUAAGUGGCCGGAAGAGUGAUAACUCUAAAAACUUCGAAAUCUUGGUUUUGGCAUUGAGUACCGGUACCCCCAAGCCCGAGUACCGAUACCCAAUACAUCAGAUUGAGUUGGUAAGGGGUGUUAUGGUAAUUUCCUAGCAAGGGUUAUCCUUCUAAGUCUCAGCACGACCCUAGCUGUUGUUCUUAGGUCCAGAAGCUUGGAGAAAUAGGGUAAACUCUGUCCCUUUCUCUCUCUAAAUUCUAGGGCUAUUUGAAGUAGAAAAUUGAGAAUUUGAGCUCUUUUUCUUUCCUUCUCUUGAUGCUAGCUGGUUUGGAAGCUGUGGAGCAGCUUUAGAAGGGUGGAAAGAAGAGUUUGGCAGUGGUUCUUCAACCCUAACUCAGGGAAUAUCUGAGUUGAAGCUUUGGACAGGUAUACUACCUAACAUCUCUCUAGUUUGAGGUAUUAGUAGUAGUAUUGGUGGAGUUCUUUGUGUUAGCUCACAGCAGGUUUGUGAAACCCUUUUGGCCGAGUUUUGGUCAUCCUUAUAGGUUGGAUUUGGUGUGCUCCAACCUAAGUUGAAGUGGAGAUUUAGUCUUGAUUCUAUCCUAGGUGAGAUUCUUGCCUAAACUGGGUUAACUUGUGAAGUUCUUAUGUAAAGGCUUGGUUAAGCUCCUAUCUAAUUUAGAAUAGUUGUUAGGGUGCGUAGAGGCUAGAGAGCACCUUCGCUCGCGAGAUCGACAAGAGUCGACAGCGAUUUGAUGGGUUUGACCUUACCAAAAUGGAUGAAUUCUCCCUAUGUCCUCUUUGAUAUCAUGACAUUGGAAUUCUUGCAUAUUCAUGUGAAUAUAUGUUUGAAUGUCUUGGUGCAUGCAUAACAUGCAUAUUAUGUCGGAUUAAAGGAAACCUCUAUGUAGCGGAGAAAGAAUUAUGAAAUUUGUUUAGCAUGCAUAGAUCGCUUGCUUGUUUAGCAUGCAUUAUAUGAUAGUAGCAUACUUGUGUAGACAAGUUAAAUAUUGCAUCAUUUAAUAGUGAAUGGAUGUAAAGUUAUGAAGAUGAUACCUAGUUUGGAUGAACAACUAAGUAAAUGAGAUAAUAUUGUUCUUAACCUUUGAGUUAAAUUAUGUAAUUUCAUGUUGUAGACAUGACGACAGGACUUCGGUGCAUAUUAUAUUUAACGAGGUUAUACUCCUAUAUUAUGGAAUGAAUGGUUUAGAGAUCAUGUGCAUGAUACCUUACAUGAAUUUUGUAUGUAUGGCUAAGUUGGUUAUGGUAUUCACAUGAUAGAGUUAACAUGAACUUUAUGCUAUUGAAUAUGACCUAAUUAAAUAACUAGAAUUGAACAUGAUGUUAUAGAUUAUGACCUAUGGGUCGUGAGAUGAUAUACUUGUGCAGUCAAGUAGAGGUAAUUGCAUAAUACUUGUUUACUCUCUAUGGGUCGUGAGAUGAUAUACUUGUGUAGUCAAGUAGAGGUAAUUGCAUAAUACUUAUUUACUCCCGAAAAUCCAAACCAUAGACACAUUAAACGUAAAUAUCACGGGCGCGUCUGAGGCGCACGCCUCACUCCUUGAGGCGCCGAGACUCGCGCCUUGCGCCUAGGCGCUGAGGCGCGCGCCUCUGAGGUCCGACUUUUCAAACAUUUUAGAGAAUAGUCUCAAUAGCCAAUAUAAGGCAUGAAGAGCAAGAGGAGUUGCAUUCGAAACUUUAGCAGAUGAACUUGCAUCAAAGGCAAUUGAUUGUGAUAUCAUUAUUUAGAUAAGAAAUGUGCGCAACAAAAUACCUCAAAUAUGGGAGAGAACGAAAGCAGAAGAGCACUUAGAUGUGGAAUCAUUAACAAGAAUAAGAUUACAUUUCUCUAGAUAAGAGAGUGAGUUAAGAUCUCUCUAGUUUUGUGGUCAUCCUGAACUUUUUCUUUUUUAGCUGCUCCAACUUUCAUAAAGAAUGACUUGCAAAUUCUAAGCCUAGAAGAACUCUGACAGUUUUUUUAAAGCAUAUAAAAAAUAUAUUUUCCUUCAUCUUUUAUGGUACUCCUCACACAUUUAUGCUCAAGUUACGAGUCUAACUUUACAAAAAGAAGCUGAAAUUUUAUUCAAGACAAUUAUUAGUGAUAAACCCGAAUAUGAUAAGAAGAGAGCAUAAUUUGAUUUUAUGUGAAAGUCGAAUUUAGUUAGAUGAUGUGUGUGUGUGUGUAAAAAAAGCCUAACGAUCUAACAUGAAAUAAUUGAUUGAAGAAAGUUUCUAAAUCUGAACAAUAUCUAUAAACCCAAUGAUAAUAUUUUAAGUAUUUCAUGCUCAUCACUGGAAUAAUCAUUUGGCAACUAAAAGAUCACUUGUAGAAUUAUACUUUGUAUGAAUGGAAGGAAGGCAAUCCUGACCCAACAAAAAAGACAAAAUUCUCUUCAUUUCUUAUACAAGAUUAGGGGAUAGAAUAGUGCACUAGGAAAUAUUGGGCAUGAAUACAUAAAGUGCACUAGGAAAUAUUGGGCAUGAAUACAUAAAGGUGCAUAAACAUUCAACACUAAAGAGAUUAUAUAAUCAGUCUGUGAUGUUCGUUUUCCAAAUAUACUGCCAUAAGAAUAGAAGUACUUACAUGUUGCUGGCUACCAUUAGCAUGGAAAUAAUGAACAUUGCGGAAAAUAGAAGUCCAAAGAGUUUAUGGGCAAAUGAUGCAAUAAGUAUUCUUCCACAAACCUGAUGAAAGAUAUUAGGAGAAACAAAGUCUGAGAAUAUUAUCUCAUAAAUUUUCUCACGAUGGUCCUGCAUAUUAAAAAUAAAAUUCACAAUCAAAAAUCAUAAAAAUCCAUGCAUGAUGCAAUCAAGCUUGUUUGUACUUGAACUAUUCAAAAGAAAUGCUGAUUAAUGGACUCUUUUAUCAAAAAUAGGAGGUCUGGGAUUUCAUCUGAAGAUACCAUGUAAACUUGGAAUAGUGCCUUUCAAUUUUUUGGUCUCAACUGAAACAGACAGACGUAGAGAACAAUAUUAUCACAAAGAUAGGUUCAAUAUACAUUGAAAGCCUAGAUUUUGUAUUGUUAGGAAUUGGGUUUGUUCACUUUCUUGGCAUUACACAUAAACAUACGAAAUAGACCUUACUCGUGGAAUGACCUUUGGAAAAUAUGUUAGAUCUUCCAUCUUAUCAGGGUUAAAUGCCUGAAUGAAGCGCUAAAAUGCCUUUACAAAGUUCCUAUUAACUUUUAUCCUAGUAAUCAUUUCUUAGUUUGCCCAUGAAUUGUAAACAAUAGAUGAUCAUACUAGUGUAUGUAAUCCAAGUAUUCUAGUCUCCAUACUUUAUUCUUUGAAUAACCAGAUAAUGAAAGAAACUUGUGCCUUGGAAGGUAAGAGAACUCAUUUCACACAUGUCACAUAGAUCUAAUGUACCAGUACAGAAAAAUCAGGUCAGAUGCUUGUUUCCACAAUAGCUGCUCAAGGCUCUAAUAAAGAAAGUCUUAUUAGUCACCAUUGAUGGUACUUAUUGAGUACAUUUUCAUGUCAAUAACAAAGGCAAUGAAAACAGAAAACUCCAGCAGUUAACAAAAUUUCCAUGUAUUAUAUUGAAAAUACCCCUCUUAGAAGGCUAAUAUUGAAAAUACCCUUUCUACGUUUCAACCUAUUUCUAAUAUACCCCUAGAGUUAAAAUAAGUUAAUGAACUCUGUUAUCUCUUUAAAAUUAUAAUUUUUUUCUUUCAAAUAUACCCUUCCACUAUCACUGACUUUCUUAUUUGCCCUUAAAGUCAGGGGCACAAAAAAUGUUUUGACUUUUGGUCUUUUCCAAUAUACCCCUCUACCGUCACCAACAUUUCUUAUUUGCCCGUAAGUUAAGGAUAAAAUUGGCAUUUUAAUUUUUUUUAACUGUGGUAAAUGUUUAACUCACGUUUAACCCAAGUUAACUUAACAAGAGAUAACUGCGGGGGUAUUUUACAAUAACGGUGGAACAUAUGAGGGGUAUUUUAGAAAGAAAAAAAAUGUAGGGGUAAAUCGGAUAUUUUCAAACGUACGAGGGGUACAUAGGCAAUUAUCCCUAUAAUAAAUUAGCAACCCUUGUUACUAAAUAUCAUUACUAAUUAAUAUAUAAUUAUUAAUAUAUCCAUUUUUAUUUAGAAUUAAAAAUUUUAAAAUUAAAGUUUAAAAUUCGAAACAUAUAAUUUUAAAAAUUAAACUUAUAAUUUAAAUUUUAAAAUUUUAAAUUUAUUUUAAAUUUUAAAUUUCAAAUUUAAAACUAUUAAUUUUGAAGCUUAAAAUUUUAUAUUUCAAAAUUAAAAAUUUAAAUUUAGUAUCUAAAUUUAAAAUUUAAAAUUUAAA
rnacentral:lncRNA from 1 species